UUUUUAUUUUUUGUCUCUAAUCUAAAUUUUGUACAUAUGUUUAGUUUGCAUCAAUUUCAGCAAUAAAAAUCAGUAAACUGCCUACUUAAUGGACAAAGAAGAAUGCUCAAUUUGCCUGAAAUUCAGCAAAAAAAAUUAGUAAACUGGCUAAUGAGUGGAUAGAUAAGCAUGUUCAGUUUGCACCAAAUUAUUGAAUGAACCACUUAUGUCUGGUACAUUUGAAAUGAGACACUCAAUGAACUACAUUUGAGCUCUAUAGUUUCAAACACUCAGAUUUAAGUUUCUGCCAAAAAAUCACUGAAAUACAAGAGCAACAGCACUGCUUCAUUUGAACUCAUCAAACAUGUUGACUCUUUUCUUCUUGGGCACAUGUCCACUUGGCCCUCCUUCUUGCUUCUUCUCUUCAGCUCUUCUUCUCUUGGCCUCUUCUUGAUGUUUCUUCUUUGCUUCUUGAUAUUCUUUUUUCUUCAGUGCUGCAAUAGCUCUCUUUGCUUCUUGCUCUUCUCUUCUCUUCAUUGUUGCCUCUGCCUUAGCUGUAAUUGCUUCAAUUGCCCUGGCCUCCUUCUCUUCUUAUAAUGCAGCUUUUCUUGCUGGUGAAGCCUUUAGCUUUGCUGCUGUUUCCUCAGCCUUCUUCUCUUUUGCUGCUCUUCUUCUUCUGGCUGCCUUCUCUGCUUUCCUCAUAGCAAUUUCCUGCCUUUUUGCUUCAGCCUCCUUGGCUCUCCUCUCUGCCAUCUCAUUCAUUGCCUCUAGUGCUUCAUCUCUUCUGGCUUCCAUCUGCCUUUCUUUGUCUCUUUUCAUCUUUAGUAACUUCAUGGUUAGGUUGCCACCAUUUGUAGAUGUUGUUGUAUGCGCUGAAGCUUAAGAACAGGAUGCCUGUAAUAUGCGCAGAGUGCCUUCAGUUUCUUCUCUAGGUACACGUCUAGACUGCUGCAUCUUAUGAAGCAUUGUACAUCCAAAGUCUUGCACCUGUACACAACCAAUCAUCACAUGCUACCAUCACUGGUGUAUCAUAUUAAAUACAACCUAAAAGAAAUGGAGAAAAACUAUUAGAAAUUACCUAAAAGGCAACUGGUGUAUCAUAUUCAUCCUCGUGUUGCUGCACUAGGCAAUCAUUCUGUGUGGCAUUGACAUCCUCCUGUGUAAGUUGGCCAUCAUCUUGUGUGGCAUUGACAUCCUCCUGUGUAAGUUGGCCAUCAGCUUGUGUGACAUUGACCUCCUGCUGUGUGACCUGCCCACCAUCUUGUGUGACAUGAACCUCCUACUGUGUGACUUGCCCACCAUCUCGUGUGAUAUGAACAUCGUCCUGUAUGACCUGGCCAUCAUCCUGCUAUGCCAUAACUUGUUCAGCAUCAGACACAUCCUCAGGAAUAGACCUUGGCCCCCUUCUCACUGGUAGUUUUGUCAAAAUGCCAGCUUUUCUAGUAUUAUAUCCUUUGAUGUUGUGGCCUUGUUCAUGGCAGUAUGAACAUGUUAUUGUGCCUCCAUGUCUGGUUAGUACCUUUGUGCCAUCUUUCUUUUCAAUCUCAUAAGGAUGCUUUCUCCUACUCUUGUUUGAAGGCCUCCCUACUUUCUUUUCAUAGAUAGGUGGCUUGAUUUCACGACCAUUCAUAUUCUACCACUCACUCCUAUCUCUGCAAGGCUUGAUAAUUGGUUUGUAUGAUAGCUUGAAUGCUUCAAUACUGUAUCAUGAGUGCACCAAACUCUCUGGGUCAAUUCUCUCAUGUCUGCAACAUGCAAUUGCAUGGUGGCAUGGAACUCCACUAAGAUCCCACCUUUUGUAUGUGCAACUCUCUUCCUUGAGGCCAACAAUGUAUGUCUUGCUCCUAUUGUCAACCUGGAAAAUGCCAUCACUAGCCCCUGAAACCAUGCAUGUAGCUGCCAUCUCUAUAUUCCUUUCAAUUAUUUUUCUUAUUUUUGGGCAUAUAGAACAAGGCCAGUUCUCUGCCUCUUUUCUUUUGUUGUAGAAUCUGACCAUGAGCUACGUUUUGAUCUUCUCAAUCAUUGAUCUGAGAUGCAUCUCCCUGGUCUCAAGAAUAUAUUUUUUGAAAACCUCACAGUUGUUCAGAAGGAUAUCACACUUGACCAAUUAUAUUUGGAAGCCCCUAACCCAAGUGUUGGGUGGUAGCUAUUCAAGCCAUUUGUAUGCUUCUAAGCUGAUGACCUUCAUUUCCUCCAUGCUUGCAUCCCAUAGUUCUGGUGUUGUGCUCCUUGCACACUUCCAUAACUGGUUCUUAAGACCAUCUCCUUUGUGUGUUUGCUAAAUUUUUGCCAUAUAUGCCCAACACAGUUUUUGUGCUCUGCAUCAGGAAAGUGCUGCCUCACUCCCUUGAUCAGCCCCUUUUGCUUGUCUGAAAUUAUAGUCCAUGGCUCUAUGUUCAGAAUUCCCAAGUCACUCUUCAGAUUUGACAGAAACCAUUUCCAUGUGUCAGUGUUCUCUACCUCAACAACUGCAAAAGCUAGAGGGUAAAUGCAGUCAUUAGGAUCCAUGCCAACAGCACAGAGCAGAACACCUCCAUACUUUGUCUUCAGGUGGCAUCCAUCCAAACAAAUGACAGGCCUACAUGCUGGCAUGAAACCCCUUUUGCAGGCAUCCAGAGAGAAAUAACAACUUCCAAAUAUGCCAUCAUUGACACCUACAUAGAAAGAGCUGCCUGAGUUUGAUAUUCUGAAUUCUCCUGCAUAAUCCCACAUAAUGUAUAUUGCUCUAACUCAUCUCCUUCAAUGACUUUCUUCACUAUUCUCCUGGCCCUUCUAAGUUUGCUCCUUGUUGUUGUCAUGUUCCAGUCCUUCUGAACAACCCUUGCAAAAUUCUUCAUGUUCAUGUUUUCAUCUGUUCUGAAUGAAUCAAGAUAUUUUCCUACCAUGAAGGGAGCAACGAAUGACUUGACACUCCAUUUCUUUAUGCAUGUAUGCUUUGGGUUAUACUUCUUGAUCAUGAAGUAGUUGAUUCUCCCAUUAAAUGAUGCAAACAAAGACCAUGGACACCAAUCUUCACAAAUGGCCUUAAAUCUUUUCCUAUCAUUUCUAGGGCACUUGAUGUCAACCCUUUCAUGACAGCUAUCACUACAAAAAAAUACACUUCCGUGAUGAUAUGUGUUUGUCAUAGUAGGUCACGUUUCCGUCAUGCAUGUACAUCCAUGACUAUUUUAUGACCGAAUCAAGAUAAUCAUACAUGUGAUGUCGUAGAAGUGUUCCAUGACAUUACCAAAAUUAUCAUCAUGGAAGUGUCCACUUCCAUGAUGAUAAAUUGCGCAUCAUGGAAUUGCUUUCAUCAAGGGUGACCGACACGUGGCAUCCACCAUAAUAGGUCGCCAUUAAGCUAUAGGGUCCGGUUUUGGAUCUGAUAACCCAUUAACAGCCCGGACCAAUGGGGAUUUUCCAUGUGUAAAAUUCUCAUUGGCCAGAGGAAACACAUGUUAGCUCACCGUUGGGACAUAUGUCAUCUACUCAUUGGACAGAAGGCGCCUAUGAUACAUCGACACGUGGCACGGCCCAACAGAGGCCCAUUCUGGUGAAAAGGCUGGCCCGUUUGACUUGGUCAAAAGGUAACGGGCCGGCCCACGGAAAGCAUGUUAACGGCCUGUUCGUAUAUAGCCCAUUUACGACCCGCUAACUCCUGGCUCAUUACGACCUAUCGGAAUUAAGCCUAGUAGCUUCAUCUGGGCCGUCCAAUAUGAUUCCAGCCCGUUGUAACUUCCAUCCCAUGUAUGGCCCAUGAUGUCUUUCGGCCCAUAUGUGGCCCUCUGUAACUCUCAGCCCAUUAAAGGCCCGAGAUGAAACUGGCCCAUAAUGAACAGUGUAUCACUUUAUAACCAUUAAUGGCCCAUUAUUCCGUCGGUCAUUUCCAGCCCGUGUUAACUUUCGGCCUUCUAAGGGCCCAUUUAUACUUGGGCUCAUUUCUAGAAUUCGGGUAGUUACGGUCCGUUACUGGCAUGUUCCGUUUGUGGGCCAAAUUCAGCCUGUGGUUACAUUUGGCCCAUUUGUGGCCCGUUAACCCGUUGGGCUAUUUUCAUAGCGUUAUCAAAUACGGCCUAUUAACGGCCCAUUAUGGUCCACGAAUAGUACGACACAUGUUUUGCGAAAUGAUUAUAUGCCCCAUAGAAGGUCACCCAUCGCAUUAUUGCAAAAUCCAAAAAUGCAAUUUUCCAUAUUCCUAGUUACGUAUUUACUGGACUGCAGCCCCGAGAAAACAAGCAGUUCGGAAAAGCAAGUCAGGAAUACGGUGGCGAUGCAGCAACGAUACGCAUUCCCGCAAGGGGUAGUGAAAAGCCAUUAGGGGGAAGAGAUAGGUUUCUUAAGCUAAAUUACUAUACAAUAAGGAGAUUACCAUUAUGAGAUGACACUUGAGAGGGCACUUUAAAGUGAUUGAACCCACUUUCCAUGUUAGUUUAAUCAACAAUAUCACCCUCAAUUCUACCAAUUGUGUGUGACUUGUACUCUUCUAGGCUUCCUCUUUGCCUCAAGUGAUUAAACUCAUCAACUACACCAACCACAUUUCUGAAAAAACCCAAGAGAAGCAAAAGUAACUUUCGAAGGUUUAGUUACGGAAGCCCUACCAAUGGAAUGUUCCGUGUUCGGCUAGAGAAUGACACCAUCAUCCUAGGCUAUAUUUCAGGAAAGAUACGGUCUAGUUCUUUAUGGAUUAUUAAGUUAUAGUAAUAUAAUAACUAGGAAUAUUCUAGUAAUGGAAUUCCAUAUCGUGAAUCAUUUAUUCUUGGCUGCUUCAAGAUAUGAUGGCUAAUUAAAAAAUAUCAACCUUGGGAUAAAGAGUUUACACUGCUUAUGUUUACUUCCACUUUUUUCUUGUAUGUAGGAAAUGAGAUUUUUUUCUUUUUACUACAAAUUUAUAAGAUGUUUCGUUUCACUCAUAUAGCUAUCUAGUUUAACUUACCAACCCAAAUACUAAAUAAGAAAAGGAAUAUAAAUAGUUAAUGGAUUUUAGAGGAAAAAGAUCCAUUUUAACGAAUCACACGUAUUGUUUAUGGGAAGAGGGAAAGAAAGAUCAGGGGAAGAAGCGGGGUAGAGGAAUUGGUCAACUCAUCAGGCUCAUGAACUGAAGACUGCAGGUUGCUACAAAGUAGGAAUUUAAUAAAAAAAUAGAAUAAGGAUAUACAAACAAGAACUAAUCCCAGCGAAAAGGCGAUAAUGGCAUCCCCUUUCCUUAGAUAUAAAAGAAUCAUUCUUAGCGAGUCCAUAAGAAGCGACCCGCUUUUUCAUCGGUUCUGGGGGAAGACCAAAGAUCUUGCCACGAGAGGCGAGGCACCUUAGGUGCAGACUCGUGACCGUGCUCCCAAUCUGGAUCUGGAUAUGAGAUUGAAUAAAGUUAUGAUAUCGGAUCGGAGUAUCAAUGCAUCCGUACUGACUGGAACUACUUGAGCCGCAUAAAGCAAGCAGUUCGAGACUCAACAUGCCCACCUUUUUGGUGUAUCCGUAGCUUUAAAAUACUUAGGUAGCCUAUCUUACCGUUCUUCUAUCCUUCUUCAUCACGGGACAGAAGCAUAACGCUGAUCUAUGGACGAAGGAAGGUAUCAGAAAAUUCAUUAUGACCUAGACCUAAACCAGGCUGAUAUUGAACAGAGAAGGAGUUCUUGUUACUACUUCUCGCCGGCACCAAAAGAAGUUUCACCUAAUUCGGACCUUUUGUAGUGGUCUGCCGAGGACAACACCUAAAAACAACCCUUGUGCCAUGGAAUAUUCCCUUUUACGAUUGGAGAACCUGGCUUUGAUGACAUUCCUGAGGAAGGUAUUUCCCCUACUAGGCUCGUUGCUUCGCUUAUUAAAGAUCAAAGAAGCGAAUGCCUCUCAUAAUUGAUUGAAAAGUGCUCGCCUCUAGUUCCGACAGAUGCCUGCCAUGUACCAUCCGUGGAGGAAGUACUGGGUUAUUGGAAGUAUAGGAUUAUUUCUCAAGUGUCACCAAGGAUACACCCCACUUACUAAAUAGGCAUGUGGAUGCGGCAUCUGGCUCUAUGCGAUGAAAGCAAUGGGAAAUGAGAUUCUGGGUUUGAUUACUGGUACAAACAAGUUCAAAGCUAGCGAGAGCAUAAAGAACGGUAGAUUCCAACUAGGGAGAGAGCAUAAAGAAUGGUAGAUUCCAACUAGGGCUUUGGCUGAGCGGCCACCUUCUUCCAGUAUUCUUAGCUUAAUGUCUGCUUCCUGCCUGAUCGGUGCUGACUGACUGUUCUUGCUUGUCUUGGGCCUGCUCUAGUUUUGGUGAUGCUAACUAAGGGUCGAAUUUCGUGACUUGAUGAAGAGGAAGCCGAGUAUCUUUGGUCUUGAAGAGUCAGGCCAAUCCAACCGCUUGCUCCUGCCCAACUCAGUCUCAGUCGUACCAUAAUGCGCCUGGACUCAACACUUGUCUUGCUCCAAGACCACCCUCUAGCCCUCAUGUAAAAUAGAUGACAGAAUUGUAAACAAUCAUAGAAUGAUUUAAGCUGAGGAACAUAGAGGUCUCUCCCACAGUUUUUGCCAUAUACCUCUGGAAUAGUGUUGAAAUCACACGCCACUAAGCAGUUUUUUAAACCAAGUGGUUUAUCUUAGUGUGCUAGCCGUUGCUUCAUUUCGUAUAGCGAUAGCGCUUUCUCUUUCAUAGCGCUCCACCCCACAGAGAACUCUGGUUGCGCUUUGGUUGGCUUUCUCUUUUUUUUUCUCUGACUUGACUCAUCUUGACCUACUUGACUCAGCGGUUAGAGUAUCGCUUUCAUACAGCGAGAGUCAUUGGUUCAAAUCCAAUAGUAGGUAAAGUCGGCCGAUACCCCCGCUUUUGCCAGCAUGACAGCAAGCACAGACUGGCAUCAAGGAGUAGAAUGACCAAAGCAUCGGUUGCUUCCACUUGUUUGUUGCCUUCUUCGACUGACAGACAAGGUGCCCCCCCUCUUUUUCUCUUGUGAACCUACGUUGAGCUUGGGACAACCCGCGACUGGCAUAGGAUAUUUCAAAAGCCCUUCAUCAGUGGUUGUGAAUGACUGACUUUUUCAAUCCUUUCGACCUUGGUUCCGUAGGAGCAAGUCAGAAAGGUUGAGAAAUAGAACCAUCUGAUUUGAUUCGUUCCCAAUAGCCAAGAUGAUCAUCUUAGGGUGAUCCUUUUGUCAACGGAUGCUCCUAUUACACGCAUAGUCUCUGAAGGAUGAGAACCCACUAUGUAGCAUCUACAUCGAAAAUUUGAGCAUUAUAUACGUCAUAGUCCGAUUCUUUGUAGGAACUACCCGUAAUAACGAACUUGCAACAGAGAGCUAGAUUAGGGAUCAGAUGUGCACCUUUCACUAGAUUAAGGUACAAAAUUCCUUACUAGGUUUGGUAAGUAUGUUAUGAAGUUGAGAAGUCAUCCAACUUCUCAGUAGUGCAAUGGAUUAAGGUAAAUGUGCUAGCUUUCCUCCUGCUGGUUGAUGCAAACGGACCUAUCCCAUAUCUCAAAAUGGCCCCAUACACUCCAAUGGGAAGUAGAGAAAAGGGGAAGUGCAGAAAAGAAGGAUCCCCAAAUCGGAGGGUAUAUAAACUUUGUUUGAUUAAGGGAAUUAGAUAAUAAAGAGCAGAACCGGAUGGUACACAACUUGGUUUUGGAAGAUAUGGCACCAAAAGUUGUAGAGCUGGUCGUCUUUCAUAUCGAGCCAAAUAGUAAAUGCUCCCGCGGUUGGAGUUGAGACUUUCUUAUCCCUCUUGUUAUGAUGGAUCGAGCAUAUGAUUCUUUUCUUGAUUGUUAGCGAAUCGUGUGCUCUGUGUAAAUGUCUUUAUUAGUCUAUUUCAUUUAAGCCCAAAGGAUCUUUGAAUACCGACUGGUCGUCCCAAUCCAAUCUCCCUUCUGCUUAUUCCAAUUUUUCCUAUUCCUAGCGAAUCAAAUGAGAUUUCUGUUGUUCCAUCAAGAGGAGAUAGUUAUCGAUAAAGCAAAAAUGAACCCAUUGACAUAGAAUGCAAUCGAAAUAGAGACAACUAGGAAAAGACCGAAAUAAGAAACUUCGACUCCCUAGGUGGUUAUUUGCCGCAUAAGACAGCGGUAGAAGCUGAAGGAAAGAGUGGGCUUUGAAUCUAGGUAUGCUUUCUAAGGAUUGCGUCCUCGAUCGUUCCCUCAAGUGAUCGGUCUCUCCUUGUCAACCUUGUUCUGAGUUGGGCGCCUAUGCCAAUCCCAUUUCCGAAAACUUGGAUCUAAAAUCCAGAUCAGAAAAAGCAUAUCACGAUCAGUGGCACAGGGCACUAGUUGGUUUGAGCUAAACUCAAGCCGCCCGAAAGGGCAUGCCUGAAGGACCGUUGGCUCCAUACCGGAAAGCGGAAAAGGUCUGCAAAAGUGAUAAUGCAACACCGCGCUCGGGGGUGGAGGGAGACCGAAGAAGAAACAAUUGUCUUGAAUGCUAUGCUAGGAUCAGCAGCUUCCAGUGUUUUCAAAAUGAGUCGGGCAGGAAGAGGAAGAUCGGGCGGGGAAAACGGGGUUCGAACCCGCGACUUCUGGCGCGAACUCAAUCGUCCGUUCGACUGAAUCACUCGUUUAUGGCUCUGAUUCCAAGUCAGGGUUUAAAACAGCAGUGACCCAGCUAGUUGAAAAGUUUUUACUUGGAACACCAGACAUGAGAGCCAGCUACAGAGAUAGCUAAUGAUAUCAAAGUUGACGAAACAAGAGAGUUUCAUUCAAUUCUUUUCAGAGUGUACGCCUAUGAUCAAGAGUUCCUUAUGUAAAUGAUCUUUCCCUUCUCAUAUUCUAUUCGAGAGUUGAACGAAGCGAAUGGAAAAGCCAAAGAAAACAUAAAUCCAUUGCGGGGACUCCCGCUUGUGAUCUUCUUCCUUGGGUCGGAGAAAAUAGAACUUACCAAUUGGAAAUGGAAAUGCAGAAGCUGUCACAAUCAUUAAUAGGAAUAUGAAAACUCCGCCGAGUAUUCCAUUCAUUUUCAUCAUAAUACUAUGCUUCCUUGCCCGUGUGGAACAUGUGUGAGCAUUAUGUUUUUCCAACAAGUGAUCCGGUUAAGUGGCACAUUGUGCUAAGUGCUCGAACCGUUGGCUGAUCGCGCAUGGUGGAUUCACAAUCCACUGCCUUGAUCCACUUGGCUACAUCCGCCCCUUAUCCAGCUAAAGGAUUUUUUUUCUUUUUUCCAUUGAUCAUUAUUCUAUUUAUUCUGACCUCCGUACUUCAAUCGAGAUAUUGGACAUAGAAUGCUGCUUGAGAACAUCAAAGGAUUGCUUUGGCUUGUCCACACAAAUGGUACUCCUUUCUUUAACAGCUCACCUUUUGCCUGCUUCUGCUUCAUCUGUAGAUCGGAUUCCUUCCCCAGAGUUCUUACUUAUAGGCUUUAUAACCAAGCAAUAGAAUAGCUGCUUCUUCUAAAGCGGAUUAGAGAGCGACGACCAAAGCUACGGAGCGGCCUCUACCGCUUUCCCUACUGUUCUGGUUGAACUAGGGCUUUGGCUGAGCGACCACCUUCUUCCAGUAUUCUUAGCUUACUGUCUGCUUCCUGCCUGAUCGGUGCUGACUGACGGUUCUUGCUUGUCUUGGGCCUGCUCUAGUUUUGGUGCUGCUAACUAGGAUCCUACGACCCGUAGAAGACCAAUGGAUCCUACGGCUGGUAGAAGGCCCAUGGAUCAUAUGGCUCAUAGAAAGUCCAUGGAUCCUAUGGAUCGUAGAAGGCCCAUGAAUCCUACAACCCGUAGAAGGCCCACAGAUCCUACAGCCCACAGGAGGCCCAUGGUUACAAUAGUCCGUGUGUUGCCAUGAUUAUUGUGGCCUAGUUACCAAAAAUAGUUAUUGUGGCCACUAGAAAAACGCGGAAAAAGAACUGUAGUGACUACAAGCAAACAACUAAACAAGACAAUGAGGAAAUAAAUAAGCAAGCAACUAAUGCUAGCCCAUUGGGCAUCAAAGUUCGCCACCAAUGCAAAUAUAGGGAACAAAGCAGCAUAUUGCCUACAUUGGCUGUCAAAAUUGGCCACUAGUGCAAAUAAACGAGGCAGCAAAACAAGUCCAUAACUGAAACAACUUCAGAAAUGUUAUCCUAGGUAUCCACCAUGCUGGCAAUAAGCUUAGCAAGCUUAUUAGCUUUGUCCUGUUUGGCGCUAAAGUCCUCCAAUGCUUGCUGUUGCACCAGAAAAGUAUGCAUCUGAAUGCUCCAGGGACUUCCGUGGUCCUUCGCUUCUUGUUGUAGCACAACUGAUUGAUGUCUUUCAGCUUGUAGAUGAGACUCAAGAAACCGAACUGAUUCAGACAGUGAGUUUGAAUAGCUUGUGCAAGCAGUAGUGGCGAGUAACUCGAACACUAAACCAAGACAGGACUUUGGGGUUGUCUCACUGCCUUCAAGAUAGUCUUCCUUAGCUAUUUUAUUAGCUUUGUUGGAGACCAACAAGGAUGUCUCACUAACCUGAACCUUAUCUUCAUUACUUCCUUUACCAUUGCUUAAUAAGGCACUCUUCCCCAAUGUUAUGUUAGCAUUCUAAAAGAAGACACAAGCAGACACAUAACAGGUUUAGCAUGUACUAGUAUAUGAAACUCAUUUCGGUGAACCAGUUCAUUAGUAAGGUGGACAGGAUUAAACUACCAAGUCUUCUAUUGCCAAGUACUAGUACAUAAUAAAAUCAUCAAACAAACAUAAAUCUAUGUCCUAUGGUCACUGCAUUGUGUCUUGCCAAAUCAAAAUAGAGACACGGUUCAAAUCAUAUCAGUUCAAGACCAAGCAGCAACGAAAGAAUACAAAGCGUGGGAAACUACACUGCACAAAAAGAUUUUAGAUGGGUACCACGGGUCUACAUGUACAACAACACUAUUGGCUCUGUUGUGAUGCUAGUAACGUGCAUGAUAUGAGAAGUCAACUGUAUACACAAUUGAAACUGAAAUCAAUAAAGCUAUUGAUAGGAGCAAACAUGUUAAAGAAACAUGCGUGAACAUACCUGUUGUGCCAUUGGAGUUUCGAUUGGAUCCUUCAAUUUUAAAUAAGUUUGUAUGAGUAAAUACAGUGAUACAAGAGCAAAGCAGUAUGCACGAUAGCAAUGGAAUCUUAAAUUAGAAUAGUUGUUCUUUAGGUUUAAGCACUUGUUCUACAUGAACAGAGUACAGUAAGACAUAAGAAUAUAGUAGUUAAAAAUAGAAAAUGAGCUCAUAGACCUUACCACAUUCUUGGUUCCAGACCAGUACAGAACAAGGCAUUCCCAGUCAUCGUCCAGUAAAUGUGUCUCAGGAGAACGCAAGGGAAUUUGAUGAGUUCCUUUGCCGGUGAAGUACAUUUUCUUCAGGUAAUUCCGAUAUAGCCACCAAGCAUUCUUGAAGAUAGCAGAGGUAUUAGCACAGGUUACCUCAUCCUGAGUUUCCAAAUCGGUCCUUCUCUAUAGAGAAAAAUGGGGAAAUUUGUUGUAUUAUAACCAUCAUGGAGGUAGGAUGUAUGGGACAAAGCAAAGUAAUUGCCAUGAAUAACAUUACUUACACAUAACUCCUCGACAAACACCUGCAAGUGGCAUUUUCCUUCAUCUUCAGUAUAAUAUUUCCAAGAUGGGAAGAUACGCACAUAGGAUUUGACAACAUCAAAUGCGAUAGAUGCUAAACUACGACUGGCUGGUUAUGCUUCCUCCACGGGAAUAGGCGUACUAACUAGUGGAGUUGGGGUUCGUCGUGGUAGUACUGGCCCUUCGGGAACUAGAGAUGCAUUACUAACUCCUCUUGUUUGGGAGCUCUGUGGUGGAGAUGGUGUUGUGUUAACAGGAACUGGGUUACUAUCUGCUGGGGUUGGGGUUAGAUUGGGUGAAGCUGGUUCUCUGUCCAUCGCAGUAGGGGAACAAUCUGCAAGAGUCUGGGUUAUGUGUGGUAGGGCUGGUUCUCGUGCAUGUACAACCGGGGUGCUAUCUCCACCAAGAGGUAGCAAUGUUUUAUUUGAAGACCGUGUUUUUACUCUGCCAGAUACUGGCAUCACCAGCUCCAAUUCAAAUGGCUGAUAAACAGGAAACAUAGUUGAAUGUACAGACAUUGUAUGAGAGACAAAUGCAAUAGAUAGUGUGGAAAAAAGAGGGCAUGAAAUAGUUGACAUGUAUAUUGUUUAAGUAAAAUGGAUAGCAUGACAUAAUUUCACAUAUAUGAUGUCUAUCUAAACUGGAUAGCAUAGCAUAACAUAAUUCAAAGAUAUGAUGAAUAACUAAACAGGAUCACAUGACAUAAUUCACAUACAUGUUAUCUAAGUAAUCAAGAUCGCAUGAUUUAAUUCACAUAUGUAAUUUAUAUGCUAAACAGAUGGCAUUCGAUAUGAUGUCUGAACUAAGAACAUGGUGUUGAAUAUUGUGUAUAUGAUGUCUAAACUAUGCAGCGCAAGACACCAUAUGCAUGAUAUGAGCAGUAUAACCGUGCCAAGUUAGAGCAUACACCUCGAUGGGGGAAUAGGACUGGUCAUCUAUCUCUGAAUCCAUCUCUGAGGAGCUAUCGGGACCCAACAAGAGAUCUGCUUCGACAGGCAGUACUGUCUGCUCUGAAGGCCUUGUUUUCACUCCAGAUUUUUCCAUCUCCCACCCAAAUGGAUGAUUCACAAGAAGAGUAGUUUAAUGUACAAACAUUGUCGACAAUGGAGCUGUAAUGAAGAAAAGGAUGGGCAAUAUAUCAUUCAAAUAUAUGAUGCCUGGUUAAACAGGAUGGCAUUGCACAUUUCACAUAUAUUAUGGCUGGCUAAAAGACAUGAGACUGCAUAAUUCCCAUAUAUGAUAUAGAAACUAAACAGGUGGCAUUAUAGAACAUGUCUAAAAUAAGUAGAUGACAUAUAUGAUGUCAAAAGUAGGCACUGCAAGGCAACAUAUGCAUGAUAUGACUAACAUCAUCAUGCCAAGGUAGAGCAAACACCUUGGGGGGUAAAUAGGAGUGGUCAGCUGCAUUUGAAUCCGCCUCAGAACAGAUAUCUUCCUCUGGAUUACAAUCUAGAGAGGCGGGAGGGUUUUCCAUUGAACCCACCAUGGAGAGAUGCCUGCAUGGCAUUGUAUUGCCGCACAAAACUCUUCUCUUUUUCUCUACAUGUCCAGCAUGACUGUGUACAAUAUCUGACAUGCAUACAAAAAAUAUGGUGAGAUUAUGUAAGGAGAGCAUGCAAAAAUUUAGAGUGAUGGUAACAACCAGUGGAUGGAUCCAAAAAUAGUGAUAAAAGGCUGAUGAUUGCUUUAGUUUAAUAAAAAGACAGAUGAUGAUUGCUUUACUAUUUGUUUCCCACCCAAGAUGAACAACAUAGGCAUACCAUAGGUGAACCAGAUAUUAGACAAAGAUACUAUUCAUUGCAGCCUCGAUAUGUGACGCACAACUAAUUUAGAACUCAAGUUUGAACAUUAGUUUGGACUUGACUUGGAGUCUAAGAGGCGAACAAGACGAUAAAGUAGCAGGUAAUUUUAAGCAAUGCAUAACAUAAGCAAAAACAACAGAGUGCGGCCUCUCUUGUGGACCUGUGUACUCCUUAGGUUCAUCUGCUGAGUCGAUGAUGGUGAUGCCGUUGUGGUGGGUGCCGGCGGCAGGGAAGGAGAUCUAAGGUGGCGAAAGACAGUCGGGAGUCAUGAUGUCUGGUUUGGUGGAUGCUUCUGUCGAUGAAGCAGCUCAGGUGAGGUGGACGACGUCGCGGCAGGAGCAGGACAAAACACACAAAGUUCCCUUCGACACCUACCUGUAACUGAAGUAAUUCCAUAAGGGCUCAUUUGGCUUGCAUGAUUCUAAAAACGCAUGUCGGUGUACCAAAGUAGGGGCGCUCUUUUGUACCCCUUAUUUAUGCAUGAGCAGUCAGAGCCACGCCCACGACCACACUUGAGCAGGACAGAGACAGAAAAUCAAAGCCACGGGACGGCUGAAGCAACGCCAAGACAGAAGCAUAAAGAGCAAGAAGGCGAAGUGGUUUCCCCCAGCAAGGCCGUUGCCGGGGCAGCCCCCACGGCCCCGGCAAGGCCCUUGCUGGGGCAGCCUACCUGACGCCAGCAGGGCGCGCCACCCUUGAGCCCCAGUUCCUCCAGUGCUGCUAACUGCGUUGGGGCACGGGCUCGGGGGGCGCCCCCAUGGUGGCAUGCAGAUCUUUGUGAAGACACGGAACACUUUGAAUCAGAAGAGUAAGAGAUGACGAGCCUCGGCGAGACCCUUACCGAGGAAACCUACAAGACCCCCGGCAAGAUCCUUGUCAGGGACGACCACAACACCGUGACAAGACCGUUGUGUUGGGGAACAUAGCACAAAUUCAAAAUUUUCUAUGAAACACCAAGAUCAAUCUAUGGAGAUUCUAGCAACAAGAGAGGGAGAGGAUGAGCAUCUUCAUACCUUUGAAUAUUGCUAAGCGGAAGUGUUACAAGAACGCGGUUGAUGGAAUCGUACUCGCGGCGAUUCAAAUCACGGAAGAUCCGAUCUAGCACCGAACGGACGGCGCCUCCACAUUCAACACACGUACAACCCGGGGACGUCUCCUCCUUCUUGAUCCAGCAAGGGGAUAGGAUAAGUUGAGGGAGAACUCCAACAGCACGACGGCAUGGUGGUGGUGGAGCUCGUGGUAUUCCUGCAGGGCUUCGCCAAGCACUACGGAGGAGGAGAAAGAGUUGGAGGAGGGAGGGGCUGCGCCAAAAGCAAGGGUGUUGCAGCCCUCCCACCCACCCUCUAUUUAUAGGGUGAAGUGGAGAGGGGGCCGGCCCCUCUAGAUCCCAUCUAGAGGGGGGGCGGUGGCCAGGAGGGGCAGACUUGCCCCCCAAGCAAGGUGGAGGCGCCCCCCUCCCCUAGGGUUUCCAAACCCUAGGCGCCUUGGGCCCUUGGGGGGCGCACCAGACCACUAGGGGGCUGGUUCCCUCCCAUAUUCAGCCCAUUAAGUACCCCGGGGCAGGUGGCCCCACCCGGUGGACCCCCGGAGACCUUUUGGUGGAACCGGUACAAUACCAAUAACCCCCGAAACCAUUUCGGCGACUGAAACUGGACUUCCCAUAUAUAAAUCUUCACCUCCGGACCAUUCCGGAACUCCUCGUGACGUCCGGGAUCUCAUCCGGGACUCCGAACAACCUUCGGUAACCUAAUACUAUUUCCCAUAACAACUCUAGCGUCACUGGACCUUAAGUGUGUAGACCCUACGGGUUCAGGAACCAUGCAGACAUGACCGAGACACCUCUCUGGUCAAUAACCAAUAGCGGGAUCUAGAUACCCAUAUUGGCUCCCACAUGUUCCACGAUGAUCUCAUCGUAUGAACCACUAUGUCGGGGAUUCAAACAAUCCCGUAUACAAUUCCCCUUGUCAAUCGGUAUGUUACUUGCUCGAGAUUCGAUCGUCGGUAUCCCAUUACCUCGUUCAAUCUCGUUACCGGCAAGUCACUUUACUCAUUCCGUAAUGCAUGAUCCCGUGACUAACUACUUAGUCACAUUGAGCUCAUUAUGAUGAUGCAUUACCGAGUGGGCCCAGAGAUACCUCUCCGUCAUACGGAGUGACAAAUCCCAAUCUCGAUUCGUGCCAACCCAACAGACACUUUUGGAUAUACCUGUAGUGCACCUUUAUAGCCACCCAGUUACGUUGUGACGUUUGGUACACCCAAAGCACUCCUACGGUAUCCGGGAGUCACACAAUCUCAUGGUCUAAGGAAAUGAUACUUGACAUUAGAAAAGCUCUUAGCAAACGAACUACACGAUCUUGUGCUAUGCUUAGGAUUGGGUCUUGUCCAUCACAUCAUUCUCCUAAUGAUGUGAUCCCGUUAUCAAUGACAUCCAAUGUCCAUGGUCAGGAAACCAUAACCAUCUAUUGAUCAACGAGCUAGUCAACUAGAGGCUCACUAGGGACAUGUUGUGGUCUAUGUAUUCACACAUGUAUUACGGUUUCCAGUUAAUACAAUUAUAGCAUGAACAAUAGACAAUUAUCAUGAACAAGGAAAUACAAUAAUAACCAUUUUAUUAUUGCCUCUAGGGCAUAUUUCCAACAGUCUCCCAUUUGCACUAGAGUCAAUAAUCUAGUUCACAUCACUAUGUGAUUGUAAUGAAUCCAACACCCAUGGGGUUUGAUCAUAUCUCGCUUGUGAGAGAGGUUAUUAGUCAAUGGGUCUGAACCUUUCAGAUCUGUGUGUGCUUUACAAAUCUCUAUGUCAUCUUGUAGAUGCAGCUACCACGCGCUAUUUGGAGCUAUUCCAAAUAACUAUUCUACUAUAUGAAUCCGGUUUACUACUCAUAGUCAUCCAGAUUAGUAUCAAAGUUUGCAUCGACAUAACCCUUUACGACGAACUCUUUUACCACCUCCAUAAUCGAGAAAAUUCCUUAGUCCACUAGUUACUAAGGAUAACUUUGGCCGCUGUCCUGUGAUCCAUUCCUGGAUCACUCUUGUACCCCUUGACUGACUCAUUAAAGGCACACUUUAGGUGCGGUACAUAGCAUAGCAUAUUGUAGAGCCUACGUCUAAAGCAUAGGGGACGACGUUCGUCCUUUCUCUCUCUUCUGCCAUGGUCAGGUCUUGAGUCUUACUCAAUACUCACACCUUAUAACACAGCCAAGAACUCCUUCUUUGCUGAUCUAUUUUGAACUCCUUCAAAAUCUUGUCAUGGUAUGUAUUCAUUUGAAAGUACUAGUAAGCGUUUUUGAUCUAUCCUUAUAGAUCUUGAUGCUCAAUGUUCAAGUAGCUUAAUCCAGGGUUUCCAUUGAAAAACACUUUUCAAAUAACCCUAUAUGCUUUCCAGAAAUUCUACAUCAUUUCCGAUCAAUAAUAUGUCAACAACAUAUACUCAUCAGAAAUGCUAUAGUGCUCCCACUCACUUCUUUGGAAAUACAAGUUUCUCAUAAACUUUGUAUAAACCCAAAAUCUUUGAUCAUCUCAUCAAAGUGUAUAUUCCAACUCCGAGAUGCUUACUCCAGUCCUUAGAAGGAUUGCUGGAGCUUUGCAUACUUGUUAGCAUCUUUCAGGAUUGACAAAACCUUCUGGUUGUAUCACAUACAACCUUUCCUCAAGAAUAUCGUCGAGGAAACAAUGUUUUUUGACAUCCUAUCUGCAAGAUUUCAUAAAUCAUGCAGUAAUUGCUAAUAUAACUCCAACAGACUCUUGGCAUCGCUACGAGUGAGAAAGUCUCAUCGUAGUCAACUCCUUGAACUUGUCGGAAAACAUAUUAGCGACAAGUCGAGCUUUCGUAAUGGUGACACUUACCAUCAUUGUCUGUCUUCCCUUUUAAAAUCCAUCUGUACCCAACAGCCUUACGACCAUCAAGUAGUUCUUCCAAAGUCUACACUUUGUUUUAUACAUGGAUCCUCUCUCGGAUUUUAUGGCCUUGAGCCAUUUGUCGGAAUCCGGGCCCACCAUCGCUUCUUCACAGCUCGUAGGUUCAUUGUUGUCUAGCAACAUGACCUCCAAGACAGGACUACCGUACCACUCUGAAGCAGUACGCGUCCUUGUCGACCUACGAGGUUUGGUAGUGACUUGAUCCGAAGUUUUAUGAUCACUAUCAUCAGCUUCCACUUCAACUGGUGUAGGCGCCACAGGAACAACUUCCUGUGCCAUGCUACACACUGGUUGAAGUGACGGUUCAAUAACCUCAUCAAGUCUCCACCAUCCUCCCACUCUAUUCUUUCGAGAGAAACUUUUCCUCGAGAAAGGACCCGUUUCUAGAAACAAUUACUUUUGCUUCCGGGUCUGAAUUAGGAGGUAUACCCAACUGUUUUGGGUGUCCUAUGAAGAUGCAUUUAUCCGCUUUGGGUUCGAGCUUAUCAGCAUGAAACUUUUUUCACAUAAGCCUCGCAGCCCUAAACUUUUAAGAAACGACAACUUAGGUUUCUCUAAACCAUAGUUCAUAUGUUGUCAUCUCAACGGAAUUACUUGGUGCCCUAUUUAAAGUGAAUGCGGUUGUCUCUAAUGCCUAACCCAUAAAUGAUAGUAGUAAUUCGAUAAGAGACAUCAUGGUAUGCACCAUAUCCAAUAGGGUGCAUUUAUGAUGUUCGGACACACCAUCACACUAUGGUGUUCCAGGCGGUAUUAGUUGUGAAACAAUUUCCACAAUGUCCUAAUUGUGCACCAAACACGUAACUCAGAUAUUUAUCUCUAUGAUCAUAUCAUAGACAUUUUAUCCUCUUGUCACGACGAUCUUCAACUUCACUCUGAAAUUACUUGAACCUUUCAAUAAUUCAGACUUGUGUUUCAUCAAGUAAAUAUACUUAGCAUCUACUCAAAUCAUGUGUGAAGUAAGAACAUAAUGAUAUCCACUGCGUGCCUCGUCACUCAUUGGACAACACACAUCAAAAUGUAUUACUUCCAGUAAGUUGCUCUCUUGUUCCAUCUUAUUGAAAAUGAGGCUUUUCAGUCAUCUUGCCCAUGUGGUUUGAUUUGCAUGUCUCAAGUGAUUUAGAAUCAAGUGAGUCCAAAUGAUCCAUCUGCAUGGAGUUUCUUCAUGCGCACAUACCAAUAGACAUGGUUCGCAUGUCUCAAACUUUUCAAAAACGAGUGAGUCCAAAGAUCCAUCAACAUGGAGCUUCUUCAUGCGUUUAAUACCAAUAUGACUCAAAUGGCAGUGCCACAAGCAGGUGGUACUAUCAUUACUAUCUUAUAUCUUUUGGCAUAAACAUGUGUAUCACUACGAUCGAGAUUCAAUAAACCAUUCAUUUUAGGUGCAAGACCAUUGAAGGUAUUAUUCAAAUAAAUAGAGUAACCAUUAUUCUCCUUAAAUGAAUAAUCGUAUUGCGAUAAACACAAUCCAAUCAUGUCUAUGCUCAACGCGAACACCAAAUAACAAUUAUUUAGGUUUAACACCAAUCUCGAUGGUAGAGGGAGCAUGCGAUGCUUGAUUACAUCAACCUUGGAAAUGCUUCCAACACACAUCGUCAUCUCAUCUUUAGCUAGUCUCCGUUUAUUCCGUAGCUCUUUUAUUUCGAGUUACUAACACUUAGCAACCGAACUAGUAUCUUAAUACCCUGGUGCUACUAGGAGUACAAGUAAAGUACACAUUUAAUAUAAUGUAUAUCCAAUAUACUUCUGUCAACCUUGCCAGCCUUCUCAUCUAUCAAGUUUCUAGGGUAGUUCUGCUUCAGUGACUGUUCCCUCAUUAUAGAAGCACUUAGUCUCGGGUUUGGUUCAACCUUGGGUUUCUUUACUAGAGCAGCAACUGAUUUGCCAUUUCAUGAAGUAUCCCUUCUUGCCCUUGCCCUUCUUGAAACUAGUGGUUUUACCAACCAUCAACAAUUGAUGCUCCUUCUCGAUUUCUACUUUCACGGUGUCAAACGUCGCGAAUUGCUCAAGGAUCAUCAUGUCUAUCCCUGAUAUGUUAUAGUUCAUCACGAAGCUCUAAUAGCUUGGUGGCAGUGACUAUGGAGAACCAUCACUAUAUCAUCUGGAAGAUUAACUCUCACUCGAUUCAAGUGAUUGUAGUACUCAGAUAAUCUGAGCACAUGCUCAAUGAUUGAGCUUUUCUCCCUUAAUUUGUAGGUUAAGAAACUUGUUGGAGGUCUCAUACCUCUUGACGUGGGCACGAGCCUGAAAUCCCAAUUUCAGCUCUUGGAACAUCUCAUAUGUUCUACGACGUUUCAAAAUCGUCUUCGGCACCUCAAUUCUAAAUCGUUUAACAUUACUGAACUAUCACGUAGUCAUCAAAACGUGUAUGUCAGAUGUUCGCAACAUCCACAGACGUCGUUCGAGGUUCAGCACACCGAGUGGUGCAUUAAGGACAUAAGCCUUCUGCGCAGCAAUGAGGACAAUCCUUAGCUUACGGACCCAGUCCGCAUAAUUGCUACUAUUAACUUUCAACUAAAUUUUCUCUAGGAACAUAUCUAAAAUAGUAGAACUAAAGCGCAAGCUAUGACAUAAUUUGCAAAGUCCUUUUGACUAUGUUCAUGAUAAUUAAGUUCAUAUAAUCAAAUUAUUUAAUGAACUCCCACUCAGAUAGACAUCCCUCUAGUCAUCUAAGUGAUACAUGAUCCGAGUCAACUAGGUCGUGUCCGAUCAUCACGUGAGACGGAAUAGUCAUCAUCGGUGAACAUCUCCAUGUUGAUCAUAUCUACUAUACGACUCAUGUUCGACCUUUCGGUCUCUUGUGUUCCGAGGCCAUGUCUGUACAUGCUAGGCUCGUCAAGUCAACCUAAGUGUUUUGCAUGUGUAAAUCUGGCUUACACCCGUUGUAUGCGAAUGUUAGAAUCUAUCACACCCGAUCAUCACGUGAUGCUUCAAAACAACGAACUUUCACAAUGAUGCACAUUUAGGGGGGAACACUUUCUUGAAAUUUUAGUGAGGGAUCAUCUUAUUUAUGCUACCGUCGUUCUAAGCAAAUAAGAUCUAAACAUGAUAAACAUCACAUGCAAAUCAUAAAGUGACAUGAUAUGGCCAUUAUCAUCUUGCACCUUUGAUCUCCAUCUUUGAAGCGCGGCAUGAUCACCUUCGUCACCGGCAUGACACCAUGAUCUCCAUCAUCAUGUCUCCAUGAAGUUGUCUCGCCAACUAUUACUUCUACCACUACAGCUAACGGUUAGCAAUAAAGUAAAGUAAUUACAUGGCGUUGUUCAAUCACACGCAGGUCAUACAAUAAAUUAAGACAACUCAUAUGGCUCCUGCCGGUUGUCAUACUCAUCGACAUGCAAGUCGUGAUUCCUAUUACAAGAACAUGAUCAAUCUCAUACAUCACAUAUCAUUCAUCACAUUCUUUUGGCCAUAUCACAUCACAUAGCAUACCCUGCAAAAACAAGUUAGACGUCCUCUAAUUGUUGUUGCAUGUUUUACGUGGCUGCUAUGGGUUUCUAGCAAGAAUGUUUCUUACCUACGCAAAGCCACAAUGGUGAUAUGCCAAUUGCUAUUUACCCUUCAUAAGGACCCUUUUCAUCGAAUCCGAUCUAACUAAAGUGGGAGAGACUGGCACCCGCUAGCCACCUUAUGCAACAAGUGCAUGUUAGUCGGUGGAACCUGUCUCAUGUAAGCGUACGUGUAAGGUCGGUCCGGGCCGCUUCAUCCCACAAUACUGUCGAAACAAGAUAGGACUAGUAACAGUAAGCAUAUUGAACAAAACCAACACCCACAACUACUUGUGUUCUACUCGUGCAUAGAAUCUACGCAAUAGACCUAGCUCAUGAUGCCACUGUUGGGGAACGUAGCACAAAUUCAAAAUUUUCUAUGCAACACCAACAUCAAUCUAUGGAGAUUCUAGCAACAAGAGAGGGAGAGGAUGAGCAUCUUCAUACCUUUGAAGAUCGCUAAGCAGAAGCGUUACAAGAAUGUGGUUGAUGGAGUCAUACUCGCGGUGAUUCAAAUCGCGGAAGAUCCGAUCUAGUGCCGAAUGGACGGCGCCUCCGUGUUAAACACACGUACAGCCCGGGGACAUCUCCUCCUUCUUGAUCCAGCAAGGGGAGAGGAGAAGUUGAGGGAGAACUCCGACAGCACGACGACAUGGUGGUGGUGGAGCUCGUGGUAUUCCUGCAGGGCUUCGCCAAGCACUACGGAGGAGGAGAAAGAGUUGGAGGAGGGAGGGGAUGCGCCAAAAGCAAGGGUGCUGCAGCCCUCCCACCCCCCUCUAUUUAUAGCAUGAAGGGGAGAGGGGGCCGGCCCCUCUAGACCCCAUCUAGAGGGGGGAGGCGGCCAGGAGGGGGAGACUUGCCCCCCAAGCAAGGUGGAGGCGCCCCCCUCCCCUAGGGUUUCCAAACCCUAGGCGCCUUGGGCCCUUGGGGGGUGCACCAUCCCACUAGGGGGCUGGUUCCCUCCCAUAUUCAGCCCAUUAAGUCCCCCGGGGCAGGUAUCCCCACCCGGUGGACCCCCGGACACCUUUCGGUGGUCCCGGUACAAUACCGAUAACCACCGAAACCAUUCCGACGACUAAAACUGGACUUCCCAUAUAUAAAUCUUCACCUCUGGACCAUUUCGGAACUCCUCGUGACGUCCGGGAUCUCAUCCAGGACUCUGAACAACCUUCGAUAACCUAAUACUAUUUCCCAUAACAACUCUAGCGUCACCGAACCUUAAGUGUGUAGACCCUAUGGGUUCGGGAACCAUGCAGACAUGACUGAUACACCUCUCCGGCCGAUAACCAAUAGCGGGAUCUGGAUACCCAUAUUGGCUCCCACAUGUUCCACGAUGAUCACAUCGUAUGAACCACUAUGUCGGGGAUUCAAUCAAUAUUGUAUACAAUUCCCUUUGUCAAUCGGUAUGUUACUUGCCCGAGAUUCGAUCGUCGGUAUCCCAAUACCUCGUUCAAUCUCGUUACCGGCAAGUCACUUUACUUGUUCUGUAAUGCAUGAUCCCUUGACUAACUACUUAGUCACAUUGAUCUCAUUAUGAUGAUGCAUUACCGAGUGGGCCCAGAGAUAUCUCUCCGUCAUACGGAGUGACAAAUCCCAAUCUCGAUUCGUGCCAACCCAACAAACACUUUCAGAUAUACCUGUAGUGCACCUUUAUAGCCACCCAGUUACGUUGUGACAUUUGGUACACCCAAAGCACUCCUACGGUAUCCUGGAGUCACACAAUCUCAUGGUCUAAGGAAAUGAUACUUGACAUUAGAAAAGCUCUUAGCAAACGAACUACACGAUCUUGUGCUAUGCUUAGGAUUGGGUCUUGUCCAUCACAUCAUUCUCCUAAUGAUGUGAUCCCGUUAUCAAUGACAUCCAAUGUCCAUGGUCAGGAAACCAUAACCAUCUAUUGAUCAACGAGCUAGUCAACUAGAGGCUCACUAGGGACAUGUUGUGGUCUAUGUAUUCACACAUGUAUUACGCUUUCCAGUUAAUACAAUUAUAGCAUGAACAAUAGACAACUAUCAUGAACAAGGAAAUACAAUAAUAACCAUUUUAUUAUUGCCUCCAGGGCAUAUUUCCAACACGUUGUCGGGGCCCCGGCAAGGCCCUGCCGAGGACGUCCGCGAGGCCACGGCCAGGCCCGCACCUGCCAAGCUUCUGCCACCGCUCCCAUGCAGCUGCCAGCCCACUAGCUGGGCAGGCACCUGCGUGUCGAUGCAAGGCUUCCCAGCCAACUCAGCACAUGCCUACGUGGUGGCAUGCAAAUCUUCAUGAAGUCCCUACCAUCAUGCCACCUCAGUAGCCUGCCAGCCUACAUGGCGCUGACUGCCUCGCUGGCCUAGGCGCGUGUCGAGGUAGGGCAAUGCAGCGGUAAAGUGGAGGGGACAGGUCAGGGGCACAUUAAAUGCACUUUAUCCCGUAAUGGCAAGGGAUAGGCUUAAUCACAGUACCCAGACGCCGCCUCUUGUGUGCCACUGUGGCGGUCCCCUUAAAUAUAAAAGGAGGCCCGAGGCAUCCAGGAGAAGGAUUCGGACUUUUGGACAAGUUACGCUCAUUGUAUCUAGUUCAAAAACCUCAAGAACACCAAUACACACAUCCAAGCAGGACUAGGGUGUUACGCAUCUCUGCGGCCCGAACCUGGGUAAACUAUCUGCGUGCUUGAACUGACUGCUGAUCCUGCUCUCCUCACCACCCAGCGCCCCGCAACCGUAGUGGGGAUCCUUGUGAUCCCAUAGGUGUCGUUUCCCACCGACAACACAGGGAUAGGAAAAACACCGGAAUAUGAUAGGAAUGCACAUGGUAAACAGAGCAUUUGUAAACACAGGAUUUUUGUCAACUUGGGUGUUUGGUUCACAGGAAUUGGAAGAGAAGAGGAAUGCAAAUAAACAUGGCCAAAAUAAAGUGAAACCAUAUGAAAGCGUGUACAGUUAGAAUGUUAUUCUGCCAUUAAUGCACUUGGUCUUGUUUUCAUGCAUAGGAUUUUGAAAAGUAGGUCCUGGUGGAUGUUUUACUCCAUUCCUUUCAACAAAAUGCAUGAAUAAUUGAAUAGUAGAGUGCCAUAGGAGAACUUCCUAUUGCUAUGUUUUUACAUUGAACCAAAAUAGCCCUAAUAGAUUGACAUGAAUGUAGAGUAAUAAGUGAUGAAACAAGUGUACAACCUCUUUGUUGUAGCCAUGUCGACGUCAGCAUCAUUGGGUUGGUCGCUGAAGAAGUUGAGGCAGAGGUGGAUGUAGGAGGUGUGGGGGAAGAUCUGAGGAAUCUAUAGAUGACGUCCAGGGCACUGCUCUGUUGUGAUGGAUCGUUCUGUCGUUGGAGCAGCUCCGGUGAGCCAUAAGACGUCAAGGCUAAAGCAGCACAUGACAUACAUCAUUAAUCUCAAGUGGGAUUCUAGUAGCAUCUCCACAGAUGAUGUAAAAUAGAUGUGAAAUUUACAUCACCAAAAACCACCUGACUACAACAGAUGAGAUCAAAAUUGUUGACUCUGAACUUAACUGUCAAAACUGAAAUUUACUAUGGAAUCUGAAUGUUACUGUCGAAACUGAACACAAUGGUAGCAGAGAGGCACUUGACAUGUAGUUUAGGGAGGGCAUGCAGUUCAUCUUCAACCUACACCCUCCUGAGCCACCAGCCAUCACCGACCCCCACACUGCCUCGCCGCCCCGAAACAACUCCCCACCGUCGGUCCGCCGCCGCCACAAGUGUAGGGGAUCUAUCAUAGUUCUUUCGAUAAGUAAGAGUGUCGAACCCAACAAGGAGCAGAAGGAAAUGACAAGCGGUUUUCAGUAAGGUAUUCUCUGCAAGUACUGAAAUUAUCGGUAAUAGAUAGUUUUGUGAUAAGGUAAUUUAUAACAGGUAACAAGAAAUGAAAGUAAAUAAGGUGCAAGAAGGUGGUCCAUUCCUUUUUGUAGCAAAGUACUGUCAGGACCCCGACUCAAUGCCACAUCGAUCUAGCAUGUAACACCUCAUAUCACUUUGCGGCCUCACGCACGGUAUUCCCACGGGUGUCGCCUUACCUUUACCCGGGACCGUUUGCGCCUUUUGGCACACGUAUAUGACAGUGUCGCUAGCAUCUAUAUGAUAAAGAGCCUGGGCUGACAUGGCUAGUCGUAAACCCAAAGUGGCACAGACUUACAGGGACAGGCAUCCAUGACCCAGCAUCGAACGUGUCGGCCAUCAGCGAGUGAAUCCAGGCUGUAGCACUGGGCUAGCAGGACUCCGGUGAACCGGGCUGUAGCGGGCUAACAGGACUCCGGUAUUCAUCGCGUGACAUUUCCCCGAAGGGACAGACACAGGAACGAAGAAGGACACAUGCCGGCCAGCCUAAGUGUUCCGGAGCAGUAGCAAGCUACCAUGGCUCGGUGGAAACACUAGGAGACAUUUCCCCGUAAGAGAGGCUACUAAAGAUAAACAACUAGAUGGUAAGAUCCCACACAUACCAAGCAUUUCAAUAACAUACACACAAUAUGCUCGAUAUGUGCAAAUACAACAUGGCAUCACAACAUGACUCUACGACUCAAGUAAUUUAUUCAAUAGGCUCCGAGGAGUGAGAUAUUACAAACAGGGGUCUCAUGACCCAACAAUCAGAGCAUACAAGUCAAAGCACAAGCGGAAGCUAUCAUGUCUGAGUACAGACAUCUAUAAAUGAAAAGGGCUGAGAAGCCUGACUAUUUAUCAGAUCCUGCCGAGGGCACAAGAUCGUAGCUGAGGUAACAAGCUAAACGUCGAAGUCCAUGCGGAACUACUAGUGAGACUGAAGUCUCUCUGCACAAAACAUAAAAUAGGCAAACGUGAGUACAAAUGUACCCAGCAAGACUUACAUCAGAACUAACUACAUAUGCAUCAUUAUCAACAAAGGGGUGGUGGGGUUUAACUGCAGCAAGCCAGCUUUGACUCGGUGGCUAUCCUAAACUACGACUGCAAGCAACUCUUUUGAGGUGGCGCACACGAGUCCACAUAUUCACCAUAUCAAUACACCACUAUGGAUCCGCUCCCGUCUCCCUACGAGAACGCCAUCCAUAGCACUCACGCUUAUCUUGCGUAUUUUAGAGUAUCCACUUUCACUUGUCUAUGAACUGAUAUAAGCAACCCAGAAGUCCUUUUCCACGGACACGGCUAUUCGAAUAGAUGACGUUAACCCUGCAGGGGUGUACUUCUUCACACACGCUCUCACCACUUACCGCCGUUUACACGACAUGUACUCGGCAACCUUCAAGCGGAAGCCCAACAUGGGUGUCGGCCACGGCCUGCCUAAACACUCGAGUCUCUAGUCCAGGUUUAUCGCCUAUUCGGGUUCCAUCCAUGAGGAGAUCCGGCCGGAGUUUUGCUCACAGCCCCAAACGAUGUGAACAGGGUUCCCGAGACACCAAACGGGCACCCGGUACACCGUGCCACGUGCCUACCGCAUCACAGCCCACCCCUACGGUCAGCGCUGCCCACGGCCUCCAGCAUACUACAAACACCAUAAACUACUUGCAACUCCUGGACAGAGGACAAGGGUGAUUAAGAAGCCGAGAGGGUCCAUUGGUUUCGGGCCCAAUGCGUGGUAGUAGCUGAAUCAUGGAUCACAAACACAGAACUCAGUUCCUAAGGACGGCUUCAAUGAGACAACCCACCAUGUACUCCUACAUGGCCUCUCACCGCUACCUUUACCAAAUCGUGUUCACACACUUAGCUCACACACAGUAGGACAUGUUCACACGCCUCUGAUUCAUCCCCGAUGAAUCAGACCUGACUCAACUCUAAGCAGUAGCAGGCAUGACAAACAAGCAUGAAUGAGUAGGCACAUCAGGGUUCAAACAACUCCUACUCAUACUAGUGGGUUUCAUCUAUUUACUAUGGAAUGACAGGUCAUGCAACGGAUAAAGGGGUUCAGCUACCGCAGCAAGUAACAAAUAUGUCGUUGUUGUCCUAAUGCAGUAAAAGAGAGCAGGAGCGAGAGAGUGGGAUUUUAUCAGAAUGAACAAGGGGGGUUUUGCUUGCCUGGCACUUCUGAAGAUAACAUUGAGUCUUCAUCAGUGUCAACGAUCACAUCAUCGGUAUCACGUCUAUCGAGAGGGGACAAUUACCGGCAACAUAGAAGGGAACACAAUCAAUGCAAUGCACAAUAUGAUGCAUGAUCAUGACAUGGCAAAAUGAAUGUGUUUUGAGCUAAUGCAACUAGCAACAGAUUAAAUGAAGUUGGUUUGAAUACAAGAUUCAAAUUUAAACUCCAUAUGUGAUUAUUCAAAUGCCAUUUAAUUGAUUUGUGCUAAACAGCAGCUAUAAGUUGUUCUAUCAUGCAUGAAAAUGGUACGGAUGGAUUCCUUGAAUUUUUCUGAUAAUUUUUCAUAUAUAAUUUAUUUAAUUUGGAGUUACGGUUAAUUUUCUAUGAUUUUUAGAAGUUUUAGGCAUUUUCUGAAAUUUCCUGAUUAUUUUUAAAUCCAGAAAAUACUUAUUGCGUUAGCCCCACGUCACAGUGACAUCAGCAGGGUCAACUGGGCGCCCCAGGUCAAACCUGACGUGUGGGGGCCACACGUCAGUGACACAGGAGCUAAUCACGGUCAAACCCAGCGCUAACUGAGGUUUGACCAGGGGUGGGGCCCACAGUCAGUGGCCUAGGGGGUUGAUUAGGGCGUCAUUAGUGCUAAUUAAGCGUGCCACGUCGGCAGUCGCCGGAGUAUCGCCGGCGGCGACCAUUCCGCACGGCGGCGCGGCUCGGAUUCGAGCUAGGGGCGUCAGUUUGGCGCGCUGAGGGCACCAGGGGAUGGCCCUUGCUCCUGCGCAUCCAGAGGACCGAGUGGGAGGUCGUGGGGUCGCCGGAACUCAUGCCGGCGACGAGCUUUGGCGGCGAUGGUGUUCGGUGGUGCUCGGGCGCGUCGCUACGGUGCAUCAGUGAGCAAAUGGAGAGGCUGGGCAGCACCUGCUAGUCAUGGGGAGCACUAAGAGCAGCUCAGUGAGGCCAGGGGAGCUCGGAGGCUAUGCGUGCAGCAGCAAUGGCGGACGAUGGCUUCGGUGCUCGUGGGGAACGGCGCUACGGCACGGAGGGAAGCAUGCUGAGUUAGGGGAGAGGGUCAGUGACUCACGGCGAUGACGAGGGGACGCUCGGCGAGGUCGGGGACGGUCCGGAGCCGGCGAAUUUGACGAAGAUGGCCGGCGGGUCCGAGGUAGAAGACGACAGCGAUGGCGGCGAUGCAGGGCUUCCGGAGGGCUGUGGAUCGGUGGGGAGGAAGAGGGGGUCGAGGCGGAGCUCCUGGGUGCAUCGGCGAGGCUAGGGGUGGCCGGUGGCCAUGGGUACGGUGACGAUGACGGCGAGCUCCGCUCGGUCGCGGGAGGGGAAACAGAGGAGCGAGGGGGAGGGAGGUCCAGAGAGCGAGGGAGAAGUGAGAGGGGGUCGGGGACGUCUCCGUGGCAUCGCGAGGAAGUCGGGGAGGCUGCCACGGCGAAGCAGGAGGUGGCCGGCGUCAGCGCGCGUGCGUCCAGCACACAGCUGCUUCGGGGCGAGGGGGAGGAAGAUGACUGGCAGCUGGGCUGCACAGUAACGGGCCGCGCAGAAGCUGGGCCGGCUACAGGUAAGUGGCCCAGGUACGGGUCUUUCUCUCUCUCUCUCUCUUUCUAAUCAUCUCAGUUUUCUAUUAUUCUGUAAAUUUAGGGCUUUAUUAAAAAUACUCAGACACUUUCAAAAAUCAUGAAACUAAUCAUGGCUACUGUUUAGAAUAUAUCCAACAGUAAACAUUUUAGUUUAUGAUUAUUUGAGCAUUUGAAUAUUUAAUAGCAUUUAAAUGCCCAAAUGAAAAUACUAUAUGAUUUAAUUCAGUGACCAAAUAUGUCCUGCAAAAAUAUAAACCAUUUUUGGUAGAUGCUUCCACCUCAAACCAGAAAUGUUGAACAUUUUUAGAGGACAUUUUGAGUUCAAUGAAAAAGGUUUUAUUUUGACCCUAGUUGAAUUCAUUUGGUGCUAGGGCUUAGUCAAUCCCCAUCUCAGGUUUAAAUGAAAUUUAAACAUGAUGUAACACUCUAAUGCAUGCACUAGGCAUUGUCAGAACUAGGGAUGUGAUAACUCACCCCCACUAAACAAGAAUCUCGUCUCGUGAUUCAAGCGUAGGGUAAGGUGAAAGGUAAACGCAACUAGUAUAAUCUUCACGAUCCAGGGUGCACUUCAGUUGAACGUUGAUUCAGUCACCAUCAUUGUCUUGAAGUCUUGCUCUGAGAAAUCCUGUCAACAUGACAUGGAGGGAAGAAGGAGACUCUAGAAGGACUGAUCUUUCGAAGAUCGAACCACUCAGGAUUAACUCCCGGAAUGACAUAGCAACAUCUCUCGAGCUGAGAGACGAAGCAUACCUCUGGAGGGAUGGAGUGGAGCAGGUGACGAGGUUCACUAGGUAGACAACAAUUCCAGACUUAAGAAUGUGGCGAUCGGUUGUCAACGUAGCGAGGAGUUGAAUUGCCAUGAUACCACGACGAAACAUCCUGGAGAAGGGUGAUUCGUAAAUUGUUACCCUAAGUGGCAAAAAGAAUUACUUUUGAUUUAGAGAUCAUUGAAACUCUUCAUACCAGCCUAAGGCAAUUCACAACGAUCGUUUGGAGGGGGCCAGUAGGAUGGCAUACUCGGACUUGGAUGAUGUGGAUUACCUUGUUGAAGACAAUGCAAUGGCUGAUUUUUGCUUAUCACCGGAAAUGGAAGGGACCCAUGGUAGAAUGGCACAUUGGCGGUGCAAGCUCGGAACAAAAUGCAAAUGCUGGGAAUGAUUCUAGUAACUGGGGAGAGGCUCAACAAUAGAGAGUUAUUCCACUAUUGGAAUGGUUAUAGCAUUGCCGAGGAAACUGAGAGCAAACCCAGUUAGAGCCGAUGAUAACACGUAGCGCUUGUGCGUGCUCUCAAGAACUUGAGCAUUUCCACAAUCAUCAAGGUUUUAUCAACAUCCGUGUCAAGGGUGCUGACAACACAACAUACUACCAUGAUGAAUAGCGAUGGACGAUGCAGAUGCAAAGGAGGAUAACACUUUCUCAGAUUUCACCCUUGGCGGGGCCAAGGAAAUAAAAUCUGGAUGAUCGACCGAGAGACAUUUAGCACUCCGCUUCUAAUGUUCUCCUUGAUGUGCUAGUGUAACCCAUUCAUAGAUAUGGUUUGAUAUCUAGAACAUCAAGUAAAAGGUCGGACUUCGGAACGCAAAAAUCCAUAGGGGCAACUAGGGAGUCAACCCUACGAAAUCCCUAUGGGGGGGUGGCCAACUUCAUCAAUCAAGAUAUUAUAAUAACAGGUCUUCCGGCUGGGUGUGUUGGCCACGACAUCCACUUUACCGGUUAUCGCGCGACCAAUAUUAUAAUUCUUGGGAAAUAUUCCAACCAUCAUAUCUGCCUGAGAUUCAGAUCUGGUUGGUGUCAGGAUAUUCCAGACUCAUCAAGUCCAGGAAGAAAAAUGAAAGUUUGCAACACAAAUCGACGAGAUGACGUUGCGGAAUUCUCGGAAGAUGAACUACGAUAGCAAGCUCCAAAACAUGAGCUGGUUCUGCUACAAACAUGUGAACACGUUGUCCCAGACAAGCAUGCCCACAUGGUAGUCUUACAAUAAAACACUACCGAGUUCUGGUUGGGAACCAUCAGCGAGGAUAUCGAAGUUCUUUCAUAAGUCCGGAUUAGCUCUUAUGAAGAUACUCCUUCUCCUUGAACAAAUCAGUCAGUGGCUUGGUGUGCUAGGAUACACAUAUGUAAUGAAGGUUGCAAGUCUCCAGACCACAGAAUACUUCGCACGUGUGCAUGACUAACUUGCGAUGAUUCCAGAGGAAGCAACAUUGACUUUCUCGAGUCCACGGCGGCAACUUGCAUCAAAUGCACAUGAACUAGAGGAAGUCACUUCUUACAUCCGAACAUAUGCUUCAUGAGCUAGCAUGAACAAAUGCUUUCAAAAGUUUCCAACACUAGCUUAAUGUUCAGCAAAAUUAUGAAGAAGACAAGGAUGUUGUCAAUGGGCACAACAACAAUUCAUCUGGGUUUCCUUUUAUAAGGAAUUCCAUAGUUAAGUGAACAAGUGAUAGCAUUGGUCAGACCCAAAAGAUAUAAUGGUGUAUGCUCGAGGGAUCAACCACGAGUAAGACAACAUUACGAAUAUCGUUGGUUCUGGUCUGAUUGGAUGAUAGCCCAUACUCAAUCAAAGGUUUGGGUAAGAUAAUAGAUCCAACAAUUGUUCACAAGGACCAAUUGAUGAAGAUAUCAUCUUUCUUCAACACACACACACACACAAAAAGAUAUCCCUUAACAUGAACUAAGUCGGACAAGCUUUUAUCUUCCAACUCUCCAAGUUGUUGUUUAGCUUAUCCAACUAGCUCAGGGUAUCCAACACGGAUUCUUGGAGAAGGGGGGGUUUACAGGAAUAAACCAACUUGAUCACGAACUCAACAUAGCGGUCAGGUGACAACCUGGUAAUACUUCUAAGAAGAUAUUCAGAAAAUCACGAACCACCGGUAUGUUACUAAGCUCGAGAACAAUCUUGCUUUUCAGGGCAAGACGAUAUGAUCAAUAGAGCAAGGAUUUGAAAUAAUCCUAACUCAUCGAUCGAGGAGUGAACCAGGAGAAUGGACUAGGUAGCAUGAUCAACCUUAGAAUGAUGAUUCAAAACCAACACGCUAAGAAUGAAAUUAUUGUCCUUUAACUACCAAGCAACAAGGUUGCUAGGAGUAUUGAUUUCACACAUCACGAUUCACUUGUCGACAUUCCGGUUAUAACCACACGGAACCGAGGAAUGAGUAAUGAUGGCGAGAGGUAUCACUGUACCAAGAGUUCAUAGGAUGGUGUGCAAUUCCUAUAACAAUCCCGAUAUAAAAGAUGGUAAUACUCCAAGGUAGAACAGAGCAAAAGCUGGAUUAGCAAUUUGUUCUACGGAGCACAACUUCUUUGACCCAAUCCUGGAUAUGGAAGAGGUACUGGAGUUUGUUUCUCCUAGUCAUUCCACGAUAGAAUGGCUUGACGGACCACAAGAGUAAUAGGCAUCGAUAAACGAACGCACACAUACUCUUGACUAUCAAUUGAUAGACGAAGGUCAGUAGACAGCUAAAGAGGGACAACUCAAAGGAACAUACCAUUUUCUGAGUUGUGGAUGCAUGGUUUAGCAUGUCGAACGAAGUUCAACAUAUUUCUUCCGGAUAACCCAUGCAGAAAGGUAGAACUGGCAGAGCCACAAUAUAUAAUGGAGAACUCAUCAAGAAUAAUCCUGUUGUGAUAUUUCAGUUCAACGAGGAACUUCUGCCAUAAGUAGUUCAUGGUAUUUGGAAGAAGAAGAUACCACGGACUUCAAGGACUAUCGCAAAGGUUACUAAUAUCCUAAAGGCACUAGCAAUUACUAUCAACAUGAAGUAGGUAGAGUGAAUCUCGGGUUCAAGAACCCAGGAACAGAAUACCUAAUACUAAGUAGCAUCACGGGAUGCUUUCGAUAAUGACGGCCAGAGUCAUCACACUGGAACAUAAAUCAUGGCUAGACUACUAGAUGAUCCCCCGAGACACCUAGGGUCAUAAUAGUAACUCCAACAUAAGGUCAAGGCAAUAGAAUACCUCAACUCAACAAUUAGUGUGAUUGAGCUGGCAUAAAGGAACAUCGAAACCAGAGGGAAAGGAUUUUGCAAAUGCAUCAGACUAUUUAGAAACCUGGAAUGACUCGGACAGCAUAACGGCUGUAAAUGCUCAGAAAAGAUUUGAGACAUUCACAAAAAUGGUGGCAUAACCACUCAGAAGCACAAUAUCACGGUUUCGAGAUCAACAAUUAACAUACGGAAGCAGUAAAAACUGAACAGAGGCUUAAAUCCAACAAUCUUAUAAGUCCACUGAUUAGUAACACGUGAUCCUGAUAGAAAGAAGAGAUAGCCUAGUUCUUAAUCCCCGUAGGAAAGAUAAGAUGACUCAGAUCAGAAGGCAUAAGGUAUAAGGAGUAAAAAGAGCCUUACGUUCCAUCCCACAAUCAAUUCCCUUAUAUAACUAAAGAAUUUCUAGACUCAACUUCGACCAGUUUGGCUUGGUAAUCCUACAGGCAGUCAAGCUCUGAUACCAACGCUGUCAGGACCCCGACUCAAUGCCACAUCGAUCUAGCAUGUAACACCUCAUAUCACUUUGCGGCCUCACGCACGGUAUUCCCACGGGUGUCGCCUUACCUUUACCCGGGACCGUUUGCGCCUUUUGGCACACGUAUAUGACAGUGUCGCUAGCAUCUAUAUGAUAAAGAGCCCGGGCUGACAUGGCUAGUCGUAAACCCAAAGUGGCACAGACUUACAGGGACAGGCAUCCAUGACCCAGCAUCGAACGUGUCGGUCAUCAGCGAGUGAAUCCAGGUUGUAGCACUGGGCUAGCAGGACUCCGGUGAACCGGGCUGUAGCGGGCUAACAGGACUCCGGUAUUCAUCGCGUGACAUUUCCCCGAAGGGACAGACACAGGAACGAAGAAGGACACAUGCCGGCCAGCCUAAGUGUUCCGGAGCAGUAGCAAGCUACCAUGGCUCGGUGGAAACACUAGGAGACAUUUCCCCGUAAGAGAGGCUACUAAAGAUAAACAACUAGAUGGUCAGAUCCCACACAUACCAAGCAUUUCAAUAACAUACACACAAUAUGCUCGAUAUGUGCAAAUACAACAUGGCAUCACAACAUGACUCUACGACUCAAGUAAUUUAUUCAAUAGGCUCCGAGGAGCGAGAUAUUACAAACAGGGGUCUCAUGACCCAACAAUCAGAGCAUACAAGUCAAAGCACAAGCGGAAGCUAUCAUGUCUGAGUACAGACAUCUAUAAAUGAAAAGGGCUGAGAAGCCUGACUAUUUAUCAGAUCCUGCCGAGGGCACAAGAUCGUAGCUGAGGUAACAAGCUAAACGUCGAAGUCCACGCGGAACUACUAGUGAGACUGAAGUCUCUCUGCACAAAACAUAAAAUAGGCAAACGUGAGUACAAAUGUACCCAGCAAGACUUACAUCAGAACUAACUACAUAUGCAUCAUUAUCAACAAAGGGGUGGUGGGGUUUAACUGCAGCAAGCCAGCUUUGACUCGGUGGCUAUCCUAAACUACGACUGCAAGCAACUCUUUUGAGGUGGCGCACACGAGUCCACAUAUUCACCAUAUCAAUACACCACUAUGGAUCCGCUCCCGUCUCCCUACGAGAACGCCAUCCAUAGCACUCACGCUUAUCUUGCGUAUUUUAGAGUAUCCACUUUCACUUGUCUAUGAACUGAUAUAAGCAACCCAGAAGUCCUUUUCCGCGGACACGGCUAUUCGAAUAGAUGAUGUUAACCCUGCAGGGGUGUACUUCUUCACACACACUCUCACCACUUACCACCGUUUACACGACAUGUACUCGGCAACCUUCAAGCGGAAGCCCAACGUGGGUGUCGGCCACGGCCUGCCUAAACACUCGAGUCUCUAGUCCAGGUUUAUCGCCUAUUCGGGUUCCAUCCAUGAGGAGAUCCGGCCGGAGUUUCGCUCACAGCCCCAAACGAUGUGAACAGGGUUCCCGAGACACCAAACGGGCGCCCGGUACACCAUGCCACGUGCCUACCGCAUCACAGCCCACCCCUACGGUCAGCGCUGCCCACGGCCUCCCGCAUACUACAAACACCAGAAACUACUUGCAACUCCUGGACAGAGGACAAGGGUGAUUAAGAAGCCGAGAGGGUCCAUUGGUUUCGGGCCCAAUGCGUGGUUGUAGCUGAAUCAUGGAUCACAAACACAGAACUCAGUUCCUAAGGACGGCUUCAAUGAGACAACCCACCAUGUACUCCUACAUGGCCUCUCACCGCUACCUUUACCAAAUCGUGUUCACACACUUAGCUCACACACAGUAGGACAUGUUCACACGCCUCUGAUUCAUCCCCGAUGAAUCAGACCUGACUCAACUCUAAGCAGUAGCAGGCAUGACAAACAAGCAUGAAUGAGUAGGCACAUCAGGGCUCAAACAACUCCUACUCAUACUAGUGGGUUUCAUCUAUUUACUGUGGAAUGACAGGUCAUGCAAUGGAUAAAGGGGUUCAGCUACCGCAGCAAGUAACAAAUAUGUCGUUGUUGUCCUAAUGCAGUAAAAGAGAGCAGGAGCGAGAGAGUGGGAUUUUAUUGGAAUGAACAAGGGGGGUUUUGCUUGCCUGGCACUUCUGAAGAUAACAUUGAGUCUUCAUCAGUGUCAACGAUCACAUCAUCGGUAUCACGUCUAUCGAGAGGGGACAAUUACCGGCAACAUAGAAGGGAACACAAUCAAUGCAAUGCACAAUAUGAUGCAUGAUCAUGACAUGGCAAAAUGAAUGUGUUUUGAGCUAAUGCAACUAGCAACAGAUUAAAUGAAGUUGGUUUGAAUACAAGAUUCAAAUUUAAACUCCAUAUGUGAUUAUUCAAAUGCCAUUUAAUUGAUUUGUGCUAAACAGCAGCUAUAAGUUGUUCUAUCAUGCAUGAAAAUGGUACAGAUGGAUUCCUUGAAUUUUUCUGAUAAUUUUUCAUAUAUAAUUUAUUUAAUUUGGAGUUACGGUUAAUUUUCUAUGAUUUUUAGAAGUUUUAGGCAUUUUCUGGAAUUUCCUGAUUAUUUUUAAAUCCAGAAAAUACUUAUUGCGUUAGCCCCACGUCACAGUGACGUCAGCAGGGUCAACUGGGCGCCCCAGGUCAAACCUGACGUGUGGGGGCCACACGUCAGUGACACAGGAGCUAAUCCCGGUCAAACCCAGCGCUAACUGAGGUUUGACCAGGGGUGGGGCCCACAGUCAGUGGCCUAGGGGGUUGAUUAGGGCGUCAUUAGUGCUAAUUAAGCAUGCCAUGUCGGCAGUCGCCGGAGUAUCGCCGGCGGCGACCAUUCCGCACGGCGGCGCGGCUCGGAUUCGAGCUAGGGCGUCAGUUUGGCGUGCUGAGGGCACCAGGGGAUGGCCCUUGCUCCCGCGCAUCCAGAGGACCGAGUGGGAGGUCGUGGGGUCGCCGGAACUCAUGCCGGCGACGAGCUUUGGCGGCGAUGGUGUUCGGUGGUGCUCGGGCGCGUCGCUACGGUGCAUCAGUGAGCAAAUGGAGAGGCUGGGCAGCACCUGCUAGUCAUGGGGAGCACUAAGAGCAGCUCAGUGAGGCCAGGGGAGCUCGGAGGCUAUGCGUGCAGCAGCAAUGGCGGACGGUGGCUUCGGUGCUCGUGGGGAACGGCGCUACGGCACGGAGGGAAGCAUGCUGAGUUAGGGGAGAGGGUCAGUGACUCACGGCGAUGACGAGGGGACGCUCGGCGAGGUCGGGGACGGUCCGGAGCCGGUGAAUUUGACGAAGAUGGCCGGCGGGUCCAAGGUAGAAGACGACGGGGAUGGCGGCGAUGCAGGGCUUCCGGAGGGCUGUGGAUCGGUGGGGAGGAAGAGGGGGUCGAGGCGGAGCUCCUGGGUGCAUCGGCGAGGCUAGGGGUGGCCGGUGGCCAUGGGUACGGCGACGAUGACGGCGAGCUCCGCUCGGUCGCGGGAGGGGAAACAGAGGAGCGAGGGGGAGGGAGGUCCAGAGAGCGAGGGAGAAGUGAGAGGGGGUCGGGGACGUCUCCGUGGCGUCGCGAGGAAGUCGGGGAGGCUGCCACGGCGAAGCAGGAGGUGGCCGGCGUCGGCGCGCGUGCGUCCAGCACGCAGCUGCUUCGGGGCGAGGGGGAGGAAGAUGACUCGCAGCUGGGCUGCACAGUAACGGGCCGCGCAGAAGCUGGGCCGGCUACAGGUAAGUGGCCCAGGUACGGGUCUUUCUCUCUCUCUCUUUUUCUAAUCAUCUCAGUUUUCUAUUAUUCUGUAAAUUUAGGGCUUUAUUAAAAAUACUCAGACACUUUCAAAAAUCAUGAAACUAAUCAUGGCUACUGUUUAGAAUAUAUCCAACAGUAAACAUUUUAGUUUAUGAUUAUUUGAGGAUUUGAAUAUUUAAUAGCAUUUAAAUGCCCAAAUGAAAAUACUAUAUGAUUUAAUUCAGUGACCAAAUAUGUCCUGCAAAAAUAUAAACCAUUUUUGGUAGAUGCUUCCACCUCAAACCAGAAAUGUUGAACAUUUUUAGAGGACAUUUUGAGUUCAAUGAAAAAGGUUUUAUUUUGACCCUAGUUGAAUUCAUUUGGUGCUAGGGCUUAGUCAAUCCCCAUCUCAGGUUUAAAUGAAAUUUAAACAUGAUGUAACACUCUAAUGCAUGCACUAGGCAUUGUCAGAACUAGGGAUGUGACAAGUACAAGCCUGGACAAGUUCUUAUAUAGAGAAAAGCACUCCCGAGGAAACAUGGGAAUUAUUGGCAAGCUAGUUUUCAUCACGCUCAUAUGAUUCGCGUUCGUUACUUUGAUAAUUUGAUAUGUGGGUGGACCGGUGCUUGGGUACUGCCCUUUCUUGGACAAGCGUCCCACUUAUGAUUGUCCGCAACUACAAAAGAAGUAUUAAGGUGAACCUAACCAUAGCAUGAAACAAGUGGAUCCAAAUCAGCCCCUUACGAAGCAACGCAUAAACUAGGGUUUAAGCUUCUGCCACUCUAGCAACCCAUCAUCUACUUAUUACUUCCCAAUGCCAUCCUCUAGGCCCAAAUAAUGGUGAAGUGUCAUGUAGUUGACGUUCACAUAACACCACUAGAGGAGAGACAACAUACAUCUCAUCAAAAUAUCAAACGAAUACCAAAUUCACAUGACUACUAAUAGCAAGACUUCUCACAUGUCCUCAGGAACAAACGUAACUUCCCACAAAGCAUAUUCAUGUUCAUAAUCAGAGGGGUAUUAAUAUGCAUUAAGGAUCUGAACAUAUGAUCUUCCACCAAAUAAACCAACUAGCAUCAACUACAGGGAGUAAUCAACACUACUAGCAACCCACAGGUACCAAUCUGAGGUUUUGGUACAAAGAUUGGAUACAAGAGAUGAACUAGGGUUUGAGAGGAGAUGGUGCUGUUGAAUAUGUUGAUGGAGAUUGACCCCCUCCUAAUGAGAGGAUUGUUGGUGAUAACGAUGGUGAUGAUUUCCCCCUCCCGGAGGGAAAUUUCCCCGGCAGAACAGCUCCGCCGGAGCCCUAGAUUGGUUCUGCCAAGUUUCCGCCUCGUGGUGGUGGAGUUUCGUCCCGUAAGCUUGCUUAUGAUUUUCUCCAGGGUAAAAGCCUUCAUAUAGCAGAAGAUGGCCAUCGGAGGGCUAUCAGGGGGGCCAUAAGAUAGGGGGGCGCGCCCAGGGGGGUAGAGCGCGCCCCCCACCCUCGUGGAUGGUGGGUGGCCCACCUCAAGUAUUUCUUCUGCUCAAUAUUUUUUUCAAAUCGAAAAAUGAAUUUCGUGGAGUUUCAGGACUUUUGGAGUUGUGCAGAAUAGGUCUCUAAUAUUUGCUCCUUUUCCAGCCCAGAAUCCCAGCUGUCGGCAUUCUCCCUCUUCAUGUAAACCUCGUAAAAUAAGAGAGAAUAGGCAUAAGUAUUGUGACAUAACGUGUAAUAACAUCCCAUAAUGCAAUAAAUAUCAAUAUAAAAGCAUGAUGCAAAAUGGACAUAUCAACUCCCCAAAACUUAGACCUCGCUUGUCCUCAAGCGGAAGCCGAUAUCGAAAAAUAUGUCCACAUGUUUAGAGAUAGAGGUGUCGAUAAAAUAAAAUAUGGACAUGGGGGCAUCAUGAUCAUUCUUAUAACAGCAGCAUUUAUAUAUUGUCAUAUGAUUUCUUAUGCUAAAGUAACAAGCUAUUCACAAUAUCAAGUAUGAAUCAGAAACUUCAUUGAAAACUAAUAAACUAUGAUCUUGGUCAUUGAAGCAAUUGCAAUUUAUCAUAACAUCGGAAAGAGUCAAUAUAAGAGGUUUUCAGCAAGUCCACAUACUCAACUAUCAUUUAGUCUUUCACAAUUGCUAACGCUCACGCAAUACUUAUGGUUAUGAAGUUUUAAUAGGACACGGAGAAAGAUAGGGGCUUAUAGUGUUGCCUCCCAACCUUUUACCUCAAGGGUAAUGUCAACAAUAAUAGUUCAUGCUAACUUACAUCCAAUUGGAUAUAUAUAUAUAUAUAUAUAUUAGGAUCUUUCCAACACGUGGUGCUUGCCAAAGGAUAAAAUAUAAAAAGGAAAGGUGAAGAUCACCUUGACUCUUGCAUAAUGUAAAAGGCAUAAGUAAAAGAUAGGCCCUUCGCAGAGGGAAGCAGAGGUUGUCAUGUGCUUUUUGGUUGGAUGCACGAAAUCUUAAUGCAAAAGAACAUCACUUUAUAUUGCCAAUUGUGAUAUGGACCUUUAUUAUGCAGUCCAUUGCUUUUAGUGCUUCCAUAUCACAAGAUUGUAUAAAGCUUAUUUUCUCCACACUAAUAAGUCAUACAUAUUUAGAGAGCAAUUUUUAUUGCAUACAACAUGACAACUUACUUGAAGGAUCUUACUCAAUCCAUAGGUAGAUAUGGUGGACUCUCAUGGAAAAAUUGGGUUUAAGGAUAUUUGGAAGCACAAGUAGUAUCUCCACUUGGUGCAAGGAAUUUCGCUAGCAUGAGAGGGAAAAGGCAAGAUCAACAUGUUGGAUGAUCCAUGACAAUAUACUUUAUUUCGGAUAUAAGAAAACAUAACCCAUUAUGUUGUCUUCCUUGUCCAACAUCAACUCUUUAGCAUGUCAUAUUUUAAUGAGUGCUCACAAUCAUAAAAGAUGUCCAAGAUAGUAUAAUUAUAUGUGAAAACCUCUCUUUCUUUAUUACUUCCUAUUAAUUGCAACGAUGACCAAAAUUAUGUUUGCCAACUAUCAACAACUUUUAUGCAUCAUACUCUUUAUAUGUGAAGUCAUUACUCUCCAUAAGAUCAAUAUGAUCUCUUUUAUUUCUUUUUAUUCUUUCUUUUAUUUUUCUCAAGAUCAUAGCAAGAUAUCAAAUCCCUUGACUCAACACUAAUCUUUAUUAUAUAUAGCUCACGGACUCAAUUACAUAGAGUGAUCAUAAGGCAAAACUCAAAACUAAAUCAUACCAAAACUUUAUUCUACUAGAUCAAGAUAUUACUAAAAGGAUCGAACUAAGUAAAACAGUAAAGAUAGGAGUGUGAUGGUGAUAUGAUAUUGGGGCACCUCCCCCAAGCUUGGUAGUUGCCAAGGGGAGUGCCCAUACCCAUGUGAUUAAUUCCUCGGAGGUGGUGAUGAUGGAGUUGUUGAUGAAGUAGGCUUGUCGUCUGUCUUCCAAGGCAUAGGCUCACCAUCAUAGGAGGAUGAUCGACUCUCCGGUAUCCUCAAAUCUGCAGCCAAACUCAUCCUCUUGAAUCUAUAUUCAUACUCACAGUUUUGGUUUUGUAGGUCUUAGAUCUGGGCUUGGAGGUGCUCGAUUUUCUCAUGAAUCUUCAAGAUGGUUUCCCCAAUGUUCUUGGCAUCUAGCUUGUGGUUGUUGGUGAACUCCGCGAUCAUCAUCUGGUUGGCGUUGAGUCCGCGUUCCACCAUCCCUUGGCACUUGAAAACUUGUUAUUCCAUUGCUUCGAGUCUUGUCUCCAUGCUUCCGAUCCUUCUUGGCCCCUCAACAUCGUGGAUGUGCAGCACCCUCUCAUGCAUCUCAAUGGUUUGAGGGUGAUGCAGCACCUCCGCGAGGUAGGGGUUGAUAACCUUCUCAAAACACUUGUCCUUGGGGGCGCUUGGAGACGUCAUGGUGAUCUAGAUCUGUCAGAAAAACAACUCGAAACAAAGAUAGAGGAUAUUUGCGUGAUACGGUGGUCAAAACUUUCGGGAGAUUAUAUAAUGAAUAUUUACCGACCAAAAGAAGUAUCGUGCAAGAAAACGGAGUCCGGAGAGCACAAGAGGUGCCCACGAGGCAGGGGGCGCGCCCAGGGGGGUACGGCGCACCCUCCACCCUCGUGGACGCCUCGUGUCCUUCCCGGACUACUUCUUAUUUUCCUAUUUUCUUAAAUAUUCCAAAACGGAGAAAAAUUGCUAUUAUAACUGUUUUGGAGUCGCUUUACUUACCGUACAACAUACCUAUUUCUUUUUGGAGUCUGAAACAUUCUGGAAAGUAUCCCUUAUGUAUUCCUCCGGGGUUACAGUCUCAAUAACAUUAGUUUCAACAUUUAUUGGAUUACCUGAGAUAUAAUGUUUGAUUCUUUGACCGUUCACCACCUUCGGAUUUGUGCCUACAAAGUUAUUGAUUUUUAUGGCACAGGAAUGAUAGACCUCCUCGAUAACGUAAAGGCCUUCCCAUUUAGAGAGAAGUUUUCCUGCAAAAAAUCUUAAAUGAGAGUUGUAUAGAAACACAUAAUCACCUACAUUAAACUCAUGCUUUUGUAUCCUUUUGCCAUGCCAUCUUUUAACUUUUUCUUUAAACAGUUUGGCAUUCUCAUAGGCUUGAGUUCUCCAUUCAUCAAGUGAGCUAAUGCCAAAUAACCUCUUCUCACCGGCAAGUUUGAAAUCAUAAUUGAGCUCUUUAAUGGCCCAAUAUGCCUUAUGUUCUAGUUCAAGAGGUAAGUGACAUGCUUUUCCAUAAAUCAUUUUAUAUGGAGACAUACCCAUAGGAUUUUUAUAUGCAGUCCUAUAAGCCCAUAGUGCAUCAUCAACUUUCUUGGACCAAUUCUUUCUAGAUCUAUUAACAGUCUUUUGCAAAAUUAAUUUAAGCUCUCUAUUACUCAAUUCUACUUGACCACUAGACUGUGGCUGAUAAGGGGAUGCAAUUCUAUGAUUAACAUCAUACUUACCAAGCAUUUUACAAAAAGCACCAUGAAUAAAAUAUUAACCACCAUCAGUCAUUAGGUAUCUAGGGACUCCAAACCUCGGAAAAAUAACUUCUUUAAGCAUCUUAAUAGAGGUGUUAUGAUCAGCACUACUAGUUGGAAUAGCUUCUACCCACCUAGUAACGUAAUCAACAGCAACUAAAAUAUGUGUAUACCCAUUAGAGGAAGGAAACGGUCCCAUAUAAUCAAAGCCCCAAACAUCAAAUGGUUCAAUAACAAGAGAAUAAUUCAUAGGCAUUUCUUGAUGUCUACUAAUAUUACCAAUUCUUUGACAUUCGUCACAAGACAAGACAAACUUACGGGCAUCUUUGAAGAGAGUAGGCCAAUAAAAACCGGAUUGCAAUACCUUAUGUGCAGUUCUAUCUCCAGCGUGGUGUCCUCCAUAUGCCUCGGAGUGACACGUGCGUAGGAUCUAUUCCUGUUCAUGCUCAGGUACACAAUGUCUAAUAACACCAUCUACUCCUUCUUUAUAAAAGUGUGGGUCAUCCCAGAAGUAAUGUCUUAAAUCAUAGCAAAACUUUUUAUUUUGCUGGUAUGUGAAACUAGGUGGUAUAAAUUUAGUAACAAUGUAAUUAGCAUAAUCAGCAUACCAUGGAGCAGUACGAGAAGCAUUUAUGACAGCUAAUUGUUCAUCAGGAAAGCUAUCAUGAAUAGGUAGUGGGUCAUCAAGAACAUUCUCUAACCUAGACAAGUUGUCUACAACGGGGUUCUCAGCUCCCUUUCUAUCAAUAAUAUGCAAAUCAAAUUCUUGUAGCAAGAGAACCCAUCUAAUUAGUCUAGGUUUAGAAUCUUUCUUGUCCAUAAGAUAUUUUAUAGCAGCAUGAUCAGUGUGAAUAGUUACUUUAGAAUCAACAAUAUAAGGUCUGAACUUAUCACAAGCAAAUACGACUGCUAAGAAUUCUUUUUCAGUAGUAGCAUAAUUUCUUUGGGCAUUGUCUAGAGUUUUACUAGCAUAUUGAAUAACAUUUAGUUUCUUAUCAACUCUUUGUCCUAGAACAGCACAUAAUCACUAGCAUCACACAUAAUUUCAAAGGGUAAAUUCCAAUCAGGUGGUUGAACAAUAGGUGCAGAAAUCAAAGCUUUCUUAAGUAUUUCAAAUGCUUCUACACAAUCGUCAUCGAAGACAAAAGGAAUAUCUUUUUGCAAUAAAUUAGUCAGAGGCCUAGAAAUUUUAGAGAAGUCCUUAAUGAACCUCCUAUAAAAACCAGCAUGAUCAAGGAAACUUCUUAUACCUUUAAUGUCCUUGUGACACGGCAUCUUUUCAAUAGCAUCAACUUUAGCUUUAUCAACUUCAAUACCUCUUUCAGAGAUUUUAUGCCCCAAGACAAUGCCUUCAUUAACCAUAAAGUGGCACUUCUCCCAAUUCAAAACAAGACUAGUAUCUUCGCAUCUCUACAAAACUCGAUCAAGGUUUCUCAAGCAAUCAUCAAAAUAAGAUCCAUAAAUGGAGAAAUCAUCCGUGAAAACUUCACAAAUCUUCUCACAAAAGUUAGAGAAUAUAGCCAUCAUGCAUCUUUGAAAGGUAGCAGGUGCAUUACAUAAACCAAAAGGCAUACGUCUAUAAGCAAAAGUACCAAAAGGGCAAGUAAAAGUGGUCUUUUCUUGAUCCUCUACUGACACAGGUAUUUGAGAGAAACCAGAGUAACCAUCUAGAAAGCAAAAAAUGUGUAUGUUUAGAUAAUCUUUCUAGCAUUUCAUCAAUAAAAGGUAGAGGGUAAUGAUCCUUUUUAGUAGCUUUAUUUAACUUAUGGAAAUCAAUUACCAUCCUAUAACCUGUAAUAAUUCUUUACGGGAUCAAUUCAUCUUUAUCAUUACGAACAACAGUAAUACCUCCCUUCUUAGGGACACAAUGGACAGGGCUUACCCACUGACUAUCAGCAACGGGAUAAAUUAUACCUGCCUCCAGGAGCUUUAGUAUUUCCUUUCUUACCACUUCUUUCAUCUUAGGGUUUAACCGUCGUUGGUGAUCAAUAACUGGUUUGGCGUCUUUCUCCAAAUUUAUCUUGUGUUGACAUAAAGUGGGACUAAUGCCCUUAAGAUCAUCAAGAGUAUAUCCAAUAGCAGCAUGGUGCUUCUUCAGAGUUUUCAAUAAUCUUUCAUCUUCCUGCUCGGAAAGGUUAGCACUAAUAAUAACAGGAUAUAUCUUCUUUUCAUCAAGAUAAGCAUAUUUAAGAGUAUCAAGUAAUGGUUUAAGCUCAAACAUGGGAUCACCCUUGGGUGGAGGAGGAUCCCCUAGGAUUUCAACAAGCAAGUUGUGUUUCAAAAUAGGUCCCUGUUUAAAGAAUACUUCAUCUAUCUCCCUUCUUUCAUUCAUAAACAUAUCAUUUUCAUGGUCUAGCAAAUAUUGUUCUAAAGGAUCAUGAGGAAGCACGGCAAUAGAAGCAAGACCAAUAAUUUCAUCCUUACUAGGAAAUUCUUUAUCAUGGGGAUGUCUACGAAAUUUAGCAAAAUUAAACUCAUGAGACAUAUCCCCCAAACCAAUAGUAACAACAUCAUUUUCGCAAUCUAUCUUAGCAUUAACAGUAUUCAAGAAGGGUCUACCAAAUAUAAUGGGACAAAAAUCAUCUUGUGGGGAACCAAGAACAAGAAAAUUAGCAUGAUAUUUAACUUUCCCACACAAGACUUCAACAUCUCUAACGAUCCCAAUUGGUGAAAUAGUAUCUCUAUUGGCAAGCUUAAUUGUAACAUCAAUUUCUUCUAUCUCAGCAGGUGCAAUAUCAUGCAUAAUUUCUUUGUAUAAGGAAUGAGGUAUUACACUAGCAUUAGCACCCAUAUCACAUAAGCCAUUAUAACAAUGAUCUCCUAUUUUAACAGAAAUAACAGGCAUGCCUACAACAGGUCUAUGUUUCUUAGCAUCGGGUCUAGCAAUUCUAGCAGCUGCAUCACAGAAAUAAAUAACAUGCCCAUCAAUAUUAUCAGCCAAGAGAUCUUUAACCAUAGCAAUACUAGGUUCAACUUUAAUUUCAGGAGGUGUACAUGUUCUAGUAUUACUCUUACGAACCACAGUUGAAGCUUUAGCAUGAUGCUUUAUCCUAACAUGGAAAGGUGGUUUCUCAAUAUAAGUAGCAGGAACAAUAGGAUCAUUAUAAGUGAUAGUAUUUUCUUCAACUUUAAUAGGUGCAACUACUUUUACUUCAGUAGGAGGGUUAUAUUUAAACCACUUCUCCUUAGGUAGGUCAACAUGAGUAGCAAAUGAUUCACAGAAAGAAGCUACUAUCUCAGAGUCAAGUCCAUAUUUAGUGCUAAAUUCACGGAAAACAUCGGUAUCCAUAAAAGAUUUAACACAAUCAAACUUAGGUGUCAUACCUGACUCCUUACCUUCGUCGAGAUCCCAAUAUUCAGAGUUGUGUUUAAUUCUUUCUACUAAAUCCCAUUUGAAUUCAAUAGUCUUCAUCAUAAAAGACCCAGCACAAGAAGUAUCGAGCAUGGAGCGAUGGUUGAGAGAAAGUCGAGCAUGAAAAUUUUGAAUAAUCAUUUCUCUUGAGAACUCAUGAUUGGGGCACGAAUAUAACAUUGGCUUAAGCCUCCCCCAAACUUGAGCGAUGCUUUCUACUUCGCGAGGCCAAAAAUUAUAUAUAUAAUUACGAUCACGAUGAACAAGAUGCAUAGGAUAAAACUUCUGAUGAAAUUCCAAUUUCAAUCAUUUGUAGUUCCAUGAUCCCAUAUCAUCACAUAGCCUAUACCAUGUCAAUGCAUCUCCCUCGAAAGAUAAAGGGAAGACCUUCUUCUUGAUAACAUCAUCGGGCAUACCUGCAAGCUUAAAUAAUCCACAAACUUCAUCCACAUAGAUUAGGUGUAAAUCGGGAUGCAAUGUUCCAUCUCCUAUAAAGGGAUUAGCUAGCAGUUUCUCUAUCAUACCCGAAGGAAUUUCAAAGUAAAAAAUUUUAGUAUGUUCAGGAGCAACUCUUUGCUCUUCUGGUCGGGGUGAAGAUACCCCGAACAAGCCCCUCAAAGGAUUAUGUUCCAUAGUAACAAGUGACAGUAAAUUUCAGCACACUAUAUAAAUUUUUCCUUACCAAGUUCCACUUACCAAAGGCACUUCACUCCCCGGCAAUGGCGCCAGAAAAGAGUCUUGAUGACCCACAAGUAUAGGGGAUCUAUCGUAGUCCUUUCGAUAAGUAAGAGUGUCAAACCGAACGAGGAGCAGAAGGAAAUGUCAAGCGGUUUUCAGUAAGGUAUUAUCUGCAAGCACUGAAAUUAUCGGUAACAGAUAGUUUUGUGAUAAGGUAAUUUGUAAAGGGUAACAAGAAAUUAAAGUAAAUAAGGUGCAGCAAGGUGGCCCAAUCCUUUUGGUAGCAAAGGACAAGCCUGGACAAGUUCUUAUAUAGAGAAAAGUGCUCACGAGGACACAUGAGAAUUAUUGUCAAGCUAGUUUUCAUCACGCUCAUAUGAUUCGCGUUCGUUACUUUGAUAAUUUGAUAUGUGGGUGGACCGGUGCUUGGGUACUGCCCUUUCUUGGACAAGCAUCCCACUUAUGAUUUCCCCCUCCUAGAGGGAAAUUUCCCCAACAGAACAGCUCCGCCGGAGCCCUAGAUUGGUUCCGCCAAGGUUUCGCCUCGUGGCAGCAGAGUUUCGUCCCGUAAGCUUGCUUAUAAUUUUUUCCAGGGUAAAAGCCUUCAUAUAGCAGAAGAUGGCCACCGGAGGGCUGCCAGGGGGCCCACGAGGCAGGGGGCGCCCAGGGGGGUAGGGCAUGCCCCCCACCCUCAUUGAUGGUGGGUGGCUCCCCUCAGGUAUUUCUUCUUCUCAAUAAUUUUUAUUAAAUCCAAAAAUUACUAUCAUGGAGUUUCAGGACUUUUGAAGUUGUGCAGAAUAGGUCUCUAAUAUUUGCUCCUUUUCCAGCCCAGAAUCCCAGCUGUCGGCAUUCUCCCUCUUCAUGUAAACCUCGUAAAAUAAGAGAGAAUAAGCAUAAGUAUUGUGACAUAACGUGUAAUAACAUCCCAUAAUGCAAUAAAUAUCAAUAUAAAAGCAUGAUGCAAAAUGGACGUAUCAGCGACCCCCACCCCCACCCUCAACCCUAAGAUAGAUAAUGGGGUACCUCUCCGGUGAGCCCCCCUCCCUGCUAUGGGUGGUUAUUCCUUAACUCCGGUGAGCCCCCCACCCCCCCCCCUUAAAAUCGACUGACCCAAAAGUCGAUUCAGUCGACUGAAGUGUAGCUAAAUCAGAGCAGAGCAGCAGCACGAGCAAGGGGGAGAGCAGGAGCAGCAGCACGAGCGAGCGAGCAAGCGAGAGCUGGAGCAGCAACAACAGUGCAAGCGAACGAGCGAGCGAGAGCCAGAGCAGCAACAAUAGCGCGAGCGAGAGACGGAGCAGCAACAGCUGCGCGAGCAAGCGAGCGAGAGCCGGAGCAGUAGCAGCUGCACGAGCGAACGAGCAAGAGCCGGAGCAGCAGCAGCGCGAGCGAGCAAGUGAGAGCUAGAGCAUCAGCAGCAGCGCGAGCGAGCCAGCGAGAGCCGGAGCAGCAGUAGCUGCACGAGUGAGCGAGAGCCAGAGCAGGAGCAGCAGCUUGAGAAAGCGAGCGAGAGUCGGAGCAGCAGGAGCAGCGCGAGCGAGCAAGCAAGAGCCGGAGCAGCAGCAGCAGAUCCAGCUAGUAUGGACGCCGCCGCCGAAGGGGCCUCGCACUGGGGGGAGCCGUCGUGGAGAUGUCGCCCGUGGCGCCGGCUUCAAGGUAGUCGCCCCAUGGGGGUGCAGUAUUGAGCACCAUCAGCGCCGGGAGGUCGAGUUAAGGAGAAGGUGCGAUGCGAUGAGUGUAUAACCUCUUUGGUGGCGCCGAGUAGGCCUCGGCUUAGUCCGAGGAGUCAGUGAGGAUGUUGCAGUUCCGGUGGAGCAGGUUAAGGUGAUGCUGUGGGGAUGGAGCAGCCGCGAUAGACGAGGCGAUCUCGGAGCAGCUCCUUGGAUGUGGAGGAUGGGGCGGCUGAACCAGCGGUAUGACGAGAUGGAUGACUGAUCCUCAUCCGGGGAGGUGGACGAGGGACGUUGAGCUGUUGCGGUGGACGAUGCCAUCAGGGAAGAGGCUCCGGCUGGGCAGCGGUGAGGUCGCGGACAGAGGAGGGUGGGGUUUCGCGGCUGGAGCGGAGAGGUUAUGGCGGCCUGGGAUUUCGAAUGGCGAAAAGGAGGCGAUGGGAGGGGGAAACAUGACUUAGGGAUGCGCUUGUCCAAAAUGUAGGGUGUGUUACAGAAGUACCCCCACCGAUUUGAACUAGCGGCCCUUUCGGCUCAGGGUUAGAAGGGGGAUUUCGUGUGUCGGGAUUUGGCAGCUAGAGGGAGUUUUCGCGCGUGUUGUAAUUUCGGGAUAGCAAGGCGCGGAUUGUGAAGACGCCAGUUUUGGGAGCACGAUAUCUGAAUUUUCGGGAUAUAACAAGGUGCGGGUUGAAUUUUAGGGACAAGCCUAACCUGUAAUAUUAUACUUGUACGUGCCAAAUCAAUUCGCACUUCCCUCAACGAAAAAAACGAGAAAAAUAAAACUAUUCACACACCACAAAGAGAGAGUCUUGUCCCAUUUUACUAUACAAAUGCUAUUCAAAGCUACUCCCUCAUUCCAUCUAUAUAGGGGCUAAUGCGUUUUUCGAGGCUAACUUUGACCAAAUAUUAGAGCAAUAAUAUAUGACAUGCAACUUACACAAAGCACACAGUUAAAUUCGUGUGUGAAAGGAGCUUUCAAUGAUAUAAUUUUCACAUUGUGCAUGUCAUGUACUAUUAAUCUUGUCAAUAGUCAAAGGUCGUCCUAAAAAACGCAUUAGGCCCUAUAUAGAUGGAAGGAGGGAGUAUGAAUCCAUGUUAUGUCCAAUUAAAAAAUUUCACUGGUUGUAUAAUGCAUGUAACCUACUCAUACGAACAUUUUAGUGCAUUCCAAAUAUCUAUACUACCGCUGCAAUUCAAACUGAAUUUGAAUUCGUUUCUCUAUUUCAAUAGGAAUCUACAAUCAUGAUUGUUGCCAACUUCAACCAUCAUUCGUGUAUUACCUACUAUAGAGAUAGAUAUGAACUAUGUGUAUUAUAUGAACUCGAAUUCUAUUUUUUGAAUACACUUGAUGUUGAUUCCAAAUAAUAGUACAUUUGAUGUACUAACUAUAUAUUCAUAAUCUAAACCAUGUUCCAUAUGUACACCGUGUUUAUCACACAAAGUAUAGUGCCCUGUCCCCUACAUUAUGACAAGUAUUUAGCCCUGAGCUACAAAAGCCACACAUCAGCCCAAAUUAUAAUCAAUGUUCUACAUUAUGAUAUCUUCUUCAAGUAUGUGUAUCCACUUUUUUAUAAUGAAUUAUGAUCUUUGUUCGUCUUUUACACCUUCAGGAUCCUCUUCUAUUUGUAGCUAGCUAGCGCUAACUUUCUAUCAUGCAUGCACAUGCCCGCCCCCCUCUCACCCUCCCUCAGCGUCCCCUCCAUCGCGCACGUUCCUUAUUUCUCUUUAGGUCGUUCACCCGCGGUGUGUGUAGGCCCCCCGGCUCCUUCUCUCCGGCACACACCAGUCGAUAUACCUCUCUUGCCAAGUGUGCCUACCACAAACACAUAUAUACUUCCCGUCUUCUCUUCUCACCGUCCAUGCCCCCUAUGUCCAAUAUGGUUCCACGCAGGUGCACACUCCCGCCCCUCUUUUCAUUGAUCUCAUACUCGCACACUCCUCCCCCUCGACAUGGUAGGCCUCUCGCACCACCUCCUAGCCGUACCCCUCUCCCCCUGUCUAUCUCUCCGGACCUUAUUUUCUUCUAACACAUGCAUGCAUGCAUAUGUACCGAUCUCCCUACAUAUAGCCAGGUCGACUAUAAUUCGUUUUGCCCAUGCACCAAUACACUUACCUCACUAGUUAUGUCUCUCCCUUUCUCGGACACACGACGGUUGAUCUUCCUAUGUAGUUACGUAUGCUUACCACAACCAUAUCAUCUCCCCUCAUCAUCCUUGCAUACCUCCCGACCCGUCUCUCACACGCACAUGCAUAGACAGACAGACAUCCCCCGCCCUCUCUUAUUGAUAUUGCACUCGUACCCUCCGUUUGUCUAGCAGGCCUCUCCCACCAUUUGUGAGAUGCCACUCCACAACCAACCCUCCGACACUCUACCUUUGUCUUUCUCCCAACCUUAUUCCUCUGCUACACAUAUCCAUGGAUGACGAUCGAUCUCCCUCAAUACAUAGCUAGGUCUCUCUCCUUCCCCACACAUAUACUAGUCAAUNNNNNNNNNNNNNNNNNNNNNNNNNNNNNNNNNNNNNNNNNNNNNNNNNNNNNNNNNNNNNNNNNNNNNNNNNNNNNNNNNNNNNNNNNNNNNNNNNNNNNNNNNNNNNNNNNNNNNNNNNNNNNNNNNNNNNNNNNNNNNNNNNNNNNNNNNNNNNNNNNNNNNNNNNNNNNNNNNNNNNNNNNNNNNNNNNNNNNNNNNNNNNNNNNNNNNNNNNNNNNNNNNNNNNNNNNNNNNNNNNNNNNNNNNNNNNNNNNNNNNNNNNNNNNNNNNNNNNNNNNNNNNNNNNCAUGCCACAGAGAAAAACUGCACUUCUGCCCUCUCAAAUUCCAGUAGGCCAGCCGCCUUGUAUCUUUGACGUGGGCAAACACAAAUUCGAUGGCACUCUUUAUCGAUCGCGCAGCCACACACUUCAUCCCUGUUUUCAAUUCUAUCGAUAUCUAACGUCCAUGACUCCAUUUCACACACAUUUCAUAUGUUAUGUUUUUUUGUUUGAGAUAUCAUCGACACAUUGCCUCAGUUUCGCACAAACCAUCUCUCUCACACCCACCCACGUACGUACCUGCACCUAAAGAAGAGGUGCACGCAGGACGCACGUACUCAUGUCUCGUUCCCGACCACACCCGUGCAGGUACACGGUGGAGUUUGUUUCUAUACGAAAAGGCAGACCACGUGAUAAUUUGACGUGUGUAGCGGUUGUUUACUCGAAGGAGGGUCGGGUACCACGCCUAGACGGAGCAAAGUUUGACUUGACGCAUUAGCUUCAUUUAUUACCUUGUAGACUCAUCCUCUCUUAGAAAGCGCUAUGUUAUAGUAACAUAUUAUGUUACUCUAAACACAUCUCUCCUCAUUAAAUACAUGCCACAUAAGCAAACUUGUCUUGGACUGCGCUAUGUUACUACCUAUGUUACUCCCACUAUGAACUGUUGCACGUCCACCGCUUGUAAGCAAAAGUUUCUCCUCGUGCUGCGAGCCACCGCGCACACGUUGGCGAGGGAGAAGGCAUAGUAAGCAAGCUUCUCGUCGUUCUGCGAGUUGACGGGACACAUCAAAGUUAUUUAGUAUGUACUCUCUCCAAAAAAGGGUUGACCAUGUCAUGGCUACCAUCCCGUGCUCCGCCGUUGAGUACGUGCACUAUUCACGUGCCAUCGAGGAGAAAAAAUAUUGCGUAGUGGGUGCCAUCGAAGUGCACGACUCACUUACGCAUUGCUUAUCUGAUUAUCUCCAUUUUCUUGCAUGACACGUGCACCUUGAUGCCAGAUGUCUCGCGUGUUGGCAAAAGGAUGAACAAAGCUCACGUUAAAAAAAAGAGUGGAAGAACAUAGAUUCCUGAUGACCGAGAAGGAGCAAGGAACCUCGUGGUGGAGCGUCUACACUCAUAAUAUUUUAUAUUAUUCAGCAAUAUAAAAUCAAGCAAUCAUCUCCACAGUGGACUGGAAGAGUACGAAACACGGCAACCCAGUGUAGUUACAUCAUACUACAUGGCUAACCCACGCUAUCACUAUAUUUGUUGGCUUCCAUGCGACACCUAGCUCUAGAAAUCCAGCAACCUGUAUCGCUUCUCGCUCCUCGUCUCUCUCAAAGUGCGACGGGCUGGCAUUUUUGCCGUCUAUUGAGGUUUGUUAACUCAUCACGUGUUAGCGACAUGCCAAGAGCAUUCUAAAAAAUACUUUACUCUAUUGUUAUGCCAAGAAGAGGAAGCGCUUUGACCGACGGACCAAACAAGACAGGCGUGUCGUGCCAUGAGUGGGUCUAGUUUCUCGUUUUGAACUCGUUUAGAACACUUGGUUUUGACUAUUGAUAAGAUUUUAUAUAGGGCAUCAUAUAUUCUUCGAGGAUGCCUUUGACUAUUGAUAAGAUUUUAUAUAAUUUGAAAAUUAUAUCUUUCAAAGAUUUCACAUUCCGUUUAACAAAAAGAUCCUUUCAUGUACGAAUUUGACUGUAUGCUUUGAGAAACUUGCAUGUCCUAUACUGCUCCUGUUUGGAUACUCUAACUUAGCUAGAGGUUAGACUAACUCAUGACUAACCCUGAACUAACUGUAGCCAAAGAGGUGUUUGGGUGAUAGGGUUGGAUUGACAAUAAAUGCACUUGAUGGAGAGAGAAAAGUGAUACAGUGGGCCCAAUGCAAACUAUCUCCAAUUAGCACCUCUUGGGUGGGAUAGGCUUUUUUGGUGGGUUCGGUGCAACUUGCUCCAAUUUAACCCUCAUGCUUGGAUACUUUAGAGCUAUUUGAGCCCAACCUAGCUCAAACUAACUCUAACCCAUGGAUCCAAAUAGGGCCAAAGUUAGUAUCGAAAAAUGCAUUAAGCCCUAUAUACAUGGACAGACGGAGUACAUGAUACAUACUAGCAAACGUUCACCACUAGUAGUAGUUCAUUGGUUGGUUUCGAUUUUUGAUUCAGUUGUUGUGCUGCUACCGUCCACUAUUCGCGUGUGGUUGUUUCUAGAAUAAAAAAAGGAGGUACCCCUACUUAUGUUACUCCCACUAUGCCUAGCCUAAGGUUAGUAGGUGACCUUGCGCUUGGCUCUUAGCCUCUUAGGGAAGUCGAACAAUAAUGAUGGUACUAUAGUAGUACUUCUGGCAAUCUGACACCAAAUAAACUGCUGCACGUCCACCUCUUGUAAGCAAAAGUUCCUCCUCGUGCUGCGAGUCACCGCGCACGUGUUGGCGAGGGAGAAGGCGUAGUAAGCAAGCUUCUCGUCAUUCUACGAGUUGAUGGGACACAUCAAAGUUAUUUAGUACUCUCUCCAAAAAAGGGCUGACCAUGUCAUGGCUACCAUCCCGUGCUCCGUCGUUUAGUACAUGCACUAUUCAUGUGCCAUUGAGGAGAAAAAAUAUUGCGUAGUAGGUGCCAUUGAAGUGCACAACUCACUUACGCAUUGAUUAUCUUAUUAUCUCCAUUUUCUUGAAUGACACAUGCACCUUGAUGCUAGAUGUCUCGCGUGUUGGCAAAAUGAUGAACAAAGCUCACAUAAAAAAAGAGUUGAAGAACGUAUAUUCAUGACGACUGAGAAGGAGCAAGGAACCUCGCGGUGGAGCGUCUGCAAGGAACCUUGCGCGUUUUCCCCUGUUUUUUGCCGCUUGCCCACCUAUAAACAAAUAAAAUAACAUGAACUCUUCGCUAACCACUAGAGACGAUACAUCAGGAUGCUAAGUUGAAGAUGUUUUAUACUUUAUAUUGAUAACCACGCAAGAAGCCACGCAUGUACAGGACACAUGCAGUCACGCAUGUACACAUGCCAACACACUAACUCAUGCUGAUCCAACUCAUGCACAUACACGCACAACAUAGAGCACACAGCGCACGUACACAACACAUGCAUGCACACACACUCGGCCACAGAAUGCACGUGAAUAACACAUGCAUGCGCACACAAUCGGUUGCAUGGAGGUGUGCGCCAUCUGCGGCGACGUCCAGUUCGUCCUGCUAUGGUGAAGCUCGCACACAACGGCGCCUACACAUCUCUUGGUGCACCUCUUUUCCGUCAUUGCUCAACGACUAGUCGGCGACGAAGACGACCGCAGCCUCGGCCUUACAGCUAGCACCAAUGGAAAAGCACGCACGCUGCAUGCACACGAGCACGUACGGAGUGCCCACGACGUGGUGCGUCCCCAGUCGCCUCUACUCCUUCUGCGCAUGUUGUCUAUCAAGGCGGCUGCAUGCCUAAUGAUGAUAUGGGUGAGAUCUUCUAGGACUAAGAUGAUGACGAGGAAAAUUAUGAGACUACCCACAGUGGGAGUAACAUAGGUAGUAACAUCACACAUGUCUAGAUAAGGUAGAUGAUGUGGCAGGCAAUAAAUGAUGAAAGAGAGGAAAGUAGUAACAUCACACAUAUCAAGGCAAGAUGUGUCUAUAGACUAAUAAAUAAAGUGUUGCAUGUUACCACACAUAUGUUACUAUAGAGGUAGUAACAUAGACUAGUAACAUGAGCAUGUUACUAGUCUAUGUUACUACCCAUUGUGGCUAGUCUGAGGGGGGUGUCUCCAACAGUGUUCCUCGGCUCGUACCUCUUGCAUCACAGUGGCAUCUCAGAUCUAGACACAAGGUGACGUACACCGUCAAGGUCCACGGUCAAGGGGCUCAGGGCGAACGCGACCUCUCACUGCGUCCGCCAUUUGAAGUGGCACACCGCCCAGGGCGCCGCCCACUGCACUCCCAGCUGUACCCGCCUCCUCGCCGCAUUCAAAAACCUACAUUUAAAACCGCGUGGAAUGGGAGAAACCAGCUCCGACCACACACUUCCGUUCAGGAGCAGGACGCCGACCAAGCUCCUCCUUCCACCAUUUUGUCCACUCUUUCGACGGCAUCCAACGAGCAGGAAGAGCAGUUCUCCAGCAUAAAAGCCGUCUGGGUGGCCCAUCGAGCCCGGCAGUUACGAGCGAGGCAGCUCGCUUCUCCACCUACCUCGCCUAGCCCUUGGGAGGAAGUUGCCGCACUAAGCCAGUGCAUGGUUCCGCAGCUGGCCUCUCCAAUACAGCUCAAGGAAUAGUGCUGACUUGCUCCAUGCCGGCUUGUCGAGGAGCACGGCGGCACGGGCAUCGUCGCUACCCUCGAUGCCGCCGCGAUGUAGAUCGCCUCUAGUGUUUGCGACUGCGCCAUCCGUCGUCGACACGCUUGUAGCCGCAACAUGCAGGCAGAUAAAAAAGCCGCCGGGAAUGUCGACGAGGUGAUGCGACUACACGGAUGUCGAUGAGGUGACGGGCAGCAUGUCCCCUCCCGCUGCCAUCAUCGAGGAGAAGUAGAACACGGGAGGCCGACGCCGAUUGUAUCCCAUGAAGGCCACCGCCGAGGCGACGCCGGUGAAUACAGCCAGUGUCUUGCACAAUUCUUCUUCUGCCGGAUGCUGGAGGAGGACAAAGGGAUCGGGCGGCGACCAUUAGAUUAGGUAUUUUAAUUCUACCAGGCUAGUUGUAAUGGGAGUAUUAUAAGUAGUAUCAUGCAUGCCAACUAGUAGUAGGCAAAUUUGAUGAGGUGCAUAGAAUUAAAUGAAGAAAGAGAGAGUUGAGUAUCAUAUUAUGAUACCGUAUGGAAUUAAGACCUCUUCAAUGCAAAUGUGCUUAGAUGAGAUGCUAAGUGUAUUAAAUGGCUUAGCAACUCAAGUCUCCAAUGCAUAGGUGCUUAGUUUGUUGUUGCUAAGCUUGCUUCAUUUAAUUAGCUAUACUCAAAAUUGUCUUCCCGCAGUUUCUUCCUGGGGUCACCAAACUAGUCUCUCUCUCUUCUUAAUUAACUUGCCACAUCAUAUUUUAUGCCUACGUGGCAGGCUUAGCAGCUAUACAUGGUGGAGCGCUAGGAGAGGCCAAGGCUGGUCAUAGUGGGGAGUAACUUAUACUGUAACAUAUUACUAUGUUACUCUAAACAUCUCUAUAAACCGGAAAGGAGGGAGUAGUAACAUAGACUAGUGUCAUAUGCAUGAAACUACUAGUGAAUAUGGGAGCACAUGAUAUUUCGCCGUCCGGACCGAUCCCAAGUUGGCUUCUCACCUUCUUGGCCCAACAAAAAAACCUCCCCCCACCCACACGUGCUUCCCGCCCGGCGCCAGCUGAGCCCGCCGCUCCACAUUGAUGGCAAGUCAGGGCGACGCGACCUCUCACUGCUUCCAUCGUUGAAGCAGCGCGCCGACCGAGGGCACCACCCGCUAUACGCCUGGCAUUUCAGACUACGCAGUGGAGAGUAACUUUAGAGCAAGUACUACAAUUAGAUGACAUAAGCAGGCUAUAAGGACUUAAAUAUAGUAUUUGUGCUUAGUUGAAGGAGAGAGAAGAGGAGAGAGAAGAGAAGUGGGUUGUAAACUUGUAGCCGGUUGUAGCAGGAGCUCCAACAUACUUUGUGAGACAACAGGUGGGGCCAUUAUUAAUGAUAUAGUAUUAUACUAAAGGGACUAACUAUUGUACUAGCAGGCUAUUAGGUUGGUUCUAGAUGAUGUGUCAACUUCAUAUAGCCGGAUGAUGGCUAUACUAUUAACCAUGCUCUAAGUGUGGUGUGAAUAGGUGAGUGUGAGUUGCACCACUUUUUAAUGUGAUCUAUUCUAGCAUUUGCAUCAGCAUGAUAAUAGUCACUCGCUAAGGAACUUGAGUACUUUAAAUGUGUGUUGUCAGACAAAUUUGUUGUUGGGACCAUCAUUGCCAAGCUUCCACCUUCGUGGAACAAUUUUGCUACUUCUCUGAAAAACAAGAGACAUGAGUUUUCCGUUUUGGAUCUCAUUAGCACUCUUGAUUUUGAAGAGAAGGCGAGAGUAAAAGACACACGUGCUCGGGUCGCUGAGGGAGCUUCUAGUGCCCACAUGGUACACGAGAAGAACUUCCAGCCCAACUAGCCCCAAAACAACAAGAAGUGCAGCCAAAGGUGGAAAUCAACUAAGGACUUAUGAAAUUAUAUAUAAUCUUCCUCAGGCAAGUCAGUAUCCCCUUCAUCUAGAUGAUCGUGUUUUGUCAUGCCGAGCUAUUGAUAUGUGCUACUGUUUUGCAACACCGUUUAAGUAUAGCUAUUAUUUUCCUAUCUUUUCAGAUUCAAGACAAUGAAGAUGACUUCAAGGGAACUGCACAAUAUGGACUCAUAUUGAGUCAUCUCUAUUGCCUCAUGUGUUUGCUGCAAAUGAGUCAGCAUCAAUUGCAAGAUGAGGCAGCUAGCUAGCUGUGGAGUUGCCAACAUGCUCAAAGUGCUCGCAACAUUGAGAAGAAACAAGCAUGCCCAAGAAAUUAAUGCGUGCGCAGGGAGGCCCUUUGCUCAGAGAAGCAUCAACCGAUUUUCCUUAUUUCCACACCUUCUCACAGCUUUGUAUUGGUUAUAGUAUAGCUCGCUCUCCCGCUUCCGUCUCCCCCCAAUUCCCCCCGCUCCCCAUCUUCCUCACUCGUCUAGAAAACCCCCCGCUCACCUUCUUCCUCACUCAUACAGAAAAUGCCUGCUCCUCUUAUUCCACUCCUACAGAAAUCCCCAGCCCUCCUUCUUCCCCACUCGCACUGCCACAAGGCUCGUCUCUGGCUACUCUGCUCAAAUCCGUGAUCUCGGCGCGACACCCACAAGGAAAAUGGAGUCGGCUGGCCCCAGCGCCAAGAANNNNNNNNNNNNNNNNNNNNNNNNNNNNNNNNNNNNNNNNNNNNNNNNNNNNNNNNNNNNNNNNNNNNNNNNNNNNNNNNNNNNNNNNNNNNNNNNNNNNNNNNNNNNNNNNNNNNNNNNNNNNNNNNNNNNNNNNNNNNNNNNNNNNNNNNNNNNNNNNNNNNNNNNNNNNNNNNNNNNNNNNNNNNNNNNNNNNNNNNNNNNNNNNNNNNNNNNNNNNNNNNNNNNNNNNNNNNNNNNNNNGGUGGACCGCAUCAGCGAUCUCCCAGACGUCAUCAUUGAGGAGAUCAUCUCGCUUCUCCCCACCAAGGAUUGUUGCCGCACACAAGUCCUCUCAACUCGGUGGCGCCCUCUAUGGCUCACCGCGCCCCUCAAUCUCUAUUGUCAUCAGAUAUCUGUCCUUCCUGAGUUUGAUCUCCUCAGAGCCAUCGUCUUAUCUCACCAGCAGGGCCCCAUUCAACGUCUCUGCAUCCCGACAUGCUACAUGAUGUCCAUACCCGGCACGGUGGAUGCUUGGCUGACAUCCCCUAAAUUUAGAAAACUCCAGCAGUUUGAGUUUUACCAUUACUACGAAAGUUUUCAUACGACAAACACACCAAGAAUUUGUGCCCACACCACCGUUGUCCAUCUCGCCGUUUUCCUCCUCUCUCCACACCGCUACCUUCACCCGGUGCCAUCUAUCAGACGAUCUGGUACAAAUGCUUCGACUCCCACUGCUAAAAAAACUUCCACUUGUGGUGGUUUAUCUGCCGGAGGCCUCACUGCACAUCAUCAUCCACUCCAAUUGCCCUGCCCUGGAGCACUUGUUGAUUGUUUUGGGAAUAUAAAUCCCUAUCAGUUGCCUCCAAAUAAAGCCGCCUCACCUUAAAAGCAUUGGAAUUUGUUUUGAAGGACAGCAGCUCAUCAUCGAAUAUGUCCCUUCACUUCAAAGGUUGCUCCUUGAUGAUUGUUGUAAACCUUCACAGAUAACUGUCGUCUCUACGACCAAACUGGAGACCUUGGGUGUAAUUCGUGACCCGUUUAAUUAUCACAAGAAGUUGGUGUUUGGCUCCUCACUUUUUCAGGUACUGGAUAUUAUCAUCUACACAUUUGUAAUCAUAAGUUGCAUUUUUCAUUUGUGUGCAUAAGUUUUAUAUCAUCUUGGAGUACACUUUGGGUACUAAUAUUAUGUUAUAUGCUCAAUGAAGAGUUCGUCCAUUGAUAGCCUAUCAAUGCUACUGGAUUCUGUCAAGAUCUUAUAUAUCGGAAUGUUUAGUUUUGAUCUGAACAUAAUUAUUGUCUUGUUGCAAUGCUUUCAAUCUCUGGAGAAUUUAUAUAGAGAGGUGAUGAUUUCAUGCACAUUGAAAGCCCGUAUAUAUUGUACUAGAAUUAACCGUUCAGCUGUGUUCUUUCGACAUACUCAUUUUUUAGACCUUGAUUGUUUUCAAUCUUCAUGUCUACUUAGGCACAACCACAUGGAGCAAAACAUAUAACCAAUCGGUGGCGUAAUAAGCACCAGGAUUUUCUCAGUUCUCAUGACAUUCGUUUGAGGACAAUAACAAUGGAAGGAUAUGCAUCCAACCAGGCAAACAGAAGCUUUGUCACAUUCUUCCUGUUGAAUGCAAGGUUACUAUUGUCCAUGAGGCUUAAAUUUUACCGCAAGAGAUUCCUCACGGACGGACACGUUGAACAGCAAAAGAAGAAGUUUCAGGUGGACAAAUGGGCUUCUAAACGUGCUCGUCUUCUAUUUACAACAAGUUGUAGUCAUCCUGAAAUAAAUUUUUUUGCAUAGGAUGUUGAUUUUAUGGAUCAGACCGAUCCAUUUGUUUGUGACUGCGAAAAAGAGUGGUUGGGUUAGAUGUUACUGCCAUGUUCAAUCUGGGUUUUGUCUAAAAAUUUGAUGAACAAUUAAUCCUUGUGCUUUUUCUACCAUUUGUAAGCUUGAGUUGCAUGUUGUUGCCCUCGUACUCCCCUCCACCUGCCACUACACUGUCGCAUCUUCCACGGUUGUUGUUCGUUCCCGUCCGAGGCCUUGUCGUCGUUCUCCGCCUUGGUUCGCUCGUUGUGCCCGCCAUUGUCUGGUGUUGUCAACAUGGUCAACAACCAAGAGGAAUCAGGAGAUGAUUGUACGUGGAGAGGCUGACAGUAGGGACCCACCAGGGUCAUUGCAUUACGCAAGCUGGUGCCUCAUUAUUACAAGCCAAAAAAAUACUUCCUCCUAAUUGUUUGACAACUAGGUCCCAUGCCAUUGUCAAUGUAGUCAAUAAACGAGAAAAUUACACAACGACGGAUAACACCAGGGACCCAGCAGCUCACCCAGUUUUUUUAACCUGGAAGAAUGCAGGGCUUACACCCCACAGCAUUUUAUUGAUCUUGCAAAAAAGCACUGUUCAAGAUAUCUUCCGAUAUUCUGAUAAAUCGGCCGAUUUAUCGCUUACUGUUAUCUGACCGAUAAGAUAAAUCGGUCGAUAAAUCAGAUGAUAUGGCAAUAAAUCGGUCGAUAUGUCGAUAAACAGGCCGAUUUACCCCUUACCAUAGGUCGGCCGAUAAGUUCCCGAUAAGCGAUAUCCCCAACAUUGCAAAAAAGAAUACAAAAGGUUCCUUAAGAAAAGGAACAAAACAGAAAAGAAACACUAUACAAGCUAACCUAAGAGUAAGCACUAAAAUCUAAAAAGAAGAAAAGAAAGAUUACAUCUGGGAAACACCUCAAGGAGGCAGGAAAUCAAUCCAUUUGAUCAAAGCAUUUCUGUGUCUGGUCUUGAUCCUGUGUGCUGGGAGAGAGAUGUCAUGGAUAAAACCAUUCCUCCACUGCCUGAAAGUAGGUCUGAUGUGCCUAAAGGCUUUAUCAUUCCUGACUUUCCAAAUAUUCCACCAUGUAAGGAAGGCCACUUCUGAGAAAAAGGGUUUAUUAAAAUCCUUCCUAGCAUGAAGCGCAAUGUGCACCAUGUCCUGACUAUCCAACCAAUUUAUUUGAAGAUAAUUCCACACUCUCAUGCUAAAGUUGCAUUGAAAGAAUAAGUGGUUCCUGUCCUCAAGCGCUCCCAUGGGGAAAAGUACACAUUCAGGCCCAUCAUUAAUUCUCCAAUGUCUAUGUUGAAUCAUAUUCUUGGUGUUUACUCCGUCCAUAAUGACAAGCCAUGCAAACAUUUUAAUUGUCAUGGUAUAACAAGAUCUCUAGACCCAACUGAGAAUGGGAUUGGUAUGCAUUGGCUGAUGUACAAAGUCAUAAUACUUCUUUGAUGUAUACUCAGAUUUCUUCCCAUGCCUCCAAGCCCAAGAGUCAUUGCAAUCAGUAUCCAGGGAGAUCCCUGUCAAAAUGCCAGAAAGUUGAUUAAACUCCCUAAAAGCCAAUUUAGACAAGGGUAGAGAGAACAUGCUCUGCAAGUCUCCAGCUUGUGACACUUCCAUAACAGAGAGAGUCUUCUGUAGGCAGAAAGAAAAGAGCCUGGGAAAUCUAUCCUGAAGAGGGAUGCAUGAGUUAUCAAUCUCCCAAGAGUUAGACCAGAAAAGCACAGAAUCUCCUCUUCCAACUGUAACCGAGGUAACAGCCCUAAAUUUAUCCAUUAAUUUGCAGAUAUCUCUCCACCAAAAGGAACCACACAAAGUAGUGUCAUGAGGAACUCUCUGAAAAUAAUAAGAGUCCCAAACCAAAUGAACCCAAGGUACAUCUGCUCUGUUAUAGAAUUUGUUGAGGUAUUUCAGAAGCAAAGCCUCAUUUUGCAGACCCAGAUUGAGUAUUCCAAGCCCACCCUUAAGCUUGGGCCUACAGACCAGAGGCCGGGCAGCCAAAGAUUGCCCCUUCUCCUGACCAUAUUUUCUCCACAGACACUGCCUCUGAAUUCUUUCCAAUUGCUUCAGAAUUCCCUGUGGUAUAUCCAGACUGCAAAGGAGAAAAAUGGGCAAUGAAGAGAUAACAGAGUUUACCAACUACAGCCUGCUACCCUGGGGCAGAAACCAGGAGCUAGCAGUUAACCUUCUUUCCAUGCAGUCUACCAAAGGUAGAAAAUCAACAAUUUUGGGCCUAGUUGUUCCCACUGGCAAUCCUAAAUAUGUGAAAGGCAUUACACCUAACUGACACCCAAAUUGUGCAGCAAGGGCAGAGGCAACAUUGGCCUCCACAUUAAUUGGGUACAUUGAGGAUUUGUGAAAGUUGAUCUGCAAUCCAGUUGCCAAAGAGAAGGAAUUCAAAACUCUUUUAAGCACCUCCAACUAGGCAAAAUCAGCAGACAAAAAAGCAAUGUAUCAUCUGCAUAUUGUACCACUAGAUAGUCAGGGUCAUGUGUUGCCAGAGGCAAAGAAAGAAGGCCAUGAUUCAAAAGAUCAUUUAUCAUAGUCUGCAACAGAUCAGCAGCAAUCACAAAUAGCAAAGGUGAGAUAGGAUCACCUUGCUUAACACCACACUUGCACUUGAAAUGCUUUCCAGGUACACCAUUUGGUAAGAUUGAGGAGGUUGCAGAUGACAACAACUGCUUAACCCAGGAGAUCCAUUUGUUAUCAAACCCCUUUGCCACCAGGAUUUUUAUAAUUGCCUCAUGCUGAAUAGAAUCAAAUGCUUUUUCAAAGUCUAGCUUGAGCAACAUGAUUGGCUUUUUUUGAUUGGUUACACUAAUGGAUGUACUCAAAGGUCCAGGCAAUACAGUUCUGAAUUGUUCUUGACUUGAUAAAACCAUAUUGAUUCUUAUGCACACAUUUGGUGAUUUCUUCCUGAAAUCUGUUAGCAGCAAGCUUAGUGAGGAAUUUCAACCCCAUACUUUUCAAAGAAAUUGGCUUAAAAUCUCCAGUAGUCUCAGGAGAUAGCUUCUUAGGGAUCAAUGUAAUGAAGGCCUCAUUGAGAUUUUCCAACUGAGCAGUUCCAGCAUGGAACUGCUUCACCAGUGUAAUGAAAUCACUGGAAAUGAUCGGCCAACACUUCUUCAUAAAAAGCCCAUUAAAGCCAUCAGGGCCUGGUGCCUUGUCAAUUGGCAACUCUCUAAUAACAUGUUCAAUUUCUUUAACUUCAAAGGGUUUGUGAGCACUUCCAGUCCCUGCACCCGAGGAAUAAGAGAGAGAAUGUCAUUGCGCAUCGGAAUUGGCUUUACAGUUCCCAUUCUGCUCUUAAAAACCUCUAGAAAUUCCUUGGCCAUCAUUCCAUGGUUUGAGGAAACUGUACCAUCAGACAGCUGCAGACUGGCAAUAGAAUUUUUUUCUAUAUCUUUCAGUUGCCAUGACUUGGAAGAAUUUUGAGUUUUCUUCACCAACUUUGAUAUAUCUAAUAGUGCAUCUUUUCUUCCAAUAUAAGAACUACAAAUGAAGAAGAUGCUCAUGGUGCAUCUUCACCAAUUUCCUGAAAUUGGAUUCAGUUCUGAACAAAGACCUCAAAUCUUCCAAAUGAUCCAACCAGAGGAUCACCCAGUUGCACUUCUCAAUCAGUGUUUUAAUAUGUGACAAACCCUUCUGCCAUUUCUUAAGUGCAAACCUCCAUGAUUUUAAUUUGUCCAUAAUAACUGUUGAUAUAUGAGUUUUCAGAGAAGGUUUUUUCCACACCUCCUAAACACACUCCAUAAAGCCAGGUUGAUGUACCCAAUAAUUUUCAAAUCUGAAGAUAUGAGCCUUUGGGAUGGUUGUGCAGAUGGAAACUACACAAGGAACAUGAUCUGAAGCAGUUUUAGCAAGAGGUGUUACUUGCGUAUUGGGGUACUGACUAAUCCAACUGGCAGAGAUAAAAAAACCAAUCCAAUUGUUCAAGGAGUGGAGAAUCCUGCAUGUUGGACCAGGUAAAUCUUCUCCCCUUGAGGGGUAGUUCCAACAGACCCAAAUGACCAAUGAUCUCAUUGAAGAUGAAGAUAUCAUUGACAUCACCACCAGGAAGAUUUCAAUUAUCCAAAGAUCGUAUGAAAUUAAAAUCUCCCAACAACAUCCAAUUCUGCUCCGGUUCUACUUGUAGAUUGUAAAGCCAAUUAACAAACUCAUCUCUUAAAGCACCCUGGCAAGGCCCUACGUUUACCAUAAACCAUUGAUCAUCAUUAUGCACAGAUUUGAAACUAAUCACAAUACCAAAGGGUUUAACUUCAGUUAAAGACCUGAGAAAAAGUCUGAACGCCACACAGUCAAAAUUCCACCAGAAGCUCCUCUUGAAGGAGAUUCAAUGAAUUGAUCAAAACCCGCGGGACAAAUGCUCUUAAUUAAAUGACGAGGGAAAUUCGAGAGCUUAGUUUCUUGCAAACAGACAACUGCACACUGACUUUCAGUCACUUUUUGCCUAACAGCACGUUGCCUUGUUUCAGAAUUCAAUCCACAGACAUUCCAAGACAAAACCUUCCAGUUACGCAUUGACAUUCGAUUCAUAAAGUAACAUAUAAUAGCGCAACAGAACCAGCAUGACACACAGUGCCAUACAACCUAAGUCAUAACAGAUCAAAAGUGCCAAGUCUCGAUCGAACUGCAUAAGUUUAAGAACGACAUAAAUGAAAGCAAAUUUAACAGGCUCGCUACACCUAUAUAAAGCCUUAAACAUUAACAUUUAAGCACUAUCGGAGGAGGAGGAGUCCUUGGGAUUAGCCAUAAGCUUCUCCCUAGACAGCAGCUUGGGGUCAAUUUCCAGCUCAGCUCUGAUUGCUUGCAACACUAGGAGAGGCGUCUGAGGAGGAACAUCUUCAGACUUCUCAUUGCCAGCAGCAUCUUCAGAAUUGGGCCGGGCCUUCUCUUCUAUGGGCUUGGAACGAGGGUGCCUUUUGGCGGGCUAAAGUGAGAGUUGCUCAAAGAUAACCGGUUUGAAACCAUCUAGCUUUGCCGCGCUUCUCGUGCACCUUCUCACCAAGGUGUCCAACAAGGGGGCAGACACCUUCCGUUUGCCUCGCAGAUUCUUUUGCUUGAUCUGCGACUCAGCAGAAAAAACCACAGGUGAAGAAAUCUCCUCCGAGCCUCUUGCACCACAGCCUCAGGCACAGACAACUCACUAGUUGCCAUAGCUUCAGGCACAGCCGCUCCAGUCAUAGCUUGUGCAGACAGAUGAUCGUUAGAACCAGAGGAAACAUCAUCAGAUAAACCUCCAAACAACAAUCUGGCAACUGGGCGCGCAGUCACAACAGUUUUAUUGCGAGGCAGAAUGCUAGGCAACCUUGGCACCAACAAAGACAUCCUCAGGGAAUCAUCAAAAGCAAUUGACCACUUGCACUUGGAAUAGGUGACUGUACCAAGUGGCUUAAAGAAGAUAGACCUGGGCACAGUUUUAACUAAAAAAUCAGACAUCAAAUUUUCAAAAGAUCUCUUCCAAAUCAUCUCAGGUGGAAGAGGAGGUCCUGCCACAUUCCUAGCCAUCCCAAUGAAGAUCUGAUGAUGCUGAAUGACAGGUGGUUGAUAAGGGACAAUAGUCAAAGGAUUUUCCACAACUACAGGUUGGUCUUGAACCUGAAAGAGCUUCUCAGGCAUAGGUUGAUGUUGCUACUCAUUUACCUGAAUAUGCUGCUCAACAGACCCAGAGCCCUCUGGUUGAUCAAUGACAAUAGAAAUUUGAUCCUAUUCUGGCGCAGCAGGCUGCGGGGGCUGAUUAAUCUCCUCAUCAUUGUCCCCUAGUGAGCAUGUCCCCAAUCAACAUCCACAACGUUAUCUGGUGGCGGAGGAGGAGCAAGUGGUGCAUCAUUCCACUCCAACAUUGGGUAGGGAGGAAGAACAAAAGGUAAAUUAUCAGGUAUUAAAUGACCAGGCAUUGGAUGAGGAUUACUAUCCAAUGGCAUUGGAUCCUCAUCAUUUGGCAUUUGAUCAGCAAAGUCUGCCCCUAGCACAUAACAAGCAGCCGUCCAUGAAACCUGAGCACCACCCCCCCCCCAAUCAGCAUAAUCUCCAAAGACAACAUCUCUUGGUACCAGAGGCGUAUCAGGAAAGCUUGCCUCAACCAAAGUACGGACUAGGUACGGAUCUUCACUAUCCCAAGAGUAAAAUUUACCAAAAGUACCUACUGCUUGCAAGAUAUACUCUGUCGUGCGGUAAUCUAGAGGGAUCCCAACAAACAUGAGCGAGCCCUUACAAAAACCAUGACUCCCCUUGAAAUUCUCUCCCUCAUCAUGUUUCAAGAAUCUAACAAAUCGAUCAUUGCCUAGAGCAAAAGGUGGAUGCUGAAUCAAAGUGUAUCUGACAGACGGAUCCCGCACCUGGAAUAAACCAACCCCAUGAAACCAUGGCUGAGCAGAGCGGACAAGAGUACCUCUGUUCUGAAGAAACUGCACAAUCUCCUCUCUCACUGGCCCAAGAUGUAACGCCCCGGAUUCGAUGCGCCAGGUGUCCGCCAGUUAUUCGCUUUCAUUGCCAUGUCAUUUGCUUGCGUGUUGCAUAUUGAUAUGUCAUCAUGUGCAUUUCUUUUUGCAUAUGUGUUCGUCUCAUGCAUCCGAGCAUUUUCCCCGUUGUCCAUUUUGCAAUCCGACACUCCUAUGUCCUCCGGCGUCCCCCUUUUGUCUCUUGUUGUGAGCGGGUGUCAAACAUUCUCAGAAUGGACCGAGGCUUGCCAAACGGCCUUAGUACACCACCGGUAGACCGCCUGACAAGUUUCGUUCCAUUUGGAGGUCGUUUGAUACUCCAACGGUUAACCGGGGAACCGUAAAGCCCUCUUUUUUUGCAGCCCAACACCCCUUCAAAGUGGCCCACUAACCCAGCAAACUCCCCUCCAUGCUCUCGGUCGUUGGAUCAUGAUCGUGUGGGCAAAAACGCACAUCAUUUGGAGUCUCCUAGCUCCCUCUACCUAUAAAUAUGUGAUCCCCUCCGAUUUUCACACAGUCCAACCCUAGCCCUCUCCCUCCUGGCGCCGCCGGACAUGUCCGCCCGGCAGCCGGACACGUCCACCGUCGCCUCCACGUCGCCCGGACCAAUCCGGGGACGCCACGUCAGCGCCGCUGCCUCCCUCCUCCACUCACGCGUCGCCACGUCGCCUCCUCUCUCUCCCGCACCCGCCGCGGCCCGCUCGGUCCAGAUCGGGCCCGCCCAUGCCUAUCCGGGCCCGUGCCGCCCGCGCUCGCCCUCCGCGCCUGUCGGUUCUCCCGCGCCGCCGCUCGCUGGCGUCCCCCGCCAGAGCAGACCGCCGCCAUCGCCGGCCACCAUCGUCGCCUNNNNNNNNNNNNNNNNNNNNNNNNNNNNNNNNNNNNNNNNNNNNNNNNNNNNNNNNNNNNNNNNNNNNNNNNNNNNNNNNNNNNNNNNNNNNNNNNNNNNNNNNNNNNNNNNNNNNNNNNNNNNNNNNNNNNNNNNNNNNNNNNNNNNNNNNNNNNNNNNNNNNNNNNNNNNNNNNNNNNNNNNNNNNNNNNNNNNNNNNNNNNNNNNNNNNNNNNNNNNNNNNNNNNNNNNNNNNNNNNNNNNNNNNNNNNNNNNNNNNNNNNNNNNNNNNNNNNNNNNNNNNNNNNNNNNNNNNNNNNNNNNNNNNNNNNNNNNNNNNNNNNNNNNNNNNNNNNNNNNNNNNNNNNNNNNNNNNNNNNNNNNNNNNNNNNNNNNNNNNNNNNNNNNNNNNNNNNNNNNNNNNNNNNNNNNNNNNNNNNNNNNNNNNNNNNNNNNNNNNNNNNNNNNNNNNNNNNNNNNNNNNNNNNNNNNNNNNNNNNNNNNNNNNNGUCGCCGCCCCAUCGCCGGCCCCCUCCGCCGCCUCCCUCCUCGUCUCCGGCGCCAGCUCCAGCGAGAGCUCGGCCCCGCCUCGAUCUGGAUCUGAAGGUUGACUUCCCGCCCCCUCGAUUUUUCUCUAAGUCCUGAAAAUAGUUGCAUUCUGGUCCCCUGUUCAUCGCAUCAUAUCUCCUAGCAUAUAGCUCUGUUUUGUGCGUGUAAUAUAUCAAAAUGUUCAUUGGGAGAUGCUCUUCACUUUGUUACAUUGUCCCAUGCUUGUUUGAGCCCACCUUGAUGCUCUAAUCAUCGUUGCAAGAGUGCUAUAUGAUGUUAACUGAUGUCUGUUAACAGAACUUGAUGAUUUGUCAUUUUUGUUGCAUUUGAUGUGUCCAUCUUAUGAGCUUGAUGUAUACAUCAGUUUUGAUCUACAUCAUGCCAUCUUUAUAGGGGUGCAAUCCAUGUAUUUUUGUGAGUCUUGUAGUGACUGCAUCAAGCUUGUUAAGUAGGGUACUUGCUGUUACUAUUUUGCUAGGCUGAAUCUGUUAUUUCGUGAUGCUAUGCAAACCUGCUGCUACAAGUCAUUCUAUGCAUAAUAUGGAGAUGUUCACUAAGGAUGUUUUGUUAUACAUGUCAUGCUCUAUCCACCCAUGCCCCUGUUUGCAUUUAUAGCUUGCUGUAGAUUGUUCAUAUCAUGCUCCAAAAUUGCUAAAUAAUGUUGUUGUCAGCCUGUUAACAUUAAGUUCAGUUUUGCCAUGAGCUUUGCUAGUGAUCCAUGCACCCUAUGAACUUUCUCUUGCCAUUAUUAGCUUCAUAAAUAUGUAAUAUUACUGUUAGUCACCUUGUCAUGCCAUGUAUUGCUCUGUGGUGAGUGGUACAAGUUCACCAACAUGCCUACUUAUUGUUGUUCCUGCCAUGUCUGAAUCUGUCAUAUCAUCUGCCAUGUUUACAUGGUUGUCAUCAUAUCUUCUGAUCCUUUUUGGCUCAUAGUCAGUAAAGGAUUUUUGUUCUAUGCGUUUGGUAUAUUCAUGAUGUGCCUUAAGUUUCUAUGAUAAGUUCCUGUAGCAUGUUGUUUGAUAGCUCUAAACAUUGCAACCUGAUGUUGUUUCUGCUAAACCUGUAAACUGUUAUUAUUUGCAAUCUUGCCAUGUCUUUUUGAGCAUGUUAUCGUGUUUUCUGGAGUUAGCUCAGUGUACAUGUUUUGUCAUGCUUUACCUGUACUUAAUGCACAUGCCUUUUUUCUUAUGUUGAGGUGCUGUUGCAUAUUGUUUUGAUGCUUGCUAGAUGCCUAGAUGCUGUUUUGGACAGCUUGUCCUUUAAACUUGUUUCAUGUGUAUGUGUUGAACCGUUGCUCCGUUUUGGGUGUGCUCUAUAUGAAACUUGCUUAGUUUUGCAUGUAGUUUCAUAUUAUCAUGUUGCGUCCUUAUUUUGAGGUGUUUGCUUGAUGUUUGUAUGCAUUUUGCAUCAAUGUCAUGCUUAACGUGUUUUGCUCAUAUCUUCUAGGCCGUAGCUCCGAACUAAAUGAACUUUAUAUGUAACUUGACUAGAAUCUCGUGUACAUCAUGUUGGUGCAUCUUAACUUGCUGUUUAACAAUUUGAACAUAAGGUUUAUUCAUAUCUGCACCAAUUUCGAAAUUUGCAUAUGAGGACUUACCGGAAUUGUUAUAUGUUGUUUCCGGCCUCAUUUAAACUUGCUUUGAUGUGUUGCUCUUGUAUGCAUCAUCUCUGGCCAUGAGUAGCUUCAUGUAGCCUUGUCAUGCAUCAUACUUGGUUGAGCAUCAUGUCUUGUUCAUGUGUGGUGCGUUUACCAUGUUGUGUGCUUCUUCUCGAUAGUUCCUGUUUCGUUGCGAUCGUGAGGAUUCGUUCGUCUAUGCUUGGUUCGUCUUCGUGGCUUCAUCUUCUUCAUGGACUCGUUCGUCUUCCUAGCGGGAUUUCAGGCAAGAUGACCGCUACCCUGGAUCUCACUACUAUCAUUGCUAUGCUAGUUGCUUUGUUCUAUCGCUAUGUUGUGCUACCUAUCAUUUGCUCUUCAAGCCUCCCCAAAUUGCCAUGUCAGCCUCUAAUCUUUUCACCCUCCCUAGCAAACCAUUGUUUGGCUAUGUUACCGCUUUUCCCAAACCCUCUUAUAGCGUUGUUAGUUGCAGGUGAAAUUGAAGAUUGCCCCAUGGUGGACAAGAUUAUGUUGGGAUAUCACAAUAUCUCUUAUUUAAUUAAUGCAUCUAUAUACUUGGUAAAGGGUGGAAGACUCGGCCUUAUGCCUGGUGUUUUGUUCCACUCUUGCCGCCCUAGUUUCCGUCAUAUCGGUAUUAUGUUCCCGGAUUUUGCGUCCCUAACGCGGUUGGGUGAUUUAUGGGACCCCCUUGACAGUUCGCUUUGAAUAAAACUCCUCCAGCAAGGCCCAACCUUGGUAUUACCAUUUGCCUCACCACCACCUACUUUUCCCUUGGGAGUAAUUAACCCAAGGGUCAUCUUUAUUUUAGCCCCCCCCCCCCCCGGGCCAGUGCUUCUCUAAGUGUUGGUCUGAAUCGAGCAGCCUGCGGGGCCACCUCGGGGAAACUCAAGGUUUGGUUUUACUCGUAGCUUGACUUAUCCGGUGUUGCCCUGAGAACGAGAUAUGUGUAGCUCCUAUCGGGAUUGUUGGCGCAUCGGGUGGCUUUGCUGGUCUUGUUUUACCAUUGUUGAAAUGUCUUGUAACCGGGAUUCCGAGACUGAUCGGGUCUUCCCGGGAGAAGGAAUAUCCUUCGUUGAUCGCGAGAGCUUAUCAUGGGCUAAGUUGGGACACCCCUGCAGGAUAUGAACUUUCGAAAACCGUGCCGUGGUUAUGUGGCAGAUGGGAAUUUGUUAAUGUCCGGUUAUAGAUAACUUGACACCAGAUACAAUUUAAAACACAUCAACGGCGUGUGUAGCCGUGAUGGUCUCUUUUCAGCGGAGUCCGGGAAGUGAACACGGUUUUGGAUUAUGUUUGACGUAAGUAGGAGUUCAGGAUCACUUCUUGAUCAUUGCUAGCUUCACGACUGUUCCAUUUGCUCUCUUCUCGCUCUUAUUUGCGUAUGUUAGCCACCAUAUAUGCUUAGUCGCUGUUGCAACCUCACCACUUUACCCCUUCCUUUCCCAUUAAGCUUUGCUAGUCUUGAUACCCAUGGUAAUGGGAUUGCUGAGUCCUCGUGGCUCACAGAUUACUACAACAACAGUUGCAGGUGCAGGUUUUGCGAAGAUCAUGACACGAGAGCGAUGUUUGCUUGUUUUGGAGUUCUUCUUCUGCUUCUUCUUCGAUCGGGGGAUAGGUUCUAGGUCGGCAGCCUGGGCUAGCAGGGUGGAUGUCGUUUGAGCUUCUGUUUGUGUUUCAUCCGUAGUCGGAUGUCGUUCUCAUGUAUGAUAUAUUCUUGUAUUCAUGUGUCAUUGGAUGUAUUGGAUGUAUCCCCACUAUUAUGUAAUGUUGAUGUAAUGAUAUCCACCUUGCAAAAGCGUAUCAAUAUGCGGUUCUAUCCUUGGUGGGACCUUCGAGUCUUUUUAGGAUAGUAUCGCAUAUUGGGUGUGACACAAGAGGUCCCUCCGGAGCAGGCAUGACCUCAGCAACCAUGUAAUCUUCAUGGCGAUGAGGGGGAUGAGUUGCAGGAGUGAAGAAGGUGUGCGGGAGAUGCCGAUCCCCACCAUCAAUGAUGUGGUGUCCCGCCGGCACAAGGCGAUGCGGGUCAAGCUCGAAGUUCGACAUGGCCGGUUGAAGUGGCGAUGAGCAAAGGUUUUCUUUGGAUGGGAGAGGAGGAGAUUGGAGCAAUGUGGGCAGCGGCGAUGUGACUGGGCAGGCUAUCCCAAUAACUCCGGCUCCCUUCCCCUGACCAGCCGAGGAUUCCGAAAUACUCGUGUUUUGUUGCAGAGAAAUUGGCCUCCAAACCAAUCCAUUGAAACAUGUGAAAUCAUUACAGUCUUGUCUAGAGUGACCCACAUGAGAGCAAGCCGAGCAGACCGCGCGCAUUCCACAAGAGACUGCCAGGUGGCCCCUCUGAGAGCAAAUAGUACAGGUUAGAACCCGCUCCACCAUGUCAUCGACCAUAGCAUCAAACUGCCGGGCUGCCUCUUGUGAAGAUGGGAUUUCUAGCUAGCCCAUCAUCGGGCUUGGGUCGAGUGAUGUAUUUGGACCAAGAGAUGGCCCAAUAGGCGUGGGUUCAGAAAGUGGCCCAACAGAAGCUUGGCAAUCCUGGCUCAUAGGGCAAGCGCACGGUGGGUUUUCCAUAUGGGAUGGGCCCGUCCCUAAACAGGCAUUUUGAACUAGAGAGGUUCCCGCCUCCGCAAAUCGCGCCAAGAGAUUCCCGGAAACCACGGGUUGUGGAUCCAUAGAUACCGGGCUACACGGCAGCACCGUGGCCUGCUGGUGCAACUCUGGCAAUGGCAUGACAGUACCAAACAUGAUGGGUGGUCGAGCCACCGUCCAAUGCAAGUCUAGGGCAGGCGAUUGCCGAAUCACAACACGCUCAUGAGAAGAAAGAUCAUAUCCUCCAUCAACUAUAGUAUCAAUGCAUUUUUGACUAGCCGGAUAUCUAUAGCCUUUGCAAGCAGAAUAAUGUUCAAACAUGGCAAAAUAAAGCUUCUUCCUUACUGAACUUUAAGAUUUUAAAGAAGAUCUAACCGGGGGCUUAUGCAUGGCCAUUAAACCUAGCGAUGACCUACGCUUGGUAGGUCUAAUAAAUAUCCAUUCUGCAUCACAUUCCUUUCGCUAGAUCUUAAGCUCCCAAACCCAAUUAGGUCCUCCAUUACCCCAAAGGUGAAAAUAGCACUUGAACAGAUCACAAGCAAAAGAACGAAGAUCCAUAAUAAUAAAACCAACUUGCUUGCAAGAGACUUGGAAAGAGUAAACCUUGUCCUUGAUAUGACUAACCCGAAGAUCAAUUGCCGAUCAACCAAGCGCAGCUUCCAGUGCCGCCACCAUAGAAUCUUCCGACAACCGAAAAGCGUGUCAACUGAAAGACACGAUCACAAUGAAGGCCCUCCCUCGUCCCAACGGAUGGAUAGUGCGACCAGUAGAUUUGAAAACCUCAUCAGAAAAACCCUACCCUUGGAGAAAUCCAAGCCAAUGGUAGAUCCACCAGAUGAACCCAUAGAAGAUGGGUAUUGCCUUGAUCCAGAGGAGGCACUGGAGAAGAUGGUUGGAAGAGAUCCACAAAUUAGUGGAGGAGGAUGGAGAUCGCCGGAGGAGAGGUCAGCGCCGUGGUGGGAGCUGGAAGCGCCAUCCUAGAUAUGAAGGCCCUCCCUCGUUCCAACGGAUGGAUUGUGCGACCAGUAGAUCUGAAAACCUCAUCAGAAAAAACCCUACCCUUGGAGAAAUCCAAGCCAAGGGUAGAUCCACCAGAUGAACCCAUAGAAGAUGGGUAUUGCCUUGAUUCAGAGGAGGCGCCGGAGAAGAUGGUCGGAAGAUAUCCACAAAUCAGUGGAGGAGGAUGGAGAUCGCCGGAGGAGAGGUCAGCACCGUGGUGGGAGGUGGCAGCUCACCCAGUUGUUAUUUCGCUUCAGAGACGGAGCUCAACUGCGCGUUGUGCGGGGGCUGUGGCCCGUCUAGCCCAUGCUUACGCUUUUAUUUAAGCACAUGACGAGCCAAGUUGGUAUAUUUUUUCUUUCUGAAAAUGGCUAGCCCGGUUCUUUUUUUUUGGAGAAUACCAAAACCAAGGCCUACUUGCUUUUCUCAGCCCUACUGGGCUGCAAAUCUUUCAAGACAAGGAGGGAUGUAAGUAGUAAGAAAUGGGCUUCCCCAGAAAAUGGGCUAUAAGUUGUAAGAAAUGGGUUGUAAAUUUUUAAACCAAAGCCAACCGACAAUUACAUUAAAAUAUCAUUUUUCUGGAUUUCUCUAAUCUCUACUCUUAUAAAAACCAAAGCCAACUGGCAAUUACAUUAAAAUCUCAUCUUUUCUCCCACAAGAUAAACUACUCAUACAAAUGCAUCUUUAUGUUAUGUGCAACAAACGGGCAUCUUGCUAGCUAAGAUUUUAAAUUUCAUUCAUUUCUUUUGCGGAGAAUUGUUUUUUGAAUUUUAGUUUGAUAUAAUGUUUUUAAAUUAUUUUUAAUGUGACUCAAAAUUUCGUGAUUAAAAGAGUUCAGACCCCACUGAAAUAUGCAAAAUUUUGUUGAAUUUCUUAGCAGUGCCCAGAAUAUAUGGUCUAUAAUGCUAAUAAAAAGAAUAUGGGCUUCAAAUAUCCUUAAGAAUUAGCAAAUGGGCUGUAAAUUAUUGAAAAUAACAGCUAAUGGGUUGUAUGUUGUUUUCCACAGAUUUGGAGGCUGACUUCUGGGCCUACUAGGUUGAUGAUGACGUUGUCCUAAAAACAAUUGACGUGUACGCAAGGCUUUGUCAACUUAGUCAACACAGAGCAGUGAUUGUUGGAUGUCCAUCCAAUGGCCGCCGUGCUUCUUCAAUCUCUGGUCUUCCUGCUCCAGCCACCCAAACCAGCUCCGGCGGGACUGCCUACUCCCUCCUCCCAUGGCUGGUUGUGCUGCCGCCAAGCCAUCCCUCUACCCACCCACACAUCCUGUUAUUUUCCGGCAACGUCAGCCUUACCCUGCAGCCGACCAGUUAGUGCUCGUACUCCCCUCACCAUGGGCAUCUGCUGCGGUGGCUUCGCCAGCUCAGGGUCGUUCCCUUCCUGGGCCUCGCCCUCGUCCACCGCGUUUGUGCUCUCGGCAUGGCGAGAUCAACAUGGUCAACAAACAACAACCAUCGGAAGAGGCUGGCAGUAGGGGCCCACACAAGGAAAUGCCUCCUUAUUACGCGCAAAAUAAUGAUUCCUCCACUUGACAGCUGGGACCCACCAGAAGGGCCUCUGUAUUCCACAAAAAAAAUGUUCCCCCCGCUGUCAGCUCGGACUCACCAGCUAUAUCUUCACACGCAAGGAAGUGCCUCCUUAUUACGCACAAAAAAAUGAAUACUCCCCCUGCUAGCUGGGACCCACCAUAGUGGGAGGCUGACUUGUGGGCCUACUAAGUUGAAAGGGACGAAGGGCUUUGUCAAAUUAGUCAAUAUGAACGAUUCUAGCUCUAGUGACCGUACGAUGUCCAUCCAAUGGACGUAGUGCUUCUUCAACCUCUGGUCUUCUUGCUCCAGCCGCCAAAGCAGCGUCAGUCGUGUCGCAUGCUCCUGCCUCCCAUGGUCGGCUGUGCCGCCGCGGAGGCCUCACCGCCACCUACUAUUCCCACCACUGGCCAGGCCCUGCGGCGACGGCAGCCUCACACUGCAGUCGAACCAGUGAACCCUCGUACUCCUCUCCGCGUGGGCAUCCACUAUCGCGUCUUCCCCGGCUCCGCGUCGUCCCCUUCCUAAGCCUCACCAUCGUCCACCGGCUUGGUGCUCUCGGUGCGGCCUGGUCAAUGUGGUCAAUGAACGACUUCCAUUUGGAAGAGUACUAUACGUGGAGAGGCUGACAGCUGGGUCCACGGCCGCAGGAAGGAAGUGCCUCCUUAUUACGUGGAAAAUAAUGAUUCCUCCACCUGACAGCAGGGACCCACCAGACAAGCCAUCAUAUUUCGUGACAAAAACGUUUCCUCCCUAACUGUUGGGACCCACCAGCUACAUCUUCGCACACAAGAAAGUGCGUCCAUAUUACGGGCAAAAAAAUGAUUCGCCCCCUAACUGCUGGGACCCACCAGCUACAUCUUCGCACACAAGGAAGUGCGUGACAGUCGGGACCCACCUAGUUGAAGCGUACGUAGCAUUGUCAUUCUGGUCAUGAACGUCUAUGUACAUGCUGGUCGACGUAGAGGCGUGCAUGUGUCGUAGUAGAGGCGCGCACGUGUCGUAGUAGAGGCGCGCACGUAGCAUGCACACGUACGUACAAUGGCCAGGGUGCAAGAAAGUAAAUAUGGCCACGUACGUACAUACGGGCGGGGUCUUGAAUGCCUACUCGUGCAUACGUACGGCCAGGGCUCAUGUACAUGGCUGGGUCCGAACGGAGAAACUGCGUCGUCGUCGUGUUCAUGGGGAGCCAACCGGCUGGGUUGGAACGGAAUGCGUCGUCAUGUUCAUCGGGAGCCAACUGGCUUGGACGGAACAGCCGAUGGAAACGAGGCCUGGCGUACCGCAGAACGGAGGAAACGGACUUGUGUUUGACCGGCCAUGGUCGAAACGGGAUCCUGUUCAUCAGGAGGGGUCUGGCAUACCGCAAAACGGAGGAAAUGGACCUCCUACAGUUGAAACGGGGUCCUGUUGAUUGGGAGGGUUGUGGCAUACCGCAAAACAUAGGAAACGGACUUGUGUUGGAGCGCUACGGUCGGAAAGGGUGUCGGUUUCAAAACCGGUAGAUCUCGGGUAGGGGGUCCCGAACUGUGCGUCUAAGGCUAAUGGUAACAGGAGGCAGGGGACACGAUGUUUACCUAGGUUUGGGCCCUCUCGAUGGAGGUAAUACCCUACUUCCUUCUUGAUUGAUCUUGAUGAUAUGAGUAUUACAAGAGUUGAUCUACCACGAGAUCGUAGAGGCUAAACCCUAGAAGCUAGCCUAUGAUUAUGAUUGUUGUUGUCCUAUGGACUAAACCCUCCGGUUUAUAUAGACGCCGGAGGGGGCUAGGGUUACACAGAGUUGGUUACAGAGAAGGAGAUCUAUCAUCCGAAUCGCCAAGCUUUCCUUCCACGCAAAGGAGAGUCCCAUCCGGACACGGGAUGAAGUCUUCAAUCUUGUAUCUUCAUAGUCCAACAGUCCGGCCAAAGUAUAUAGUCCGGCUGUCCGUAUACCCCCUUAUCCACGACUCCCUCAGUAGCCCUGGAACUAGGCUUCAAUGACGAUGAGUCCGGCGCACAGAUUGUCUUCGGCAUUGCAGGGCAGGUUCUCCUCCGAAUCCAGAGUACCUGUCGUAGCGAACAGUGUCCGGCCUCCAAUUAAUGUUGUACUCCUCGGCCUGUGUGCUUCAAUAAUGGCCAUCUCCACGUGUCGAGCGAAUACGAGGAGCCGGGGCAUUUUUACAUUUGCCACCCUAACCUUGUAAGUGAACCGUCUAUUUGAAGAGACGGGGAUCCUCAUAUCCAAAUCUCACCAUCUUAUCCCAAGCAAGCAUUCAACAGAGUGCGUCCGGAAAAAUCCAUUCCAUCAUGGCCGGUCGCUGCAGCUCUUCUUCUUGCUCCCGUAGCUCUGCGCCGGGUAACUGGAAAAAGUGACCCGUCCCCCAUAGCCGUUUAGUAGAGUUGCAGACCCAAGGGUUCCUUCCACCUGCAUAUAUGAUCCCCGUCCGAGCCGGACUAGCCACCUAUAACGGCGGGGAGCAAGCGGAGAACUUUCCAAACCCAUCUAGAGGGGAGAGGAUAUGCCUUGUCCCAUAUUUGCUGAGAGGGCUUGGGUUUCCAAUCCACCCAUUCCUCCGCGGGCUCCUGGAGUUCUACGGUCUCCAGCUGCAUAACUUCACUCAUGCCUUCAUAUUGCACAUCGCAGGGUAUGUUGCCUUCUGCGAGCUAUUCCUGGGCUACGAAGCUCAUUUCGAGUUAUGGAAGAGGUUGUUCUACCUCGUCCCUCGCAAUCAAGAGGGAUCUAUAUAUCAAGUGGGUGGAGCCGAAAUAUGGCGUGUCGCCCAGGCCGGAUACCUGUUCGGCACUCCAAAGAAGGCAUCUGAAGACUGGCCUUCGAAGUGGUUUUACGUAGAUGAUGUUCCCCUUCCGGACCCAGUCUGGUCGGGCCUUCCUGAUUUCACCAACGCCCCGCUGAAGAAACGCCAAAACUGGCGCCCGCGGAGCCCCCAGGAGGAAGACGACAGAGAGGUCCUCUAUCUGAUGGGCAGGAUAAAAAUACUGGCCAAAUCAGGAUUGACAAUAACAGAAGUCGUGUCAAUAUGCAUAAUGCGGGGGGUGCAGCCACUUCAAUAUCGGGGGAAACCCAUGUGGCACUUCAACGGAGAAGACGACGCCACCCGCUGCAGUCGUAAAGGUCUGGACUCCGCCGCCGCACUGGCAAAAAUAUUGUCUGAUUUGUACAAAGGGGAAGAAGAGGAGUUCCUCCGCAUUAAGCCACGGGAUGGAUUUUCCAUGUACAACCCCCCAAGCUGGGUAAGCUGUCAUUCUUCACUCGACUCUAUUCAUCCCUGUGUACUUUGUCACCAAUCAUUUAUCCUGCUAUUUUCGAAGCAGGAACUGAGAAGGGUCGUGGAGAAGUUCAACAGCCCACCUCCGCAGCCAGAGGAUCCUGGCCGGGCUCUCGACCCCGGACUUGAAGAAGAUCCGGAUAUAUCCAUGGAGCUUGUCAACGGGACAUUCUAUCAAGCAAGCCGCGACGGUGCCUUGGUGGCCAUCCUUGCCGAUUAUCCCAGGUUGCUCCUGGUGUCGAAUGUAAGUAAAGCCGGAGCCCUAACUUCCGAAUUAUGUCAUGCCUUAUGCGCACAUGUUGUAUUUUUACAGAAACGGCCACUAGGACGCCGUGUUGAGCCCGCGGGGGCUUAUCAGCAAAGGGCACCUGGGCCGGGCAGGCUUAAGAGGAAGGCGGUUAGGAUUUAGACGCUGGGGCAGAGGUACAAAUUAAACUUGCUCCAUGAUUAUUUGUGCCAAAAUGUGAGAGUUUUCAUUAUGUCCUGGUAGAAAAAGUAGCCGCCGGACUAUAUCCGAAGACCCUGCCGACCACGCCUCAAGCAGCCGGAUUCCUGAACCGGACUCACGGGUGGAGGCUGAUGCAGGGGCAACACCAAAAUGCCCUCCCACAGAGGAUGUGCAUAGGCUUUCUGCUACAAACUCCAAAGUGGAGAGCGCCAUGAAUCACCAGUGCACACGGGCGGUACUCCGCAAUGGUAUUUUUUCCGAAGAGGCGUUCAAUGCCUUCAAUUCCGGAGACGCAUAUAUCCGCGUUGCUCAAGAUGGACUUGCCAGAGCAACGGACCAGUAUGUGAAGGAUAUACGGGUAAGAAAAUUUGAUAAGUAUGUGUAGUAGUAGCCCCUGAGACUUGAAACAGUUGGCACAACUGAUUUAAGGAUCAUUGUAUGCAUAGGUUCUUGUAGAGAAGAAUACCCAUUUAUCUCAAGAGCUGGAGGAAUGUAAGACCCAACUGAAGGCCGUUGUUGCCGAACAAGAGGAAUCCAAAAAGGCUUCUGCUGGUAAUACUUGCCUUGAUAACGGAAUUUGUAAGGAUGUAUACCAGUUAUUUAUUCGGCAUGGUUUAUAAAUCUAACAGAAGAUUAUGUAGACAAUCCCGGAGAGAAUCCGAAGAUUGUGGAAGAUAAUGAGCCACAUCUGCGAAGUCAACGGAAGGCGGGCGAGCGCGUGCUGAUGCAGGCUAUUCAAGAGAAAAAUAAGCUCCAAGAUGCCAAUAUCCGACUGAGCGUCGAACUGGCAGAUGUUCGGGCUCAGCUUGCUGACUCCAUAAAGGAGACUAGGAGGCUUCGACGCGGCAUUUAUAGUAAGUGUUGUAAACGAGCUGUGGAACAGUUCGGCGAGGAAGCGAAUUAACAGAGUUGUGUUUGUAGGUAUGCUGACGGGCCGUCCUGGAGAGGAGAUGCCCGGAUCCGCAGGUGAUUUGCUACAAGAUCUUUUACAACUGCACGAGCGAGCUCGGCAGGUGAUGCAGGGUAUUGCCCAGGCCUUGUGGUCGUCUUCUUCCUUGCCAGAAGGCAUGAGCGAGCUUGUGGAGAUGCUCAGAGGACGGCGGCGCUUCCGAUUAUGAAAGAUAUCAGCUUACCGACAAGGUGCGAGGGAAGCUUGGGCCAUGGUGAAGACGCAAUACGCCAAGGCUGACCCGAACCAUAUGGCCGAAGUCGAACCGGUGGGGUCAGAUGGGCAAGAGAUACCCGUAAGUCUGGUCUAUGACCAAGUAGCGUUAGCCACAAAGUAUUCCCAACAGGAUUGUAGGCUAGACAGCCUGUUGGAUGGUAUAGAGGAAGAAUGACUAUGUAAUUAAAUGGACCUAUGUACUCCCUAGGCGGAUUGAAAAUCAUUUGUCAUGGCGGACAUUUUCGCUUCGGCCUCCAGACCCGACAGUUCGAAGUGUAUCCGAAUACCCGCACAGUUAUGAAAGAACCGGGGUAUGCAUGGAAACCAGGCGUAGGGGUUAUAAUUGCAUGAACAGACAAGUACCCAACUAGUUAUGUUAUAUUACAUGGAUAGUAAGAAACAUCUUCCAGAGAGAAUAGUUCCGUUAAGGGUUCCUUUCCCUGGGUGCGCAUGCAUCGAUGUGCAUGUCUGAACUGCGAACAGAAGCGCAGGAAACAAAACAUCUGGGGAUUCACGUUGUAAUAAACAAAAACAUCUUUUGUUCACCGACCGAAUAUUCCCUUAAGAACGCUAGCUUUCAACUUCACCCAGUCUGAGGUACACAUCCGGCUAAACCGGCAGUAACAAUUGAAGAGGUGCUCCCCUUAUGCCCUAGCCGAAUUAACGGGAACGGAGGGCAUAAACACAAGAGCCAGGCAACCCAGCAUGGCCAAAACUAUCGAUGCAUAUAAUGGUGAAGAAAAGGCACAUAUGGAAAGAAAACGCAUAUGUGGCUGGCAGGAAGCCAUUAAAGUAGUUAUAUUUAGCUUCCGUAUAGGAAGCCCCCAGGUAUAGUGUGCACGCAUAGUGCGGCCGGAGUGAUCAAAGCAUCCGUACAGUUUUUAAGGUUGUAUGUGAAAAGGAAAAGAGGGCGAGAAAGGAAGAAAGAGAACAUAAUUGAAGAAGUGGAGGUAAGGAGACGAACACUGAGUUCGGCACUAGGCGUAGAAUCUUCGGAGUCUGGCCGCGUUCCAUGGGUUUGGCUCGAGUCUGUUAUCAGAUGCAUUGCGCAUACGGUAUGCUCCUCCAGUGAGAACUUUAUCAAUGAUGAAGGGACCCUCCCACUUAGGUUUGAGCUUGUCCUUCUUCUUCUCCGGGAGGCGUAGAACUAGUUCGCCAACGUUAUAAGUUUUGGCCCGUACUUCUCUGCUUUGAUACCUUCGAGCCUAUUGCUGAUAGAAUGCGUAACGGGCUUUUGCGACGUCAUGCUCCUCCUCCAGAGCAUCUAAGUUGUCAUGUCGAUCUAGUUCGGCUUCCUUCUCUUUGUACAUGCGCACGCGAGGUGAGUCAUGGAUUAUGUCGCAGGGUAGAACUGCUUCUGCACCGUAUACCAUAAAAAAUGGUGUGUAUCCGGUUGUACGAUUCGGCAUGGUCCGUAGCCCCCAGAGUACGGAGUCUAGCUCCUCGACCCAAUGCGUAUCUGAUUCCUUCAAGGAUCGCACUAGUAUGGGUUUGAUGCCGCUCAUGAUGAGACCAUUUGCAUGUUCGACUUGAUCGUUUGUUUGGGGGUGAUAGACAGAGGCGUAAUCGAGCUUGAUGCCCAUGUUGCUGCACCAGGUUUUCACCUCAUCGGCUGUAAAAUUUGAGCCAUUGUCAGUGAUGAUGCUGUGGGGGACACCGUAGCGGUGUACAACCCCUGAUAUGAAGUCUAUCACUGGUCCGGAUUCGGCCGUUUUAACUGGUUUGGCUUCUAUCCAUUUGGUGAACUUGUCCACCAUGACCAAUAAGUAUUUUUUCUUGUGGCUUCCCCCUUUAAGAGGUCCGACCAUGUCCAGCCCCCAGACCACGAAGGGCCAAGUUAUGGGGAUUGUUUGGAGAGCGAUAGGGGGCAUAUGGCUCUGAUUGGCGAAGAGUUGGCAACCAACGCAAUGUUGGACAAGGUCCUGUGCAUCUGCCCGGGCUGUCGGCCAGUAAAAACCUGUACGGAAGGCCUUGCUUACAAGUGCCCGAGCUGCAGCGUGGUGCCCGCCGAGUCCGGAAUGGAUUUCAGCUAAGAGCUGCCGCCCUUCCUCUUCGAAGAUGCAUCUUUGGAGCACUCCGGUAGUGCUUUUCUUGCUGAGCUCUCCUUCAUGGACUUUGUAGGCCUUAGAACGUCGCACAAUAAAACGUGCCUCAUUUUGGUCCUCAGGGAGCUCUUGCCUAUUUAGGUAGGUUAAGAAGGGCUCGGUCCACGGGGCGAUGACAGCCAUGAUUUCGUGGGCCGAAGGUGUUAUUUCAAUGGCAGAGCCUCCGAUUACGUCAGAUGGUUCGGAAUCUGGGGUUGUAUUCGGAGCCGGACUAGUAUUGUCGGACUCCCCCUCCCAUACCACGGACAGCUUGAACAGUCUUUCCAAGAAGAUAUUAGGUGGGAUGGGGUCGCGUUUAGCGCUGAUGCGGGCGAGGACGUCCGCCGCUUGAUUAUUUUCUCUGACCACAUGGUGGAAUUUGAGCCCCUCGAACCGAGCUGACAUUUUGAGGACGGCAUUACGGUAAGCCGUCAUUUUUGGAUCCUUGGCAUCAAAGUCUCCAUUUAUCUGAGAUAUUGCGAGGUUCGAGUCCCCGUGCACUUCGAGGCAUUGGAUGCCCAUGGAGACUGCCAUCCGAAGACCAUGCAACAGAGCCUCGUAUUCGGCUGCAUUGUUGGAGUCUAUGUAUAAUAUUUGGAGUACGUAUUGGACCGUGUCUCCGGUGGGGGAUGUCAGGACAACACCCGCUCCCAAUCCGGCCAGCAUUUUAGAGUCUCGAAGUGCAUGAUCCAAUUGGAGUAUGCGUCGUACUCUUUAGGGAGUUCGGCUUCGGUCCAUUCGGCGACAAAGUCACCCAGAACUUGUGACUUAAUGGCAUGUCCUGGUUUGUAUGUUACGUCGAACGGAAGGAGCUCGAUAGCCCAUUUAGCAAUUCGGCCUGUUGUGUCGCGGUUGUUUAUUAUAUCAUCGAGUGGUACUUCGGAGGCCACCAUAAUUGAACACUCUUGAAAGUAGUGUCGUAACUUCUGGGAUGCCAUGAAGACCGCGUACGCUAUCUUUUGAUAGUGUGGGUACUGAGAUUUGCAUGGAGUGAGGAUAGUGGACACGUAAUAUACCGGCUUUUGGAGCGGGAACUUGUGUCCAUAUGCUUCUGGUUCGAUGACGAGCACUGCGCUUACAACUUGGUGUGUUGCAGCUAUGUAUAAUAGCAUGGGUUCGCCAGUAUUUGGCGCGGUCAGGACUGGAUUGGUGGCCAAGAGUGCCUUUAUUUCUUCCAGUCCGGCCGUGGCCGCAUCCUUCCACUCGAAGUGUUCGGUGUGUCGAAGAAGGCGAUAAAGAGGUAGUGCCUUUUCUCCUAAUCGGGAGAUAAAGCGGCUUAAGGCAGCCACACAUCCAAUUAAUUUCUGGAUCUGCUUGAGGUCUGUUGGGAUAGCCAACUGUGGCAGAGCUCAGAUUUUUGCCGGAUUUGCUUCAAUUCCUCUAUUGGAAAUGAUGAAGCCGAGCAAUUUCUCGGAGGGUACAUCGAAGACACAUUUCUCCAGGUUGAGCUUGAUGUCGUAUGUUCGGAGGUUGUCGAACGUGAGCCUCAAGUCAUCUAUUAAAGUUUCAACGUGUCUUGUUUUAAUGACCACGUCGUCUACAUAAGCCUCUACUGUUUUGCCGAUUUGUUUUUCCAGGCAUGUCUGAAUCAUGCGUUGAUAGGUUGCGCCGGCGUUUUUGAGCCUGAAAGGCAUGGUGUUGAAACAGAAGGGGCCGUAUGGCGUAAUGAAGGCCAUUGCGGCUUGGUCGGACUCCGCCAUCUUGAUUUGAUGGUAUCUGGAGUAUGCGUCGAGGAAACACAAUGAGUCGUGUCCUGCGGUGGCGUCGAUGAUUUGAUCAAUGCGGGGGAGGGGGAAGGGAUCCUUGGGGCAAGCCUUAUUGUGGUCCUUGAAAUCGACACAUAGGCGCCAGGAUUUGUCCUUCUUUGGUACCAUUACCAGGUUUGCUAGCCAAUCCGAAUGUUUUAUGUCCCUAAUGAAUCCGGCCUCGAGUAGCUUGGCUAGCUCUUCUCACAUGGCUUGCCGCUUAGGCUCUGAAAAGCGCCUUAGAGUCUGCUUGACUUGCUUGUAUCCUUUCAGUAUAUUGAGGUUGUGUUCGCCAGCUUGCGUGGGAUGCCCGGCAUGUCUGAAGGAUGCCAGGCGAAAAUAUCCCAAUUCUCACGUAGGAAAUCUCGCAGUGUGGCAUCUAUUGUGGGGUUCAGCUGUGUCCCGAUGGAAGCUAUCUUUGUAGGGUCCAUUGGGUGGACCUGGAAUUUGACUAUCUCAUCCGCGGGUUUGAAAGAGGUGGACUUGGGUCGCUUGUCCAGUAUCACGUCGUCUUUGUCCACUGUGGCGCACAGUGUUGUUAGUUCUUCGGCCGCGAGGGCUUCGGAUAAUGCUUCCAGGGCUAGUGCGGCAGUCUUAUUUUCGGCUCGGAGUUCUAUGUCCGGGUCACUAGCUAGAGUGAUGAUUCCAUUGGGUUUGGGCAUUUUGAGCUUCAUGUACCCGUAAUCGGGUAUAGCUUGAAAGCUCGUGAAUGCAUACCGCCCUAAGAGGGCGUGGUAUCCGUUGUUGAACGGGGCCACUUGGAAUGUGAUUUCUUCGGACCUGUAAUUCUCCGGUGUGAUGAAUACCACAUCCAGUGUGAUUUUUCUCGCGCACCGUGCCUCCCGACUAGGGAUGAUUCCCCUGAAGGUCGUGCUGCUUUGCUCAAUGCGGCUCUUGUCAAUUACCAUCUUGUUGAGGGUUUCUUCGUAGAUGAGGUUUAAUCCGCUUCCGCCGUCCAUGAGCACUUUAGUGAGCCGAAACCGUCCACAAUUGGACUAAGGACCAAGGCGGCCGGUGCCCGGACUGUUCGGAAUUGAGGUUCGUCACUGGCAUUGAAGGUUAUGGUCGUGCCGUUCCAUGGAUUUAUUGUUGCCAUGUGGCAAACUUCGGCAAGACUGCGUUGAGCUCUCUUGCGCCUAUUGUUUGAGGCGAAAGUCUCGAAGACUGUCAAUACCGUAUUGUUAUUUCUGGUGGGAUGUUGCUCUACUGUGUGGUUUAUGAGGAGAUUCUCGCCGCUCUUUGCUACCUGCCGGAGUAUCCAACAUGCUCUAAGGCUAUGUGUUGGCGUGGUAUCCGGUGUGCUGUGAAUUUUGCAUGGCCCAUUGAGCCAUUCCUCCAAUACGGUUCCAUGCCUUGCAUCGGGCUUUGGUUUUUUGGUAAUUGAAUCGGUAGCUUAUGAGAGUGUGCCCUUUUAGUUCGGACGAAGGGUUUAGUGAGAGCCGGAUUAUCCCAAAAGUUUGUUUGGGUUUUCCAAGUGCUUUCCAUUGCGCAAUAUUUUUGCACUAUGGCUGCUAAGUCAGCGAAGUGUACUAUGUCACGGCUACUUAUAGCGUUGAGGAUCCCUUUGUCCAUGCAAUUUUUGCAAAAGAGGGAGAUUGCAUCUUCCUCCCGACAGUCCUUGACCUUGUUUAUCACAAGGAGGAAUCUGGCCCAAUAAUGAUGUACUAUCUCUUGGGGCUCUUGUCUGAUAUGCGAAAGAUUGAAUAAGUCUGGGUGGGUGGGUGGUUUUGAAUCUGAAUCCUGACCCAAUCUGAGACCCAGGGGCAAAGAAGCUUCCGAGCUUAACAGCUCGGGCUCCGGGGUGUUGCCCAAUUUCUUUGGCCAGCCACCCGAUUCUGAAUUUGGGAUUUGGGUCAUGUCCUCCCGCGAUCGGGUGUCCAGCUCAGAGAGCUCGGAAAUCCGGACAUAGUUCGUCCUCAAAAUAGAGGGACAAUUUGUAUGAUGCUCUUCCACUACCGCUAUCUCAUGGGUGACCGGUGGAGAGUGAAUCUCCCUUUGGUUAGGUUUAAGCCCGAUCCGGUCAUAGUCUGUAGCGAUGCCCAGGGCGGCGAUGCGAUCCAAGAGCUCAUUAAGGGAGGAGAGCUCCAUUGGGUCCAUCUGUUCGGAGAGUUCCAAAUCGACAUGGAGGUUGUUUCUGAUGACCUGAGAAGUCAUCGUCGGCGCGAUAGCCGAUCGGGCGGUCGUGACGAAGCCGCCCAGCCGGAGAGUUUGGCCUAGGUCCAGGGCUCCUCUAGAGGUGAUGUUGUCCUUGACAACGAGACGAGCCAUUGAGCCUUAUCACGACGACACAGUGGAACUCUCAAUGAAAGCACCAAUGUCGGUGUCAAAACCGGCGGAUCUCGGGUAGGGGGUCCCGAACUGUGCGUCUAAGGCUAAUGGUAACAAGGGGCAGGGGACACAAUGUUUACCCAGGUUCGGGCCCUCUCGAUGGAGGUAAUACCCUACUUCCUGCUUGAUUGAUCUUGAUGAUAUGAGUAUUACAAGAGUUGAUCUACCACAAGAUCGUAGAGGUUAAACCCUAGAAGCUAGCCUAUGAUUAUGAUUGUUGUUGUCCUACGGACUAAACCCUCCAGUUUAUAUAGACACCAGAGGGGGCUAGGGUUACACAGAGUCGGUUACAGAGAAGGAGAUCUAUCAUCUGAAUCGCCAAGCUUGCCUUCCAUGCAAAGGAGAGUCCCAUCCGGACACGGGACAAAGUCUUCAAUCUUGUAUCUUCAUAGUCCAACAGUUCGGCCAAAGUAUAUAGUCCGGCUGUCCGGAUACCCCCUUAUCCAGGACUCCCUCAAUGGGGGUCCUGUUCAUCAGGAGGGGUGUGGCGUACCGCAAAGCGGUACUCCAUGGGAUAUUGUUCGUCUCCACCGUCGACCUCCUCUAGCCUCCAUGGGCUACUGUUCAUCCACCGUCGACCUCCUCUAGCCUCCACCUGCGACUGUUCAUCCACGGUCUCCUGUUCAUCCAGCCUCCACCGCUCCUCCACCGGCUACUGUUCAACCAUCCCUCUCCACGGGGUCAUGUUCAACCACCUCUCCACGGGCUACUGUUCAUCCAUCCCUCCACCGGCUACUGUUCAACCAGCCCUCCACGGGGUCGUCCUAUUCAUCUAGCCCUUCAUGGGGUCCUGUUCAUCCACCCCCAACCGGCUCGAUCGGGGUCCUGCUCAUCCAGAGGCAACACCACGGNNNNNNNNNNNNNNNNNNNNNNNNNNNNNNNNNNNNNNNNNNNNNNNNNNNNNNNNNNNNNNNNNNNNNNNNNNNNNNNNNNNNNNNNNNNNNNNNNNNNNNNNNNNNNNNNNNNNNNNNNNNNNNNNNNNNNNNNNNNNNNNNNNNNNNNNNNNNNNNNNNNNNNNNNNNNNNNNNNNNNNNNNNNNNNNNNNNNNNNNNNNNNNNNNNNNNNNNNNNNNNNNNNNNNNNNNNNNNNNNNNNNNNNNNNNNNNNNNNNNNNNNNNNNNNNNNNNNNNNNNNNNNNNNNNNNNNNNNNNNNNNNNNNNNNNNNNNNNNNNNNNNNNNNNNNNNNNNNNNNNNNNNACACACAACACUCACUAUUCAUCAAGGGAAGGAGGCAGCAGGGUUCGAUCGGCUUUAGUUAGCAGCGGUACCAAAGGAAUCACUCGGGUUCAGUUAACAGCAAGGGAUCAAUCGGUCGGGUUCAGUAAUGUAGCUAGUGCAAUCGCUUGGGUUCAGUUAGAACCCAAUGCCUCGCUCGGGUUCAGUUAGAGCCCAACGCCUCGCACACACGCGCAUACGUGUACGAGAGAAACACGCAUCGCUCGGCCCCCGACCACCCACCGUAACCGGGAACUCCCCGAUAUUUUCCUCGCCCUCGCUUCUACCAUGGUUUUUUUCCAUCAUGGACGGCCCAAAGAAUGUCAUGCAGCUACGUCUCUGGCCCGCCCAGGAUGAAAGCCCAUUUUCUGUCAUGAUUUUUUCCAUAGAAUUAGGAGCCCACCACAUCUAUGAUGAUACCGGGUUUUGUCACAAUUAUCGUCAUAGAAGUGUCAUAAGCAUGACAGGAAAAAAAAUCGCUCGGCCCAAAAUGUCACGGGUGUGUCUUUUUUUGUAGUGUAUACUCCAUGAUAGCCCUCCUCGGUAACUCAACACUAGAAAAUGUCUGGCCCACUUGGACUCUGGUUUAGACAGGUCCUCUUCUCUGAAACAUUUGAAAUUCAGCUUAACCUUAUCGUCAUCAGAGGAAGGCAAGCACAUGUCCACAUCUUCAUUAGGAUCAUCAGCUUCUUCUUGGACUGCUUUACCUUUGCCUUUCUCACAAUCAACAUUUUUGUCAAACAAGUCAUCAUCAUCUUGUAGAUCAAUGUCUGAAUCAACAAUUUGUGGAAUGAAAUCUUCAUCUGAAUCCUCCACUACUGAACAACCAAUUGUAUCUGCUGCAUCCAUGUUUAAAACCCUAUAGCUUUUUCUUCUGCCCCUGAACUCAAACUUAAAUGUAUGCAUGUACUCUCCUGGUUGAGGUGGUCCUGGCAUGUAAUCCUCUUCUUCUGAAUCUUCCUCACUUUCUGAUAGUGCAUCUUCAACUAGACCUGGCUCAGCCUCAUGAUCUGGAUCUUGCUCAGCCUACUCCUGUGCCACUACAACUUGCUCAACAUUGUCCUCUUGUUGUUCAUCUUGAUCUUGCUCAACCUGCUCCUGUGCCACUACAACUUGCUCAACAUGGUCCUCUUGCUCUUCAUCUUGAUCAUGCACUUGCUCUUUCUUUGGCCUACUUCCACUGAACUUGGCAAAUGGAGGAUCCUCAUCAUCAGAAUGAACAAGAAUAGGUGAAAUAUAUGAUCUCAUGCUCUCAUCAUGAUCAAGAAAUAUUUGCUGAAAAUGGUUCCCAUUCAGAGCACAAUCCUUCAUGUUCUCUGUCAUAGUGUUGUCCCCUAUCUUAAUCUCUCUUAAUCCAUUCUUAUACACUGCCAACCCAGGAACACACCAGUAAGCUCUGAUCCUGCCCUCAAACUCAUACCCAAUUUCCUCAACUAGACUAGCAACAACAGCAGGGGUCCAGUUAUCUAUGUCACAGUAGUCAUACCAAAUGGAGUGGCCUUCAUGGUAAUACCUAUGCUUGCUUGCACAAAGGAAAUAGCCACCAUGUAUGACCUCAACAAAGAAGUGGUUGCUUAGGGGUCCUGCAAAACAUUCAAAGUGGCAAUGUUCAAACAAGAUAUAGUCACCAAACUGAAAAUGUUCAGACAAUGUUUAGUCAAGCUGAAAAUGUUUAGUUAACUCCAAAAGUUUAGUUAUUGUAUCAAACCACUAGUAGCUCAAUUUACUGAGUAAGCAAGACCUAAUCAAGGGUACUAAGCAAGCAGUAAAGAAUGUAAUUGGACCAAAACAAGCAAUGUGGCAAUGCUCAGUGUCAAUGCUCAGUUAUUGUACUAUAUCAAGUUCACACAUUUCAAUAUUCAGACAGGUUCACACAUAAAAAUUAAAUUAUCUUACAGAGCAAAAUUCAUACAUGUGGCAGAAAAAAAGCACUGAUUCAUGGCCUCCACUACACAAAUAUAUGAUCUUUCAUGGGCAAAACGAUCAUCUCAUGGGCAAAACAUGAACAUGAUCAACAACUAGGCCAUAUAAAGCAAAGAGACAGGGGAGAAGCGAGCAUGGCCUUCCCCCUAACAUAUCCAAAAUCAAACCCUAAUUUUGCUCUGCAAACCAUAGAUCAUCUCCAAACACAACAUCCAUAGCCCAUACGAAACCCUAACUGUCAUUUGUGGCCCUGUUCAACGUCCACUGCUAAAACCCUAAACCUUACACCAUCCAUGGCAAAAGGGGAGAGAAAUAGCACAAACCCUAGAACCCAUGCGCAAUUGACUCGAAUGUGAACUCUUUCCCGGAGCUAGAAUGGACAGAUUGACUACACAACAUGUCGGCGACGGUGACGUACCAUAGAGGGGCGGUGAGGCAUGGUCCUGACGACGCGUCGGUACGAGAGGGGCGUCACGCAGGCCCCUCUCGAAUGGCACGGAUGGCAGUGGCUCAGCGUCCGACGACGAGCUCAUGGGGCCGUCGCCGCACUCGCACACGUCGGCGACCUCAAGGCAACCACCUCGGCAGUUGCUAUGUCUUGAGCUUGCAUUGGUUUUCCUUGAAGAGGAAAGGGUGAUGCAGUGAUAGUAGCGUAAGUAUUUCCCUCUAUUUUUUAGAACCAAGGUAUCAAUCUAGUAGGAGGCUCCUCAAAAGUCCCACGCACCUACACAAACAAACAGGAACCUCGCAACCAACGCAAUAAAGGGGUUCUCAAUCCCUUCACGGCCACUUGCGAAAGUGAGAUCUAAUAGAGAUAAUAUGAUAAGAUAUAUUUUUUGGUAUUUUUAUGAUAUAGAUUGGAAAGUAAAAGAUGCAAAUAAAAGAUAGAUGAAAACUUAUAUGAUAAAGGAUAGACCCGGGGGCCAUAGGUUUCACUAGUGGCUUCUCUCAAGAUAGCAUAAGUAUUACGGUGGGUGAACGAAUUACUAUCGAGCAAUUGAUAUAAAAGCGCAUAGUUAUGAGAUUAUCUAGGCAUGAUCAUGUAUAUAGGCAUCACGUCCGUGACAAGUAGAUCGACUCCUCCUGCAUCUACUACUAUUACUCCACACAUCGACCGACUCCUGCCUGCAUCUAGAGUAUUAAGUUCAUAAGAACAAAGUAACGCAUUAAGAAAGAUGACAUGAUGUAGAGGGAUAAACUCAUGCAAUAUGAUAUAAACCCCAUCUUUUUAUCCUCAAUGGCAACAAUACAAUGCAUGCCUUGCUGCCCCUACUGUCACUGGGAAAGGACACCGCAAGAUUGAACCCAAAGCUAAGCACUUCUCCCAUUGCAAGAAAGAUCAAUCUAGUGGGCCAAACCAAACUGAUAAUUCUAAGAGACUUGCAAAGAUAACUUAAUAACACAUAAAAGAAUUCAGAGGAGAUUCAAAUAUUUAUCAUAGAUAAACUUGAUCAUAAACCCACAAUUCAUCAGAUCUCGACAAACACACCGCAAAAAAAGAGUUACAUUGAAUAGAUCUCCAAGAAGAUCAAGGAGAACUUUGUAUUGAGAUUCAAAGAGAGAGAAGAAGUCAUCUAGCUAAUAACUAUGGACCCGAAGUCUGUGGUAAACUACUCACAACUCAUAGGAGAGGCCUUGGAGAUGAUGUAGAGGCCCUCUGUGGUCGAUUCCCCCUCCGGUGGAGCGCCAGCGAAGGCUCCAAGAUGGGAUCUCACGGAUACAGAAGGUUGCGGUGGUGGAAUUAGGUUUUCGUGGUCACUUCUGAUGGUUUCAGGGUACGGGAGUAUAUAUAGGAGGAAUAAGUAGGUCAGUGGACACUCGAGGGGCCCAUGAGGGUGGGGGCGCACCCACCCCCAGGGGGCGCCGGGCACCCUCGUGGCCGCCUCGGUUGGUUCUUGACGUCCACUCCAAGUCUCCAGGUUUGCAUUUGUUCCAAAAAGAUCGCUCCCGAAGGUUUCAUCCCGUUUGGACUCCGUUUGAUAUUCCUUUUCUUCGAAACACUGAAAUAGGCACAAAAAAACAGUAGUUUGGGCUGGGCCUCCGGUUAGUAGGUUAGUACCAAAAAUGAUAUAAAAGUGUAAAGUAAAGCCCAUAAACAUCCAAAACGGGUAAUAUAAUAGCAUGGAACAAUCAAAAAUUAUAGAUACCUUGGGGACGUAUCAAGCAUCCCCAAGCUUAAUUCUUGCUCGUCCUCGAGUAGGUAAAUGAUAAAAACGGAAUUUUUGAUGUGGAAUGCUACCUAGCAUAAUUCUUAGUGUAUUUUUCUUUAUUGUAGCAUGAAUGUUCAGAUCCAAAUGAUUCAAAAUAUAAGUUCAUAUUGACAUAAGAAAUAAUAAUACUUCAAGCAUACUAAUAAAGCAAUCAUGUCUUCUCAAAAUAGCAUGGCUAAAGAAAGUUAUCCCUACAAAAUCAUAUACUCUGGUUGUUGCUCUAUCUUCAUCACACAAAUUAUUUAAUCAUGCACAACCCCGAUGACAAGCCAAGCAAUUGUUUCAUACGUUAGUAAUCUCAAACUUUUUCAACUUUCACGCAAUACAUGAGCGUGAGCCAUGGACAUAGCACUAUAUGUGGAAUAGAAUGGUGGUUGUGGAGAAGAUAGUCUCACAUCAACUAGGCGUAUCAACGGGCUAUGGAGAUGCCCAUUAAUAGAUAUCAAUGUGAGUGAGUAGGGAUUGCCAUGCAAUGGAUGCAUUAGAGCUAUAAAUGUAUGAAAGCUCAAUAAAAGAAACUAAGUGGGUGUGCAUCCAACUUGCUUGCUCACGAAGACCUAGGGCAUUUUGAGGAAACCCGUCAUUGGAAUAUACAAGCCAAGUUCUAUAAUGAAAAAUUCCCACUAGUAUAUGAAAGUGACAACAUAGGAGCUCUCUAUCAUGAAGAUCACGGUGCUACUUUCAAGCACAAGUGUGGUAAAAAGGAUAGUAGCAUUGUCCCUUCUCUCUUUUUCUCUCUCUCUCUCUCUCUUUUUUUAUUUGGUCUCUCUUUUUUUGGCCUUUCUGUUCUUCUUUUUUCGUAAAGUUCGAAGUCUCAUCCCAACUUGUGGGGGAAUCAUAGUCUCCAUCAUUCUUUCCUCACUUGGGACAAUGCUCUAAUAAUGAAGAUCAUCACACUUUUAUUUACUUACAACUCAAGAUUACAACUUGAUACUUAGAACAAGAUAUGACUCUAUAUGAAUGCCUUUGGCGGUGUACCGGGAUAUGCAAUGAAUCAAGAGUGGCAUGUAUGGAAAUUAUGAAGGUGGCCUUGCCACAAUACGAUGUCAACUACAUGAUCAUGCAAGAGCAAUAUGACAAUGAUGAUCCGUGUCAUAAUAAACGGAACGGUGGAAAGUUGCAUGGCAAUAUAUCUCUGAAUGGCUAUGGAAAUGCCAUAAUAGGUAGGUAUGGUGGCUGUUUUGAGGAAGUUAUAUGGUGGGUGUAUUGUACCGGCGAAAGUUGCGCAGCACGAGAGAGGCUAGCAAUGGUGGAAGGAUGAGAGUGCGUAUAAUCCAUGGACUCAACAUUAGUCAUAAAGAACUCAUAUACUUAUUGCAAAAAUCUACAAGCCAUUGAAAACAAAGUAUUACGCGCAUGCUACUAGGGGGAUAGAUUGGUAGGAAAAGACCAUCGCUCGUCCCCGACCGCCACUCAUAAGGAAGACAAUCAAUAAAUAAAAUUAUGCUCCAACUUCAUCACAAAGCGGUUCACCAUACGUGCAUGCUACGGGAAUCACAAACUUCACAACAAGUAUUCUUUAAAUUCACAAUUACCCAACUAGCAGGACUCUAAUAUCACCAUCCUCAUAUCUCAAAACAAUUAUCAAGCAUCAAAUUGAUCAUAGCAUCCAAUUCACUUCCUAUGAUAGUUUUUAUUAUACCCAACUUGGAUGCCCAUCAUUCUAGGACCAAUUUUAUAACCAUAGCAAAUACCAUGAUGUUCUAAAAGACUCUCAAAAUAAUAUAAGUGAAUCAUGAGAGAUCAAAGAUUUCUUCAAAAUUAAGCCACCGCCGUGCUCUAAAAGAUACAAGUGAAGCACUAGAGCAAAACUAUCUAGCUCAAAAGAUAUAAGUGAAGCACAUAGAGUAUUCUAAUAAAUUCCAAAUCAAGUGGGUUUCUCCCAAAAGGUGUGUACAGCAAGGAUGAUUGUGGUAAUCUAAAAAGCAAAUACUAAUAUCAUACAAGACACUCUAAGCAAAACACAUAUCAUGUGGAGAAUAAAAAUAUAGCUCCAAGUAAAGUUACCGAUAAACGAAGACAAAAGAGGGGAUGCCUUCCGGGGCAUCCCCAAUCUUAGGCUUUUGGUUAUCCUUGAAUAUCUUGGAGUGCCAUGGGCAUCCCCAAUCUUAGGCUCUUUCCACUCCUUAUUCCAUAGUCCAUCAAAUCUUUACCCAAAACUUGAAAACUUCACAACACAAAACUCAACAGGAAAUCUCAUAAGCUCCGUUAGUGCAAGAAAGAAAAAACACCACAUAAGAUACUGUAAUGAACCCAGUCUUUAUUUAUAUUGGUGUUAAACCUACUGUAUUCCAACUUUUCUAUGGUUUAUACCCCCCGAUACUAGCCAUAGAUGCAUCAAAAUAAGCAAACAACACACGAAAAAUAGAAUCUGUCAAAAACAGAACAGUCUGUAGCAAUCUGUAACUCUAGAAUACUUCUGGAACUCUAAAAAUCCUACCAGAAUAGUAAGUCCUGGGAAAUUUGUCUAUUGAUUUGCAGCAAAAACAAUCAACGAAAAAGCAUGUUUCUGUGAAUUACUAAAAUUAUUUUUGUGCGUGCAAAAGUUUCUGUUUUUCAGCAGAAUCAAAUUAACUAUCACCGUAGGUUAUCCUAUAGGUUCUACUUGGCACAAACACUAAUUAAAACAUGAAAACACAUCUAAACAGAAGCUAGAUGAAAUAUUUAUUACUAAACAGAAGCAAUAAGCAAGAAACAAAAAAAAUUGGGUUGCCUCCCAACAAGCAGUAUCGUUUAACGCCCUUAGCUAGGCAUUGAUAAUUUCGAUGAUGCUCAUAUGAAAGAUAGCAAUCGAAACACGAAGAGAGCAUCAUGUAGCAUGUGAAAAACACAUCUAAGUCUAACAUACUUCCUAUGCAUAGGCAUCUUGUAAGCAAACAAAUUAUCAAGGCAAGCAAAAACUAGCAUUUGCAAGGAAGAACAAAGAGAUGGUAGCAAUCUCAACAUGAAGAGAGGUAAUUUGGUAACAUGAAAAUUUCUACAACCAUAUUUUCCUCUCUCAUAAUAAUUACAUGUAGGAUAAUAAGCAAAUUCAACAAAAUAGCUAUCACAUAAAAUAUUUUCAACACAAUCCACAUGCAUGCAAAGUUGACACUCUUCCAAAAUAGUAGGAUUAACAUUAACUAAAGUCAUGACCUCUCCAAGCCCACUUUUAUCAAAAACUUCAUAAGAUUGAUCAAAAUCCAAAUAUGUGGGAUCUAAAAUCGACACUCUUCCAAACUCACUUUCAAUAAUAUUGCAAACACUAUUAUCAAUCUCAUAUUCAUCAUGGGGGUUAAAUAAAUUUUCAAGAUCAAAAGAAGAAUCACACCAAUCAUGAUCAUUGCAACAGGUAGUAGACAUAGAAAAACUAGCAUCCCCAAGCUUAGGGUUUUGCAUAUUAUUAGCACAAUUGACAUCAAUAGAAUUUGUAGUAAAAUCAUUUCAAUCAUGCUUUUUAUUCAAGGAGCUAUCGUGAAUCUCUUCAUAAAUUUCUUCAUCACAAUUUUUAGAUUCACAAAUUUCAAGCAAAACAUCAUAAAGAUAAUCUAGUGCACUCAACUCACAAGCAAUUGGUUCUUCAUAAUUGGAUCUCUUGAAAAGAUUAGCAAGUGGAUGAGGAUCCAUGAACUUUUAGCAAGCGAAGAUGCAAGCAAAAAGAAGUCACAUGGAGACACAAGAUCGAACGGAAGAGGGCGAAGAAAACGGCCAGGGUGAAGUGGGGGAGAGGAAAACAAGAGGCAAAUGGCAAAUAACGUAAUGUGAGGGAGAUGAGUUUGUGAUGGGUACUUGGUAUGUCUUGACUUGAGCGAAGACCUCCCCGGCAACGGUGCCAGAAAUCCUUCUUGCUACGUCUUGAGCUUGCGUUGGUUUUCCUUGAAGAGGAAAGGGUGAUGCAGCAAUAGUAGCAUAAGUAUUUCCCUCUUUUUUUGAGAACCAAGGUAUCAAUCCAGUAGGAGGCUCCUCAAAAGUCCCACGCACCUACACAAACAAACAAGAACCUCGUAACCAACGCAAUAAAGGGGUUGUCAAUCCCUUCACGGCCACUUGCGAAAGUGAGAUCUAAUAGAGAUAAUAUGAUAAGAUAAAUAUUUUUGGUAUUUUUAUGAUAUAGAUUGGAAAGUAAAAGAUGCAAAUAAAAGAUAGAUGAAAACUUAUAUGAUUAAGGAUAGACCCGGGGGCCAUAGGUUUCACUAGUGGCUUCUCUCAAGAUAGCAUAAGUAUUACGGUGGGUGAACGAAUUACUAUCGAGCAAUUGAUACAAAAGCGCAUAGUUAUGAGAUUAUCUAGGCAUGAUCAUGUAUAUAGGCAUCACGUCCGUGACAAGUAGAUCGACUCCUCCUGCAUCUACUAUUAUUACUCCACACAUCGACCGACUCCUGCAUGCAUCUAGAGUAUUAAGUUCAUAAGAACAGAGUAACGCAUUAAGAAAGAUGACAUGAUGUAGAGGGAUAAACUCAUGCAAUAUGAUAUAAACCCCAUCUUUUUAUCCUCAAUGGCAACAAUACAAUGCGUGCCUUGCUGCCCCUGCUGUCACUAGGAAAGGACACCGCAAGAUUGAACCCAAAGCUAAGCACUUCUCCCAUUGCAAGAAAGAUCAAUCUAGUGGGCCAAACCAAACUGAUAAUUCUAAGAGACUUGCAAAGAUAACUUAAUAACACAUAAAAGAAUUCAGAGGAGAUUCAAAUAUUUAUCAUAGAUAAACUUGAUAAUAAACCCACAAUUCAUCAGAUCUCAACAAACACACCACAAAAAAGAGUUACAUCAAAUAGAUCUCCAAGAAGAUCGAGGAGAACUUUGUAUUGAGAUUCAAAGAGAGAGAAGAAGCCAUCUAGCUAAUAACUAUGGACCCGAAGGUCUGUGGUAAACUACUCACAACUCAUAGGAGAGGCCUUGGAGAUGAUGUAGAGGCCCUCCGUGGUCGAUUCCCCCUCCGACGGAGCGCCGGCGAAGGCUCCAAGAUGGGAUCUCACGGAUACAGAAGGUUGCAGCGGUGGAAUUAGGUUUUUGUGGUCACUUCUGAUGGUUUCAGGGUACGGGAGUAUAUAUAGGAGGAAUAAGUAGGUCAGUGGACGCUCGAGGGGCCCACGAGGGUGGGGCGCGCGCUCACCCCCAGGGGGGCGCCGGGCACCCUCGUGGCCGCAUCAGUUGUUGCUUGACGUCCACUCCAAGUCUCCAGGUUUGCAUUUGUUCCAAAAAGAUCGCUCCCGAAGGUUUCAUCCCGUUUGGACUCCGUUUGAUAUUCCUUUUCUUCGAAACACUGAAAUAGGCAAAAAAAACAGCAAUUUAGGCUGGGCCUCCGGUUAGUAGGUUAGUCCCAAAAAUGAUAUAAAAGUGUAAAGUAAAGCCCAUAAACAUCCAAAACGGGUAAUAUAAUAGCAUGGAACAAUCAAAAAUUAUAGAUACGUUGGAGACGUAUCAGCAGCGACGACAAACCAGGGGAGAAGCAUGGGAUAAGCGAGACACUGAGUGGCUCGGACGGACCAGGGGAUGUGCUCGGUCCGACCAGGUGGGGGAUCUUUUAAUAACUAGCAAAUUUGCAAAAAAACUGCGUGCAUGCGUAUUUGAUUGAGCUAGCACACGUGGCAGUCAAUGCACACUUGGCGGUGGUUGACUCGGGCCAGAUCAGCCAAUACGUAUAGCAAAGCGUACAAUGGACCGUAGAUGACCCCUAAGUGCAAGUUUGGUGACUGUAUUUCGGGUAUUUGUAACCGUAGGGACUAAAGUGGGCACCAGCGCAAGUAAUAGGGCUUGUAAUGAAUUUUUCUCUUCCAAAAAACACUAGUACAAAUGUAAUCACGAUCAUACACAAUGGAGCUUAUAAACAGAAUCCAAGAAAGCCUCUGCCACCUUUCUGAGCCGUGAAAGGGUGAUGUGAGGGAACAAAAUGGUCGUAUUUGGACAAUUUGUCGAUGACCACAAACAAACAUUUGUACCUGCCAGAUGUGGGCAACCCUUUUACAAAAUCUAUCAUGACCAUUUCCCAAGGAGUUUUAGGUAUUGGUAACGGCUGCAGCAAGCCGGGGUAAGGAAUCCUCUCUGGUUUGGCCUGCUGGCAGACAAGAAAGUGUUGGACAAACUGUUUGAUAAAACCUUUCAUACCAUCCCAACAAAAAAGUUGAUAAACAUGGCGAUAGGUGACAUGGAAAUCAGAGUGCCCUCCCAAGGGGCUGUCAUGGAAGGCACUCACUAUUUUCUUGUGCAAAGAUGGAUCAGCUCCAACCCAGAUGCAACUGUCAACUCGGAGUAAACUGGCCACAAUGCAGCCCAGGUAAUGUUGGCCACAAUGCAGCCCAAGGAAUCAUUGUAUAGCUGGCCACAAUGUUACCGAACCACACUGAUUGGGUAGAAGAAAUAGCAUGCAGCCCAGGUAAUGUUUCACUCACUGAAUGAGGCAUGUGAGACAAAGCCUCGGCGCCUCGAUUCUCGGAUCCUUUCUUAUAGCUGAUGGUAUACUAUAAACCCAAAAGCUUGGUUAGAGCCUUCUGCUGCCAACUAAUAUGCAAACGCUGAUCAGUCAAACUAGCCAAAGUAUGUUGAAUGAUGAAGUCUGAUAAAUGAAGAGAUUAACGACAAUGCUCCACUGCCAACAAGAUUGCCAAGUACUCAUUUUCAUAACAGAUAGUAUUUGAUUUCUUGGACCUAAAGCUUAACUCGGAUAUGCCAAAGGGUGACCUUGCAUCAGAACAUCACCAAUGCCCACAUCACAAGCGUCAGUCUCCGCUACAAAUUUCUUAGAGAAAUCUGGAAGAGCCAAACCAGGGAUGUAACCAUAGCAUGUUUGAGAGCAACAAAAGCUUAAUUUCCCACUUUUGUACAAUGAAACGGCACGCCCUUUUUAAGAAGGUUUGUAAUAGGCCUACAAAUGAUCCCGUAAUGUUGGAUGAACUUUCUAUAUAGAUAGCUAGGCAGGGAAGCAGUUUUAGGCGGGAAAGAGAGAUGAUGUUGGCGCCAAUCCACACGCGCCUCCUCCUUCUCUGGCUCCUUUCCUCCAGUAGAUCUGCUCCCUCCUCUACAGCAGAUCCUCUCAAGUAGCUCCUCAUCCUCCUCCUCUUCAGUACAGCAGGAACCAUCAACAGGCAACAGCAAGGAGCCAACUGCCAAGAUAUACCUCCCCCAUCCUCUACUCCUCUCCCUCCCCCUUCUCCCUCCUCUGCUCUGUUUCUUCCAUGUUCAGCUGUUCAUUGCUUGCUGCUUUUCAGUUGUUCAUUGCUUCCUGCUUUGCUGGUUGCUCACUACUUUGUGCUAGUUGCUUUGCUGGUUGCUCACUGCCUCUCUUAUAGGAGGUGUUUGUUUCACAGUUUUUGCGUCGGUACCUGAUUACAGCGCUAUCCAAAUCCGCUCCCCGUGUUUGGUUGAGUUAGGCUGUUAUUGAAUACUACGUAAUCGAAUUACAUUGCUAUUUCAAAUCCCAUUACGCCCACCUCUGGUCGUAAAGCGAUCCCAUCUCGAUCUGCUAUUCUCGCUCAAGUCCUCUUCUCGUUCCGCCAAAGAAGCCAGAAUCCAUCAGUCAAACCAUUGCCAGAUCUCUCUCUUCGUCCGCCACCGCCUUCCCGGAGCACCACCGCCCCGCCGGAGUGCCGCCAGUCGCUGCCACCGGCGUUGGAGCAGUGGCGCCGCCACCGCCCUGCCGGAUCGCUGCCGCCACCACCAGCAGCGCCACCUGAGCUUGGUGUCCAUGACCGGUGAUCUAUCCAUGGAGAAGGAGAAUCACGCGGCCAUAGCCCUCAUUUUCUUGUAUCUUCGAUCGUUGAGUUCUCUGUUACCGUUACCUGAACGAACCAAGCAAAACCAGAAAUACACCGAUUACAGCGACAACAUGGUGUAACCUAAUUACGUUACUGGUUACGUUAACGAUGACGCAACCAAACACCUCCAUAGUGGUUAGUGGAUGCCUGGAUGGUUAGAAUAAUGCAUGAUUACUGUUGGGGAAAAGAGAAAGUGCAAAGAGGAUGGAUUCUAUAUGGGCUCUACAACCAGCAGCAAGCGCAAGAUGUGUACUGUGUAUGCCUAGUUGCCUACCAAAUGUUGCUUCAUGCUGCUGCUUAGAACUCUCUAAGGUGUCUGCCUUGCCUUAUGACUUAUCACUUAGGCAGUGAGCCCUGGAACCUUCUAGAACCCAAGAAUUGCAUGAAAAUCAUUAUAUCAUAUGAUGACAAAGGCAUGUAGAAGGGGGUUGUGGGAAACGCAGGGGGCUCANNNNNNNNNNNNNNNNNNNNNNNNNNNNNNNNNNNNNNNNNNNNNNNNNNNNNNNNNNNNNNNNNNNNNNNNNNNNNNNNNNNNNNNNNNNNNNNNNNNNNNNNNNNNNNNNNNNNNNNNNNNNNNNNNNNNNNNNNNNNNNNNNNNNNNNNNNNNNNNNNNNNNNNNNNNNNNNNNNNNNNNNNNNNNNNNNNNNNNNNNNNNNNNNNNNNNNNNNNNNNNNNNNNNNNNNNNNNNNNNNNNNNNNNNNNNNNNNNNNNNNNNNNNNNNNNNACACACACACACAUGCGCGCGCAUGCGUGUGCAUGCAUCUAGGGCCUGAUGUGCUCUAACCUCUAAGGGAUACAACGAAGAGAAAAUGGGGUUUUUGAUGUGUGAUCUACAAGCAAGUUGGCUAACUUGAUGUUCCUCGUCACAAGCACAAAACUAUCAAAUGAAGUAGCAUAUGUUGUGGACAAGAGGACGAGUGUAUGGUUGAACCCAUGCGAAGGAGUAAAGACAGGGUUUGUUUUGGAGAUCGUUCGUCUUUGUGAAGCAUUGAAGAAUGCGUGUGCUUAGUCAGUACCUUGAACCAUUGGCCAUGAUCCUGGAUCAGCUGGUCGUGCCGAUGAAUGGAAACGUGUGUGUUAAACAGCAAAAUAGUCUUGAUGGAAGCCAUCAACGACAUGAACACCGACGCCAAGGUGAUGCUUGCAUCAACCAAGGCCUGCUGUGAAUGCAUAACACUUGUUGGUCACUGCGCGACACUCAUGGAGAGCAAUCUUUAAAUUAUUCAGAAACACAGUUGGUGCAUAGCGAGUAGUUCUCCUCAUUAUCCUAUGGAAUUCUUUUGUCGGAAGGCAACGAUUGGCCGAGCCUGUAGAAGGAUGUGUUUAUCCACUGGGGGGCCAUGGCCCCCCACAAAAAGAUUGCAAAAUGUUUUUUAAUAGUGCAUGCAUAUGCAUAUAUCCAUUAUAUUAAUUUUGGUGCAGCCUAAAUACUCCAAAACUUCAACCCUUCAUAAUGUUGCCUUCACAUAGGUCGAAAUCUAGGUCCACCACUGCGGUGAGGAGAGGUGAUUUUUCUAAGCGAGAAAACAUAUAGCAAUAUUGUACUUCCUCCAAUCCAAAAUAAGUGUCGCGGUUUUAGUUUAUAUUUGAACUACUACGACACUUAUUUUGGGUCAGAGGGAGUAUUAAGAACUUGCUCCAUUCCUAAAUUUCAUGUUGUAAAAUAAAAUUAUCGGGUAGGUAAUUUUGGACUCUAUUCCUUUUGGUUACCAUAGAUCAUGUUCUCUUUUGCCACUGCAUAUUUAAAAUAGACUUCUACAUGUUCACAAACAUGAAAAAAUUACCCUAGUUUUCAUACAUAUCACCCUAAAUAUAUUCCUCUUUUGGAUUAGGUGGGAGGGAGGAUUGGCUGGUCUAAAGAGCAAAAUGGAGUCUUCUGCAAAAUUGUCAUAGCUGAUCAGACGCACUGUAGAAGUGGGAUUUGUUAGUAUCAUGCUAUUUCUCAUGGUUUGGUUAUAAAUCAUCGUCCUGCGCAUUUACGAAAUAGAUGCAGAGUGCCUGGCCAUUGAAGGAACCAAAAAGAAAUCGUGAUUUUUUGUCUCUGGCACUAACUAAAAGUAGAUGCAGAGUACCCCGACCAUUGUGUCUGGCACUAACUAAAAGUAGAUGCAGAGUGCCCGACCAUUGAAGGAACCGGAAACAAAUCGUGGUUUUUUUGUCAGAUUUUAAACAUGGCAACUCAAACGUUUUUUAUGGCAACUUCAGUUGACACGAGGUGGCAAGUGGUUUUUUUGUCGGAUUUUGAGCAUGGCAACUUCAGUUGACACGAGGUGGCAAGUUUAAUUGGUAGACAUGUGUCAAAAUGACAUGCUUACCCAUGAUUGUGAAGGACGUGCACUGAUUUCCAGCGCCUGCCUUCUUGCUUCUCAAAGCAACACUUCAGUUAUCUUAUCCACCUGAACACCCAGUUCCUUUAGGGAUUCUAAAGUGUGUAAGGGCUUAAGGCUGCGCAAUCCUCCUAAGUCCAUAAAUUGAAACGAUUAAGCAAACGUACAGCUCUAGGCACGAGAGCUUCUUAUUGCUUGGUGGUAAGAUCGAGUUCCGAGUCACAGCUCAGAUAUGGAAACAACUGUAAACAAGAACAUCUGGAUCAUCCUAUCACAGUUAUCAAAGACUGAUUUUACUCCACAUGAUAGAUGUUUCGCCAUUACAAACCGCUCAGCAAUUCAACUAUUUAAAGGUAGCAGGCAUUCAAGACCAGGGCAUCACUCAAAAACAAAACCAGUAGCAUUUCUGUAAGAGGGGUAACUAAAUGGGACGACAUAAUGUUUUCCAGAUCAACCAAUCCCAGUACCAAGAAUCCAGCAGCAACAGGUGGGCGAACAAAGAUUCUAG
rnacentral:lncRNA from 1 species